rnacentral:lncRNA from 1 species
AAGUUGGUUUCUAUGUUUAGGGAAAUAUUAUUUUUGAAGGGCUGAUGAUGAUGAUGAUGAUAAUCAUGAUUGGUAAGGGAGGACAGGCAAAAUGGUUUUAACUGUCACAGAAGAGUCAGGAUGGUAGUGUGUUACUUUUCUUUAUACCUCUUUUUAGAACAGCUCUGUUCCUAAUUUCCUUGUAACCUUAUCCUUUUUUCCAUUAAAAGCAAGGAGAACAUGUUCAUCAAUUUUGGGUAUUUUGGCUGUCCAUCAGUGUGGAGCUUUGUAGUUUUUGUUUGGGUUAAAUGCGUGCAGGGCCUAGGUAGAUGGAAAAUGAUGCCGGUCUUUUUAACUCUUGGAUUUUAGCUUUAUCAUCUCCAAAUUUUUAAAAAAUAGAUAUCUAAGGUAUGUUUGUUAAAUGAUGUCUAACUGUUUUAUUAGUAGUUGAUUUUAGUGAAUUAUAACUUUUAUUAAUAGUUUAUUAAUAGUGAUUGAGACAGGCAUUGUUGACCUCUCUUUUUUUUCUUUUAUUUCCCACUGCUUCAAUUCAUCCAAACGUAAAAUAGCCAAUUCCUACAGCUUUGGGAAUACUGUGUUGAUGAUGAUCCCAAAAACUCACUACCUAUGUAUUGCACACCAUACAUAGAGCAUAUAUCCAGCUUCUCAAGGACAGGCAGCUGCCCCAAAGGAGGCAAACAUGGACAUCUUAAGCAAGAGUCGAGGUAAAGUAUUUUCAGGUGAGCUAAUGAUGAACCCAUCAUCCAAUUGGGCCACUCUCUAUCACUAUAAUCGAAUAUACGUAGAGAUUUCAAGUUUGGAUGGGGUUGUAGAGCUUCAGCCACACCCUUGGUCCCCUCCUUUCUACCAAAUUCCAAAUCCAAACGUUGGAGGAUUCUUAUUCUUCAAUUCUGCUUUUUCUGCCUCCCCAGCAUCUUUCACUUCAUCCAACCCUUCAACGGAAAGACGUCCUCUUAGGUUGUUCAAGUUUCUCAGGUCUCCUAGUUGGCAUUCAUCAUUGCCAUGACUACUCACAAUGAAAACAUCGAGUGUCUGAAGAGAGCUUAAUCUUCCAAUUCCUUUUGGUAAGCCCUCUAGAGUACCAUAACUUUCAAGAUGCCUCAACUUUUUCUCCACUCCUCCCGUGAAACGCUAUGGUACUGAACAAUGACCGGCAUUGCUCAUUGGACAGUUCUCCUAAGGGUUGCUUGUACGUGCUUCCCAUGAUUGUAGAAACGUUUUCGUUUCGUGUGGUCACCAAAAUUCUACUUCCCGGUGCCCCACUCUUGAGAGAACUCUCUACUUGUUCCCACAAUUCAUAGUUUUCAGUCCAAACAUCGUAGCACAAGUAGGAACUUCUUAUCGGCAAUAAGUGUGCGAAUUUUUUGUUGUACAGCUUCCAGCUCAUGGAAACCAGAAGACUCUUUCUGGAGGGCUUCAAGAAUAGCCUAGAAAUCCUCAUUGGGUCAAAAGGAUCAGACACACAGACCCACACCCUUUGAUGGAAAUAGGCCUUCACCUUUUCGUGGUUGUAUGCUAAUUAAGCAAGAGUUGUUUUGCCUAUCCCUCCCAUCCCAACUAUGGAGAUGCUUUCUCGGGAACUCCCAACCAACAGCUUCUCUAUUAUAAUGCCAACAUUAUACAAUUAAGUACCUUUGGAGUUUCCCAUUUUUUUUCUUUUAAAUUAGAAACUUUUAUAUAAAUAGAUAUCUGGUAUAAAAAGUAUAAAUUUACUUUAUAUUUUUUAAAUUCAUUUUAAAAAAUUUUAAAUUUUGAGAUAGUAAAUUUUCUUUAAUAUUUCAAUUUGUUAAAUUAUCAGAGUUCUUAUAUCUUAUAUAAAGAAACUACUAUUUUCUAAUUUUAUAAAUAAAAAAAAAAGCAUUUUAUAAAACUAAAAAGUGUAUCCAAACAAACACUAAGAACCUAUUUGGUCAUUUGAUUUAAAAACAAUUUUUUGUUUUUAAAUAACAAAAAACUAUUUUUAAAAUUUUCUAACAUUGUUUUAUCGUUAUUCUCUGAAAACAUUUUUUAAAAACAAAAUGAAAUAUAUAACAAUUUUUAGAGAACAAAUAAGAGUUGUUUUCACCAAUUUUUAAAAACAAAGGAAAACAUGAAUCCAUUUGAUCAUGUUUUCUGAAACUUGUAAUUAAAAAUUGUUUUUAAAUUAAAGAAUAAAAAACAGUUUUAAAAAAUAAGUUUCAGAAAACAUGGUCAAAUGGACCUUAAGUGACUUGAUAAUACCUCACAUUUAUUAGGCAAAGCCCCCUCUAGGAGAAAAUUUUUGUUGGAAUCAUAACCAAGCAUUUGAAACCUUUGCAUUGAAAUUUCAAGAACAUCCCACUUCAUCCAUUAGGUUAACAAUAGAUAUGUCCUUACAACAAAUCAGAAGAAACAUCAUGCAUGCAUGCAUGCAAGUUCCCAUCAUUCGCAAACCAUUUAUGUUGUAGGAAAUAAAUCCAAACAAUAAAGUUGAAGUUUACACAUUCUUACAUAUAUAGGCAAACCAAUAAAAGGGGAAAAGAAAAAGAGAAAAUUUUUUUACAAAUCACCAAUUUGAAAUUGAUUCAUAGACAACUUCACAAUACAUAGGUGUUGGGAAUUUUCUCCUCUUUAUUUGAACUUGCUUCUCUGAAACGAAAAACAAUAAAAUUAAGAUGGAAAAGAGAUAAGGAAAGUCAAGACAGAAAUAAAGAUAAAAGCUUGCAAGUAAAAAUGACAAAUAAUAAUAAUAAUAAAUGAUGCCUUUGGAUAUAAUUUUGAGACAAUAAUCAAGAUGGUCUUUAUUGAUAAGUUUUGAAAUUUUCUUUGCAAUAUUUUGAGCAAAUAAUCUAAUAGGUUAGGCUAUUAAAAUAUUAAUUAGUUAACAUUUAGAUCAUGUUUUUCAUUUGUUUCAUUUCUCAUUCAUUAAUGUAUUUGAAAUAUUAUUUUUACAAUUUAUAUAUAUACCCAUGGGCCUGAAACCUAAUCAAUCAUGGUGCCCAUACCACUAGAAAAGGGGAAACACUAGGCCCAUGGCCCAACAAAAGUCUACUUUAAGCCGAAAACCCUCAGCUCCACCAGAAAAGAGGGAACACUAGGCCCAUGCCCAACAAAAAGUGUACCCUAAAAUAAAAUGGAAUUUGAUAAUAUAUAACAUUAUAUAGUAUAUAUAAAGUCUAAAGAUCACAUAUGACCUAUGGAUAUCUUCUACAUGGCUGUUGGAGCUUUUUCAAGGUAUUUGAUCAUGUAACAAAACACUUUUAGAAUAGAAAAGGUUUCAAGUUUAGAUGAGGUAUUUUUGAAGAAAAGUUUUUUUUUAAAGAUUUGUCUAAUUUUAUUUUAGAAUUUUGCAAGGUGUAGAUAUUAUAGGAUAAACACUUUAGUAACAGUGUAAAUGUGCCAAAAUGGACCUAUGGAUACAAUAUAAUAAUGUUAUGCAAAAUGGAAAGCUACAGAAAAAGAAAAUCUAUGGAAUAGAUUAAUGUGUGCGAUUAUGGAUGCAAUGGAAAUGAAAACUAAGAUAAAUUCUAAUUACCUGUAACAAGAGCGACAUGAGGUGAAACGUGAUGACCAUUCAGUCUGAUGAAAAUUCGAAUUCUGGGAUAUGAGAUAUUUUGUGUCGAUCCUCUCCAAUAUCCUUUCGAUAGCGUCGUUUCAGAAUAGGAGAAGAUCUGAUGUUCAAUGUCUGCAAUGUUGUCCUCUGGAGCACGUGGUCUGGCAGUCCCUCUAGCUUUGGGCAGCCUCUCGUACUCAAAUGAUUGAGACAUGGCAUUAUUGACCUCUCUUCUUUUUCUUUUAUUUCCCAUUGCUUCAAUUCAAGCAAGCCUAAAAUAGUCAAUUCCUUCAGCUUUGGGAAUACUGUUGAUGAUGAUCCCAAAAACUCACUACCUAUGUAUUUCACACCAUACAUAUUCCGUAUCCACAGAUUCUCAAGGACAGGCAGUUGCCCCAAAGGAGGCAAACAUGGACAUCUUAAGCAAAAGUCGAGGUUAAGUGUUUUCAGUUGAGCUAAUGAUGAACCCAUCAUCCAAUUGGGCCACUCUCUAUCACCAUAUUCACAUAUACAUAGAAAUUUCAAGUUUGGAUGGGGUUGUAGAGCUUCAGCCACACCCUUGGUCCCCUCUGUACCAAAUUUCAUUGUCAAAUCUUGGAGGUGUACCUUAUUCUUCAAUUCUGCUUUUUCUGCCUCCCCUGCAUCUUUCACUUUAUCCAACUGUUGAAUGGAAAGAUGUCCUCUUAGGUUGUUCAAGUUUCUCAGGUCUCCUAUUUGACAUUCAUCAUUGCCAUGACUACUCACGAUGAAAACAUCUAGUGUCCGAAGAGAGCUUAAUCUUCCAAUUCCUUUUGGCAAGCCCUCCCGAGUAUCAACAAAACCAUUUUCAAGAUGCCUCAAAUUAAUUAGUUUACCCAUUGCCUGUGGUAGUUUCUGAAGACUUUCACAUACUUGAAUAUUUAAGGUUUGCAAAUUAUAUAAAUCACAAAUUGUUUCAGGCAACUCUCUCAAACUAAGACACAAUGAUAGAUUAAGGUAUCUUAAAUGUAUCAAUUUUCCUACCUCCCUAGGAAGUUCCUCAAUCAACUGAUUGCUGCUCAAAUCCAAUGCCUUGAGACAUGUCAAAUGCCUUAACAAAUUAGGUAAGGCUUUAAAAACUCUUGAAUUGAAUGCUUCCUUAGCCAAGAGGGUGUGUAGAUUCUUCAUGUUAUAAGUGGAGGUGAAAUUAGGGGUACUCUCUCGGACAACUAAGGUGGUAUGGCGAAUCUUUUUGAAGGAUAAGUCUAUGCUCUCCAUUUGUUGGUUGUCAACCUCCACAAUAAAGCAUUCAUUCUGAGUCAAAAAUUGAGCAAAAUCAUGCACUAUAUCAUGCAUCUUACAACGUAUUAUAUUACCAUCAUCAUAUUUUUCAAAAUCUUGGAAGAAAGACCGAGCAGCUAAAUAUUCAAAGUACGUUCUCCCAACCAUCUCCAUCUCUUUUCUCCCAUCAGAUUUGAGAUAGCUUUGUGCCAUCCACAACUUGAUCAGCUCAUCUCUCUCAAUAACCGAGUCUUUUGGAAAAACAGCACAAAAUGAGAAGCAGCGUUGAAUUGCAGGGGGCAGAUCAUAAUAACUCAACAACAAAGCAGGGGAAAUAUCUCUCUCAAACUCAUCUAGCUGCCAUACUUCACUAUUCAAUACGUUCUUCCAUUCUUCCUCGCUAUUUUUUAUGCGCAAGAGAUUCCCUAAAGUUUUUAUAGCGAGGGGCAAGCCCUUGCAUUUGUCUGCUAUUUUCUCACCAAUUUCUUUUAAUUCUUCCUCUUUCUCCCAACUACUCCUUUCAUAGAAAGCUAUUUGAUGGAAUAAUGCCCGAGAUUGCUCCAAAGACAGCUCCCCCAAGGGAUGCUUGUACGUAGUUCUCAUCAUCUUAACAACACUCUCUUUGCGUGUGGUCGCCAGAAUUCUACUACCUGCUGCUCCGCAGAGGAGGGUGUUCUUCAGUUGUUCCUACAAUUGAUUGUCUUCACUCCACACAUCAUCUAGCACAAGAAGGAAUUUCUUUUCGGCAAUACGUGUUUUAAUUUCUUCUUGUACAGCGUCCAACUCAUGGAGAUCACAAGGCUUUUUUUGGAGGGUUUCAACAAUAGCCCUACAAACUCUGAUUGGGUCAAAAGGAUCAGAAACACAGACCCAUAUUCUCUCAUUAAAAUGGGCCUUCACCUCUGAAUGGCUGUAGGCUAAUUGAGCAAGAGUUGUUUUGCCCAUGCCUCCCGUCCCAACUAUGGAGACGAUGUAGAGGCCAGAUUUCUCUUGACACUUCUUACCCAACAAAUGGUCUAAUAUGAUUUUUUUAUCCAUAUCCCGACCGUACACCUCUGAAAUAUCAAUUGCAGAGGUAGUUAUAAGUCGCUGUGGUCGCUCCUCACUCCUACUAGAGACAAAAUUAAAUCUAAUUCUCUCCCUUUCAAUAUCAUCUAGUUGUUGUUUAAUGCCCUUAAUCUUAAGAGCAAUGUCACGACGAGAAGCAACUUGCUUGAAACAGAUGCAAGGGGAGGGCAUACAGAAGCUUACCUUCUUCUUAGACGUGGAAGCAUUUUCAACUCUCUCCAUCUGGAAUUGAAGAAUAGCAAUGCUCCACUCAUCCAGCGCGUCCUCCAUUUCGUAGGCCAUGUCUUUGAGCCUCUCCAACCAACCUCGGACAGAUUUUUCCUUCACUUGUCUCUUCUCGGCAUCUUCAAGAACAUCUCGGACGGAGCAGAGUGUGUUUUUGAGGCUUUGAAUUUCUGAUUCAACACCCAGAACCAGAGAAACUUGUUCAUGAAUAUGCUGUUCAACAACCGAAGUUAAGCGUUCCAGCACAAUAGAAACCAGGACAUCAGCCAUGGGAGGGUGAAGAAGGUUGGAUUGAUGAAUGAAGAAGAAUGGAGGAUGAAUAAAGGCGAGUGAGACGAAGAGAUCAGAUCUGCAGCUUUUGUGAGGUCUAUCCUUUUGUAGGACGGUGGGGCCAGAGGGAUGCAUUAUUGAGGCUUUAGGAGCUACUUUAUUUGGAGCUUUGCUUUAUACGGUUUGUAUUAUAUGAGGCUAGUGGGGUUACUUUAUUUGAAUCAUCGAGGCUUGCUUGAUAUGCAUGAUUGAGGCUGGUGGGGUCAUUAAAUAAUCGUACAUAGCUUUGAAUCAAAAUCCAGAUAAAUUAAUCCCAUCAUCUGACUGAAUAUUCAGCAUAUUAAAAUACCCUUCAUUCAAUUAUUAUGGCUCCUUACAAUUAAACUAAUUAGUAAUUGGUUCCAAGUCUCCAUUCACCAUGGUUGAUAAAUUUAACAAAAUAAUUCAUUGUUCUUAUUAAAUAUGUACAAUUCACUUUUCACAAGUAAGGAGCAACUUAUUAGUGCAACAAUUAAGCAAAACACAGUCCGUCAAAUUCAUAGGAAAUGCUGCCAAUUUAAAAAGAGUUAUUCACCACCCUAAUAAUAAUUCAUACACUAUCACAUGUUACAUGUCAAGAGAAAAAAUAAAUUCUUUACUACUCUUUUCCCUUCUCUAGCAUUUUCCAACCCCCUAUAAGUUACAAAACACAUUCGCAUAUAAACUAUAUAUAUAUGAAAUAAGAAAAAGGAGGUACAAGAACAAAAUGAUUAGCCAUAUAAGGAAAAUUAGUUUGUUGAUACCUAAACUCUUACAUCUCACAACUCACAACUUAGUUCUAUGCUUCCAUCGUUGAGAAGUUUAGAGCAUCUUUUAUUGUCCUACUUUACUUUUUUCUUUGCAUAUAGAUAGUUAAUCAAACUUAGAUAUUUGUUAAUGUUUGGAACUUAAAGUGCUUUAUAAAGCUUUAAUUGGAAGUAUACAAUAAUUUAUUCCAUAUUUCUUUUUUCUGAAUCCUAAAUGAAUUAAAAAUUAUGUAAAUUUGUACUUUUAUGCGAGUUCUCACCACUUUUUUUGAAGAAAGGUUAAGAGAAUAACAUUUUUUUUGUUUAUUUUUAUCUUUGUGUAUAAAUUUGUGCUAUUGUGCAAGUUUUCACUAUUGGACUUUUGACUCACAUUUUUUUGUUUAAUAAUAAUAAUAAUAAUAAUAAUAAACAAAUAUAUUAUUAUAAAUCGGUUAGAAUAAGUGAAAUUAUGAUUAGAAUACAAAUAAUGUAACCAAAGUGUGGAAAUCAUGAGAAUGGUACAAAAUAUAUUAUCAAUGUAUUAUGGUAAAAAAUUUGUGACAUUGAUAUGAAAAAGCAAGCAAUGUAUAGGAUACAAAGUAUAUGAUAAGGGUAAAAAGAAUGUGAUUGAAGUACUAAAAUACACUUAAAUUAGUAACAUGACUUAGGUAUGAAAAUUUUGAUCAAAUUAUUAAAGGUAUAAACAUUGUUAUCUAGGUAUCAAAAAUGUGAUUAAGGUACUAAGGUAUGAAAAAUAUCACCUAAGGUAUUAAGGUACAAAAAAUGUUUUAAGUAUAAAUAAUGUGACUAGAGUACUCACAUACAAAUAUAUAGUACAAGUAUGAAUAAUGUGAAAAUUUUCUGAAAAAUAUGAUCUAGGUACGAAUAACCAAUUUAAUGAUGAGAAAUGUGACUAUUAUGUGAAAUAUGUUGACUAAUCUAUAAUAAGGUACAAAAAAUGUUACCAAGGUACCGAUACAUAAAAAGUGCGAUGUAGAUAUAAAUAAUAUAACCAAUUACUAUUAUAUUAUAAAGCUUGAAUCAAUCUUGUUAUCCCAUGUAAGGGGUAAUAGGGGUUGAGUUUGCAAGAGUUUAAGGGGGGCAAUACCCCUUGGAUUUUUUUAUUUUUUUAUUUUUUAUUGAAUGACGAGUUUGCUCCUAUUAUAUUUAAUUAUUGUAUUCUUAAGUGUUAGUAUACUUUGUAUAUAUAAGAAUCACAUUGAUCACUUAAUAACAUUAGAAAUCUCGUCUUUUCUUUAUUUCCACUCGUGUGUGUGGUUUGAUUAACAAUUACAAAACAUGCUAUUGAUUUAUAAAAAAUGUGAGUAGGUUAGUAAGGUACAAAAAAAUAUUAUCUAAGUAUGAAUAAUGUGAUGAAAUUAUAAAAAAUAUGACUAAGGUAUACUGAGCUAAAAAAAAAAAAAAACCAAAGUUAUAAGGCAUAAAAAGUAUGUUCUAGAUAUGAAUAUUAAUGUAACUAUGAUGGAAAGAAUACGAACCGGGUAUUAAGGUACAAAAAAGGUAACCUAGAUAUUAAGAUAAAAAAAAAAAGGAACGUAGGUAUAAAAAAUGUUAUCAAAUCAUUAAAGUAUGAAAAUUAUUACCUAAAUACAAUAGAUGUUAGUAAUAACUAAGAUAUAAAAUAUGCGACUAAAAUAUUAACAUACAACUUAUAUAACUUAAGUACAAAAAAGAUGAUUAGGGUAAAAAAAUAUAACUAAGGUAUAUAGAAUGCAAUUCAUAUAUAAAAAUAUAAAAAAUUAUACUUUAAAAAUUAUAUAACUUAUCUGUAAAACCUCUUUUCAUAUUUAAUUACCAUUUUGUUAGAAAAAAUAAAAUAAAAUAAACUGAAUUUAAAAAAGCUUAGGAAUUCAAAUUGGAGAAGAAAAUCCUGUUGGAAAAUUUUUUAUAUGGGCUAACAUUAAUUGAAUAAUUUGUAUUUGCAAAAACGGGUUAAUGGAUAGUCUAUUAUAUAAUGAACCUAAUUAACUAGUGAUCAUAUUUUGGAUUGGGUUUUACAUCUUUUGAGUAGAAGCUCAGUUGAGUGGCAAGUGUAGGCUAUGGGUCUCAUUGAAGCCCAUUAUGGGAGGACCCAAUGAGAAUCCAAUUUGAGUUAUGCUAAGUCCCCUCUCUAAUCUAGAUAAAAAGGGUUUUUAUGUUUUCCCAUAGAGCCACCAUAGCUGUUAUCAAGAUCAUAGAGAGGAAGACUUGGUUGCAACAAUCAAUCACGGUUUUUUAUCAUAGCUCAAACAGGUAUGUUCUUUAUAGUGAUUUCCUAUUGUUAGUAUCCUUUAAUCAUGUAUGAUUAAUCUAUGUGAUUAUGUAAAUAUUUUACAUGUGGUAUCAGGGCCCGAUUUACAUGAUUUAGGAUCUACAUUUGGAAAUCAAAAAUAAAAUUUUUAGUUUCUUAUUUUAUUUUCUUUUCGAAGCCGAAUCUGUGAUCCAUGAAUGUGUAUUUUUUUUUUUAGUUUCUUUUGAUUGUGAAACUUUAGGCCUUUUGUUCCUCUUGUCACAAGCUUCAAAUUGAUAUAUCAUAUGUGCAAUUUCGUUGGUUAAAUUGGGAGUAAUUAAGUUUUUAAAUUUUCGGAAUUUUCUUGUUUAAAAAUUCAAGAAAAAUUUUAUUUGUUCAAAUUAUUGUGUUUUACUCAAAUUAAACUCUUAGAUUUUGUUGUUUACAUAUAUUAUAGUUGAUAUGUAGCAUCAAUUUCAGUUUUUUGGCUCAAUUUGGUGAAAAUUGAAAAUUAAAAAAUAUGGGUAUGAACCUCAGAAAAUUCGUUUUAUUUUAUUUUUUAAAAAAUUGAGCAAGAUUGAGAAGUUUUUUUUUUUUUGUUCAAUUAAUUAUUGUAGAGAGAUUUCUUAUAUUGUUAAGGUAAAAAUACAUAUAAAAUGAGGCCGAAAUAGGUGUUAAAAUAGAGUUUUUCAAUCUUGGCUAUGGAGGUAUGAAAAAUCGAAUUUUGUUAAUCAAUUAAGGAGAUCUUUAAGUUGUUGUUGUUGUUGUUUUUUUUUUAUUUUUUUAUUUUUUUAUUUAUGAUUAAAUGUCCUAGAAUUGUUAGAAACAACCUAAAGUUUAAAACCCCUCAAGAUCCCGAUCAAAAAAACUUUUUUUUCAAUUGUUUGUAAUCCGGGUUGCAACUGGGUCAUUUGACCCGUAUUGCAGAAUUUUGGACCCAAUGCUAGAGGUUGAAGAUGACCUCCAGCACAUGCCACACGUUCCCCACUCGUGGGUCAAGUGUGUGAGGCGCGUGUAAUCUCAUCCGGUGUCCCUUUUGAGCCCAAUAUUUUCCUAUGCGCUCGUUUUUUUGUAAUCUAUUUUUAUAGAUAUAUUAUUUUAUUUUUUGGGGGUAAAAAAUAUUUAUUAAAUAAUUAUUACUUAUUUAUGUGAUUUAAUUAGUUUUAAAUUAUUUUUUGGUAUAAUUUUCUGUUGAGAAUUUACCAGAAAUUAUGCUAAUAUAUAUGGAAUAGGAGUGUAGUACUCACUCUCUCUAGAUUGAAACUUUUUCAUGCAUACUCUCCUACUUGGUCUAAAUCUCAUAAACUAGUUAAAUAAUUAGUUUAAAGUGUAAUAAUAAUACUAAAAAAAAAUUGUUGUUCAAAUUCUUGCAACUAUAAUUGAUCAUAUGCAUAUAUAUCGCUAAUAUGCACUAUUGUUGUUGGGCAAUUUUUUUUAAUUUACCCAAUUUUGGAACGUUGCAUGUGAAUUGUUGAGGUUAUUUCACCAAAGUGGUUUAACCAUCAAAAUUUGCAAGUUUAUGAGUUCCUAUUUUGUUGAUGGGGAAAAUUUUAGAUUAAUUUGUACAAUCGCCUGCCCAAAGGGGGUUAUUGUGCAAAUUAAUUUAACAACAUGAGGAUAUUGAAUGAGAUAAAUAAUUUGAUAAAUUUAUUUGCCCAAAGGAAAUAAAUUUUAAUGAAUUAUUUGUUGAUCUUCAUGCUUAGAGAAUAUUUGUUUAUUGUGGACUCUACCCAAAGGGGAGUUUAUGAUAGUACAAUUGAUUCUUGUAUUGUAUUGCUUAUGAUUAUUUAAGUUUUUUUUACCUAUUGCCCAUAAUUGAUCUAGUUGCAAAAUUUUGUCAAUCAGUUUCCUUUGCUGUGAACAACAAUAAUGCUACAAUUGAAAUUCUAAGUGGGUCGAACUAUAAGAGAUGGAGAUCAAACAUAGAGUUUGUUUUAGGAAUGAUGGACUUGGACAUGGCUCUACGUGAAGAUGAACCUCCUAAGCCUACUAAUGAAAGCACUGAAGCUAUGAGAGCUCAUUAUGCGAAAUGGGAAAGAUCGAACCGUUUGAGUCUCAUUUCAAUCAAGAGGUCCAUUGCUGAGCAUCUCCUUGGAGGAAUACUUGAGAGCAAUAAUGCUAAGGAAUUUCUCGUUGUUGUGGCAAAUAGAUACCAAACAUCUGACAAUGCUGAAGUUGGGCAUUUUAUGGAUGAAUUGAUGAAUAUGAGGUAUGAUGAUAUGAAAGGGGUUCGUGAGUAUAUCUUAAAAAUAGUGCAUCUUCAGACUAGAUUGAAAGCAUUAGACAUUCCCAUUCCCGAUAAGUUUAUUGUUCAUCAAGCCCUCAAUACUCUGCCAUCUUCUUUUAGCCAAAUCAAGACUGCAUACAACACCCUGAAUCAGUCUUGGGGUGUGAAUGACCUGAUCACUAAGUGUGUGGUUGAGGAAGAAAAGCUGAAAAGAGAAAAGAAUGAAUCUGCUCAUCUCGUUGCUCUUGGAAAACCAAAUAAUAAAAAAAGAGUUGAAAAGACUCAAAAACCCAACUUCCAUAGUCAUAAGAAAAAUAAGAAUUUCAAGAAGAGUGGGAGUGAAAAGCAGAAGAAUGGAAAUGCCAAGAACACAAACAUUAAGUGCUAUCACUGCAACAAAAAGGGUCACAACAGGGUUGAUUGCUUUAAGUUUAAGAAUUGGCUAGAGAACAAAAAGAAGGAACAGGGUAUGUUAUCUACCUAUGUCUGUUUUGAAUCUAAUUUAUUUAAUGUUCCUUUAGAUUCAUGGUGGCUUGACAGUGGUGCUACUGUUCAUGUUGCAACUUCUUUACAGGGGAUAAGAAAUCUGAGGAAGCCAAGUGAAAAAGAGUCAAAGCUUAAAGUUGGCAGUGACAUCGGGAUUGAUGUUGAGCAUAUUGGGGUUGCUAUUUUAGAAUUAGAUUAUGGUUUUCAGCUUGUUUUGGACAAUGUUUUUUGUGUACCUUCGUUUAGGAAGGAUUUAAUUUCCCUUUCAGUACUUGAUAAAGCUAGAUAUAGUUUCACUUUUGAAAAUAAAAGAGUUGAUGUGAUUUAUGACUCUAAAGUGAUUGGCAAUUGUGUUUUAUCUGACGGGCUAUAUUGAUUGUCGUUGUUAUCUACUUGUUCUUACAAUGUUGAAAACAAUGUUGCUAAAAGACCUUUGACUAAGGAAAGAUCUUCAUUGUUAUGGCAUAAGCGUUUGGGGCACAUUUAAAAAAUGAGUAGAAUGCUUAAUUAGUUCUAGGAUUCUUCCCUGCCUUGAUUCUAAUGACUUAGAAAUUUGUGUUGAUUGUGUGAAAGGAAAAUUGACAAAGAAUAAGAAAAAGGGUGCAACUCAUAGUCAAAAUUUGUUGGAGAUUGUUCAUACAAACAUUAGUGGACCUUAUUCCACUACCUUGUGUGGCAACAAGUACUUCAUUACAUUCAUUGAUGAUUUUUCCUGUUAUGGCUAUGUAUUUUUUAUCAAAGAAAAGGCAGAUGCUCUUGAAAUGUUCAAAGUCUUCCGAACUAAAGUUGAGAAACAAUUGGGGAAAGUCAUCAAAAUUGUGAGAUCUGAUCGAGGUGGUGAGUAUUAUGGGAAACAUGGUGAUGUUGGACAACAAAAGGGACCUUUUGCAAGGUACUUACAAGAUAAUGGUAUCGUUGCUCAGUAUACUAUGCCUGGUAGUCCUGAACAGAAUGGCGUAGCAGAAAGGCGCAACCGCACUCUUAUGGAAAUGAAGAGGAGCAUGAUUGGUAGAUCAAAUUUGCCAGAAUACUUAUGGGGUGAAGCCAUUAAAACAACAACCUACAUUUUGAACCGUGUUCCUAGUAAGUCUAUGCCUAAAACACCGUUUGAACUAUGGACAGACAGAAAACCCAGCUUGAAUCAUUUUAAAGUAUGGGGAUGUCCAGCUGAGGUGAAAAUCUAUUAUCCUUCUUUAAAGAAGACGGAUUCAAGAACUACUAGGUGCUACUUUAUUGGGUAUCCUAGUCACUCAAAAGGAUACAAGUUUUAUUGUUCGACUCGUGGCACUAGAAUUGUUGAGUCUCAAGUGGCAAAGUUUUUAGAGUUGGAUGUUGCUGAUAGUAUACCCUCUCAAUCCGAUGAAAGAGUGGAACCCAUGGAUGUUAUUUCUUUAUGUUUGCCAGUUUCAGACGUUAACCUUGAUGUUGGAGCUUUUGAUUCUGGGAUUCAACAAGGAGUUGCUACUGUCAAUUUCCCUACUGUCAAAAUAAACCCUAUUGUGGAUGAGAUUCCUCCUGUGGAAAUGAGGAGAUCACAAAGAACUAGGAGACCUGCCUUAUCUAACGAUUAUUAUGUUUACCUUGGAGAGGGAGAGUAUGAAAUUGGAGAAGAAGUGGACCCUACUACUUAUUGUGAAGCUCUCAGUAGUGAUAAGGCAAAUGAAUGGUUGAUUGCCAUGAGAGAUGAGAUGCAGUCUAUGUCAGACAAUGAUGUUUGGGAAUUUCUUGAUCUUCCCAAAGGAUAUAAACCCAUUGGAUGCAAAUGGGUAUUCAAGACCAAAAGAGACAACAAAGGAAAUGUUGAAAGAUACAAGGCUCAGUUGGUUGCUAAAGGGUAUACACAGCAAGAAGGCAUUGAUUUCACAGAGAAUUUCUCACUAGUCUCUACCAAAGAUUCCUUUAGGCUAGUUAUGGUGUUGGUAGCUCAUUUUGACUUAGAGCUUCAUCAGAUGGAUGUCAAGACAGCUUUUCUCAAUGGUGAUUUGAGUGAGGAGGUCUACAUGUCACAACCUGAAGGAUUUAAGGAAAAUGGAAAAGAGAACAUGGUAUACAGAUUGAAAAGGUCAAUUUAUGGUCUCAAGCAAGCUUCUCGCCAGUGGUACUUGAAAUUUGACAAAAUUGUGACGUCUUUUGGUUUUAUAGAGAACAAGUUUGAUCAGUGCGUUUACAUGAAGGUUAAUGGGAGCAAAUACAUUUUCAUGGUUCUCUAUAUCGAUGACAUUCUACUUGCUAGUAGUGAUGUGAAUCUCUUGAAUGAUACCAAGCGUGUUUUGUCUGCUAAUUUUGACAUGAAGGAUCUUAGAGAAGCAUCUUUUGUGUUGGGUAUUGAGAUUUAUCGUGAUAGAUCUCGAAACCUCCUUGGUCUAUCUCAGAGAGCCUAUAUCAAUCGUGUGCUUAAAAGAUUCAAUAUGCAGACGUGAAAAGCUGGUGAUGUACCUAUUGUGAAGGGAGAUAAACUCAGUAAUGAACAGUGUCCAAAGAAUGAUUUGGAAAAGGAUGCCAUGAAGACUAUUCCUUAUGCUAGUGCCAUUGGUAGCCUGAUGUAUGCACAAGUAUGUACAAGACUUGAUAUCAUCUUCAUUGUUAAUGUUCUUGGUAGAUAUUUAUCGAACCCUAGACAUGAUCAUUGGGUUGUUGCAAAGAAAGUCAUGAGAUGUCUACAAAGAACGAAGGAUUUUAUGCUUGUGUAUAGGAAGGUGGAUAAUCUCGAGGUAGUUGGAUACUCAGAUUUUGAUUUUGGUGGUUGUUCUGAUGAUCGCAAAUCUACUUCAAGAUACAUUUUUAUGUUAGCUGGUGGAGCCAUUUCAUGGAAAAGUGUCAAACAGAGCCUAAUUGCAUCCUCGACUAUGUAUGCUGAGUUUGUAGCUUGUUAUGGUGCAUCCUCUCAAGCUGUUUGGCUAAGAAAUUUGAUUUCAGAGUUGCAAGUUGUUGAUUCCAUCUUUCUACCCAUUGUGAUUUAUUGUGACAAUAAUGCAGCUGUGUUCUACUCUAAGAACAAUAAGAUUAGUAUGGGUUUUAAGCAUACGGAAAUCAAGUACCUUACAGUCAAGGACUUAGUGAAGAAAGGAGAUAUUGUGAUUGAGCACAUAAGAACUGAGUCCAUGCUAGUUGAUCCUCUAACCAAAGGUUUAAAGCCCAUAACGUUCAAGGAACAUGUUGUGAAUAUGGGUGUCAUUAAAUCUUUUGAUUCUUUGGUUUAGUGGGAGCUUUUGUGAUUUCCCUUAUUUCAAUUAUUGUUUUAUGUAAACAUUGAUCAUUAUUUUUCUGCGACUUGCAAAAUUAAAGUCUUUUUAUUAUGAUCAUCAUAAUUAAGUAUUAUAUUAUAGCAUGUCAUAAUUGAAUUACAUACAACAUGGUAUCUUGAGAUAUUGAACCUUAAGAAUUACAGUUGUAUACUGUUGGAUGUCACAAAUACCACUAUUUUAAGAUUUUGUGGUGCAUUGUUGGUGACAUAUGACUUGUUAAAGUCAAGCAAUUUCAUAUUGUUUAGAAAUUGCAGCAAUUUCAUUUUGUUGAGAAAUUGCAAUCACAAUUUCAUUUUGCUGGUAAAUUGUAAUGAGGACUGAUAAGAAACAAUGCAUAUAGAUGAUGAUCACAUGUUGGCAUUGAUUUCUUACUACACUACUGGGUUUACAAUCCAUGUCGAUAUGGUUAUAAAUAUUCAACUAUAAGGGGCAUUAUGUUUGUUGAGAUUAACAUAUAUACCAUUAUAGUCCAAUAUUAAGACCAUGUUAGACCGGAUAAGUUUAACAAGAUGCUACUUAUAGACUAUCAUUUCUUUCAAAAAAAGAAAAAAAAAGGUGUGGCCACACAAAAUAAACUUUUCUGUACUUAACCCGAGAGUCUUAUUUUCAAAAUGAAUUCAAUGAAUCCUCAAAAACAAUUAAUGUAGCUGUAGACCCUCAAUUUUGUCCCUCGACACUGGCAUUUAUCCUUCUGGUGUCACAUCCACCCAUCGUUCGCAUAUGACACCACUAGGGCCCCUUUUGGGCUUAGUCGGUGUCCGAGCCUCGUGUGGGUUUGUGUGUGGUCCAUUAUGGUGCAUAUGUGGUUCAUUUAGGAGGGUCACCAUGGCCAUUUUCCUAGUCGUUCACAUCACGCUAUAGGAAGGAAGUAGGGUCAUCCCGAUGUUUUAGCUUAGUUGGGGUUUAUAGGGGCAUGUUGAGGUUCGGAGCACUCGGGCUUGUUUUGAUUGUAUCUCCCUCAUCCAAAUUCGGAAUCAAGAACCGUUUCUUUUUAUGGAUUCCUUAUUCUUCCAAGAACAUUCUGUAAAAUUUUCAAAAUUUUUUGCAACCGGUCGGCUGGUUGGCAGCCGGUUCAGCCGGUUCAGCCGGUUCAUUAGGUCAGCCGGUGUAGAACACUGAUUUUUGGUAAUUGUUUUGAUCAUAUCUCCCUCUUCCGAACUUGGAAUCAUGCACCGUUUUUUUUAUGGAUUCCUUACUCUACUAGGAACAUUCUGUCAAAUUUUCAGAAUUUUUCUCCAUCGGGUCGACCAGUUGGCAUCCGGUUCGGCCGGUUCAGCUGGUUCAUUGAGUCAGCUGAGGUAAAACACUAAUUCUAGUAAUUUUGAGGCCCAAAUCCUACAUGGAUCAGGCCCAUAAGCUCCAGAUUGGUUUUGGGCAAUGUUGUGGGUCCAUUUUAGGCCUUGGUUUGGGUUCCUUGCAGCCCACCACGAAUCCAUAUGGAUUCUUGGUGGUGAAGCAAGCUGAAAAAACUGAAGGGAGUGAGCUGGCCUUGUAAGUCUAAGAGAAGUAAUGAGGGGUGUGGUUCCCAUGCUGAUGAAGGGAAUUUCGGUGCUGAAGGGGAAGGAACCCAGGAGGCUCAAAUGCUAAGAGGGGUAUGAGUAUAAAAGGUGAGAGGAUAGGAGAGCAAAGGACCUUUGGACAUUUUGGAGAGGGGAAAUCUUGCUGGUGAGAAAAACAAAAGGUCAGUAGCAUCUUCUGAGUUGAGAGCGUGGGGGAAAGCUUCAGCACUGUGGUUUUUUUGAAGAGGAGAGUGACAACCUCUCAGUUUUGGAAGUCAUCAUCGGCAUGCACGGAUCAUAUUUGGUGGAGAUUCUGAGGUAAGCACGCUGAAUUUUCUUUACUUACAAUUUAUCUUCCUCGUCUUCAUAUGCUUUUUCUCCUUCCUCAUCAUCUUUUCUUCCCUUUGAUAUGAAGAUUGUAUUGCUUGGGUGUGGAUAAUAAAGGCCACACAUGAUUGUUGUUGUUUGCUUCCUUGAUCACUUAGGAACUUUCUGACCGAAUUUGGGAUUUUUUUACCAACCGGAUGAACCGGUUCAACCGGUUCAGUACCAUAGCUGGCAGCCUCUGUCAGCCAUGAGGAACACUUGCCUUUCUUUGUCUGGUUCUCACUCAUCCGGGCUCGGAAUUGAGAACCGUUUCUUUUGUUUUCUUCCUUAAUCACUUAGGAACUUUAUGACCAAAUUUGGGAUUUUUUUACCAACCGGAUGAACCAGUUUGGAACUGGUUCAACCGGUUCAGCACCAUAGCUGGUAGCCUCUGUCAGCCAUGAGGAACACUUGCCUUUCUUUGUCUGGUUCUCACUCAUCUGGGAUCGGAAUUGAGAACUGUUUCUUUUUUUUGCUUCCUUAAUCACUUAGGAACUUUCUGACCAAAUUUGGGAUUUUUUACCAACCGGCUGAACCGGUUUGGAACCGGUUCAACCGGUUCAGCACCAUAGCUGGCAGCCUCUGUCAGCCAUGAGGAACACUUUCCUUUCUUUGUCUGGUUCUCACUCAUCCGGGGUCGGAAUUGAGAACCGUUUCUUUUUUUUUGCUUCCUUAAUCACUUAGGAACUUCCUGACUGAAUUUGGGAUUUUUUACCAACCGGAUGGACCAGUUUGGAACCGGUUCAACCGGUUCAGCACCAUAGCUGGCAGCCUCUGUCAGCCAUGAGGAACACUUGUCUUUCUUUGUCUGGUUCUCACUCAUCCAGGGUCGGAAUUGAGAACUGUUUCUUUUGUUUGCUUCCUUAAUCACUUAGGAGCUUACUGACCAAAUUUGGAAUUUUUUACCAACCGGCUGAACCGGUUUGGAACCGGUUCAACCGGUUCAGCACCAUAGCUGGCAGCCUCUGUCAGCCAUGAGGAACACUUGCCUUUCUUUGUCUGGUUCUCACUCAUCCAGGGUCGGAAUUGAGAACCGUUUCCUUUGUUUGCUUCCUUAAUCACUUAGGAGCUUACUGACAGAAUUUGGGAUUUUUUAUCAACCGGAUGUACUAGUUGGGAACCGGUUCAAUCGGUUCAGCACCAUAGCUGGCUGCCUCUUUCAGCCAUGAGGAAUACUUGCCUUUCUUUGUCUGGUUCUCACUCAUCCGGGAUCGGAAUUGAGAACCAUUUAUUUUUUUUGCUUCCUUAAUCACUUAGGAACUUUCUGACCAAAUUUGGGAUUUUUUACCAACCGGCUGGACCGGUUCAGCACCAUAGCUGGCUGCCUCUGUCAGCCAUGAGGAACACCUGCCUUUCUUUGUCUGGUUCUCACUCAUCCGGGCUCGGGAUUGAGUGUUAUUUCUUUUGUUUGAAUCCUCACUCAUUUAGGAGUUUUCUAGAAAAAUUUGGGAAUUCUUCUCAAUAGGUUGUACCAGUUGAGAACUAGUUCAACCUGUUCUGUUGGAGGACUUUAGGUAGCCUUUGAUUUUGGCAUUUUUCGAGCCCUUAUCUAUGGGGGGCUCAAACCCAUUUGCUAUAGGGCACUUGUGAGCCAUCUUGAAGGUUUAAGUCAGUGUUUGAUUUCAGUUAGUAUGGGCAAUUUGGAAGUUAUGGGUGGUGUGGUCUAGAUGAGUCUAGUUCGAUUUGUAUGACAUUUGGGGAGUCCCUUACCUCAUUUCAACCAGCUAUCUUCCUUUUUGGCACAAGAUUUGAUGCUUGAUUUUGAAUACAUGUUGCGUGAUUGACUCACCCUCUGCUGCAGCGCUUGGCUAGGGACCACAGGUACGCAUCGUUGGCUUUGGUUGUUGAAUUCAUAUGCAUGCAUGGUACUUAAUCUUGAAUGUUUGUUAUGUGUUUAUCUGUGUUUGGCUGACCUUUUAUGCAGCGCUUGGCUAGGGACCACAGGUACGCACCCAUUGUUUUGUUUGGUUGAAUUCAUAUGCAUGCCAAAUACCAAUUAGGAUUGUGUGAUUCAUGACAUCUAUUUAGCCUAGGGUUUCAUUUGACCUUUGACCCAUAUGCUCCCAUAUACCCAAUUCAUUAGUAGAGACCGAGUUCCGGGCCUAGAGGGGUGCUACCUCGCAUGAGGUACCUUCCCAACGGGUAACCUGAUCCCCGGACCCAGAAUCUAGUUUUCGUAGACCGCUUUUUCCAUACUGGGGUCAUUAGGGGUUUUUGUUCUUACUUAAUUUUCCCCAUUUUAAAAACAAAAAUAAAAAGUAAGUGGCGACUCCAAACAACACCGUUCCUCACCGGGGGCGGGUUUUUCAAAACUGGAAAACACCAACUUUUUCAUUUCUUUUUUUUCUUUUAAAAGCGAGUCGCGUCGGUCCGGUGGAUCGGGUGAGGGUCCACAGUAGCCCAAGUGGGAGAAUGUUGGAAAAUUUUUUAUAUGGGCUAACAUUAAUUGAAUAAUUUGUAUUUGCAAAAACGAGUUAAUGGAUAGUCUAUUAUAUAAUGAGCCCAAUUAACUAGUGAUCACAUUUUGGAUUGGGUUUUGCAUCUUUUGAGUAGAAGCUCAGUUGAGUGGCAAGUGUAGGCUAUGGGUCUCAUUGAAGCCCAUUAUGGGAGGGCCCAAUGAGAAUCCAAUUUGAGUUAUGCUAAGUCCCCUAUCUAAUCUAGAUAAAAAGGGUUUUUCUAUUUUCCCAUAGAGCCACCAUAGCUGUUAUCAAUAUCAUAGAGAGGAAGACUUGGUUGCAACAAUCAAUCACUGUUUUUUAUCAUGGCUCAAAGAGGUAUGUUCUUUACAGUGAUUUCCUAUUGAUGGUAUCCUUUAAUCAUGUAUGAUUAAUCUAUGUGAUUAUGUAAAUAUUUUACAAAUCCUAGUUCACCUUUUUGUUCCUUAUUAUCAAUGCAUGUAAUGUAAUUGAGUGGAGUCCAUCUCAACCUACUCCAAUUCUAGUAUAGGCACGAAAGUUUGGAGUUGAAUGGAGUGCAUAUUGCGUUGGACCCCUGAUUUCACUCUUACCUUUUUGCCGCGUCCAGAUCAUACAUGUUGGAAAAGAAGAAUUUUGGGUCAAAAUGUCAUGUUUUGAUUGAAUAGUAUUAGGUACGAGUCAUGUUUCAAAUUGUUGUUCGAAAUUAUGAUUCAUCUAUAGCUCUUUUAUCACAACUUAGAUGCUAUGCCCAUUUUUGUUUAUUCAAAAUGUGCUUUUAAUUGAAGUAAAAAAAGAAGAAGAAGAAAUUAUGUGACUUCUAAGACUAGUUUGAUUAUGAGUUUGAGAAGAUGUUUAGAUCGGAUAAUAGUUUUGUUUGAUUGUAAUUUUGGGAAGAUGUCUAGAUAGAACAGACUUUUUUGGCCAUGGAGCCCUUUUGGCCUCAAAGUCAAAGAUGGAGCAUAAAGGUGAAACUGUGGUGUAAGGACAAAUUCAAAUGAAAAUGUUAUCAUUGUUUUCAAAUGCUUACUUUAGAAUUAUGAGCAUAUAAAACACGUUCUAAGUUGUUUGAUAUUUUUUGUAAGCUAAUUUGGGAGAAAAUUGAAAAUAUGAAAAAUAAUUCAUAUGGAAACUAUGGGACCCCACGACCGUCUAGAGACUAACCCCGUGGCCGUCCCGUUACUUGGCAUAAUUAAAGAUGUCAUGACAACACCCUAAUUUACUAUAUGCGUAGUAAUUACCUGGAACACUUCUUAUUGCAGGAACACCCACCAUUUGGAUCAAAGAGGCCAAUUAGAGGAGAUGAUUGUUGACCGUUGACUAACAAUUAGCGUUGUUUGUGGGAAUUGAACUAAGAACCUCAAUUUAGAAUGACUAACAUACCUCCUAGAAUGCAUCCUUAUUCAACAAGUAUGAAUGAUAGGUUCCAUGUGUGGCAAGCAAAAAUGGAGAAAAGGUAGAAAGAGUAUGAGCAAUGCAUGUAAUCCUUGCUUCAGCAUGCAAAGCUGCUGAAGUGGGAAAAUGCAGAAUUGCGGGCAUAAGUGGCCAUUAGGCGUUAUGCAAGCGGAGGAGCCAUUGCACACCCAACCAGUGCGAAGCAAAAUGAUAGGAGUUCCCUUGCUUGAUAGAGAACCAUAAUUGCAAAUAGAUAAUGAAUUUUCGCUAGCAGCUUCCUAACCCUAUCAACCUUGUGGGGAUCUAGAAUAAAGUAGUUAGUUUGGAAAAGCCAGGUAGACAAGGCUACAAGUUCUAUCCAACAAAAAUGUAAGCGAGGAUUGAAGUGAGGGCCAUGUACGUUGGGUGCUCCAAAAAACUGGUUCAGUCAUCCCCAAGAGGGCAUUCUACCAAGCCAUUUACCAUAAUGUAUGAAUCCUGAGCCCUAGUUGCACGAGGCCCUGCCAAAGGCACCCUUAGGCAUAGUAAGCAGACAGUUGGACGAUAUGUUGUCCACAUUGUUCGACUCACACAUAGUCAAUUACAAAUUACCUAGAGGAUUCAUAGUUCUAAAAUUUAUCGUGUAUGAUGGAUUGAGUGACCCCUUCAAUCAUUUAAUGCUUUUUUGACAAAUAAUGACCCUUGAUAUUAGCAAUGAUAUGCUAUUAUGCAAAGUCUUUCCAACUAGCCUUCAUGAGCCAACCCUUGUCAUGGUUUCACUAGCUUCCCUAGAAUUUGGUCAACUCAUUUAAAGAUGUCUCGGAGGCAUUUGUGGCAAACUAUUUGUGCUUGACCUAAUAAAAGCAUAACAUAUGCACUUUGCAAAACAUCAGAAUACUGGAAAACGAGUCGUUAUGGGAUUUCAUCAAGCAAUUUGUCAAGCAGUGUUGCAGGUGGAGUCUUAUAGCAUGGACGCUCUGCUAUAGAUUUUUAAUAGAAGUAUAAGUCCAGGUACCUCUUUCUUCGAAUCCCUCCUGAAAAAGCCAAAUGCCAUAAUGGACGACCUAUUUUGAAGGGUAGAUAAAUACGCAAUCCUUGAAGAUAAUGUUUGGGUAGUGUCCCAACAGAUUCUUAUCACAAAUUAGGUGGCCAAAAGUAAUAGCAAGCCGAGGGUUCAAAGCCAUCUAACAAUCAAUUAAGGUAGGAAAAUCAAAGAUCCUCCCAACAAGGGUAAUAGAGAUGGGAACUGCUUCAGUUCACCUCUUUGACUGUCUCAUACGAGUGGAUUUCUCCUCUUAUCCAAGAGCUACUAGAGUUCAAAAAGACAAUGCCCAUCAAAGUAGAUCUGGCCAAGAGAGAUCAAAGACGAUGGUGCUCUUAUCACAAGGAGUAUGGUCAUACUACAAAAGAGUGCUGACACUUGCAUUACAUGGUGGAAAAUCUAGUAAAAGUUGGACACUUGAAGCAUUACAUCUAAACAAUUUGGGGGCACAGUGAAGUACUAAAAGAAGUGUCGAGUAGAACCCUGACUUUUCCUGUUGAAUAAUGCUUUGUGAUACAUUAUAUCCAUGGGGGCCAACAAGUGAUAAAAUACCAAUCCAGGUGACAUAGGAGGAGCAUGAUUAGGAUCACCAUUGUAAGAGAAUGGGUGAAUAUGGUUCAGUGCACUUUCACUCUUGAAAGUGCCUGACCAAUUGAUGGGCUAUUCACUUUAACACCAGUCAAUCCCAAUCGGAUCAUAGUGCCUCAUGAAGACGAACUAGUAUUAACCCUCAGAGUUAGUGGCUUUAGUGUGUGGAGAAUUUUAGUUGAACUAAGUAGCUCCGCUAAUCUUUUACAAAUGUUAACUUAAAAGCAAAUGAGUUAUUUGCAUGAAGCAUUGGAAAAUCUUGACUGCAUCUUGUCCAGAUUUAAUGGGGUUACCACUAUAUCUAUGGGAGAUGCCUUGCUCCUUAUUGAAGCUGAGCCUGUCACUUUAUGUCUAAGGUUUUCCAUGGUAGGAUAUCUAACACCCUACAAUGCCAUACUUGGGUGAGCAUGGUUGCAUAAGAUGAAGGUCAUCUUGUUUACGUACUAUCAAAUGAUUAGUUACUUGAUAGAGAAAGGCUAAGUGGAUCUGUACGGGAGUUAGCUGGCAACCCGAUAGUGUUAUCAGAUAACUAUGUUACAAGUUGAAUGUAAUUCCAACAACACGAUCGAUACAAUAGAAAGUUUGAUGUUUCCAUCUGGACCGACAUAAGCUAAUACAUACAGAGAUAAGUAACAUGUUAAAGGUUAGAUUUAUUAGAGAAGUGGAGUACCCCAAUUGAUUAGCCAAUGUAAUGAUGGUACCUAAAAAAGAUAGGAAAUGGAGAGUAUGUGUGGACUACACAGACAAGGAUAACUUCCUACUACUACAAAUAGAUCAAAUAGUGACACGACAACCGGACAUGGAAUGCUCUUGUUUCUUGAUGCCUUUUUCCAAUGUUUUCAGAACCGAACCGGUCAUUGAACCGGAAAAGUUACAGGUUCACGGUUCACCGGUUGGACCGGCGGUCGAACCGCUAUCGAACCGGUGACGUCAUAAAUAUAUAUUUUAUUAUUUAAUAUAUUAUAAAAAUUAAUAAAUUAAUAAAUUCUAUGUAAAUUUUGACAGCAUCUACUUUGUUUGUUGAGUUUUGUCACAAAAUUUUUUACCUAUAGAAGUUAGCAAUUAUCAUAUAUGAUAUCUAUAACACAAUAUAAGAUGUUAUACAUUCACAAUGUCAAUAAACUCAAUAUUUAUCAAAUAAUCAAACCAUUACUAUCCUAUAAUAACCAAAUUAUCAAAGAGUUGUUAACUUAACACAUUGUCCAUAAUAGAUAAUACAAAUGUCAACCAUAGGUCCACAACACUUAAAUAAUUACUCAAAAUAAAAAUAUAACAUGUCAAUGUUUGAAUAUUCAUGAAGUUUUUUGCAUACUAAUAAAUAUAAAAUUCAUGUCUUCAUUCAUUUUGGAAAUUGGAAUAUGGAGAUUGAACAUGAGCAUUUGGAAAACCAAAGUUCUCCACAUCAAGCCCUUCUAUAGCCAUGUCACCACCAUCCUUAUCAUCUACAAAAAUAUUGAAUAUAUAUCAACAAUAAAUCAUUUUUAAAGAAAAAAAUAUAAUUAUUGAACUUUUAUAAGUUUAAAUAUUUUACUAACCAAUGUGAGAACUUGAACCUUCCACUUCAUUUAUUGGAAUUGACCCUUCUUCAUAUAGAAGAUUUUCCAAUUCUUCAACAUCUAACUCUGCUGGUUGAUCAUCAUCAACUACCCAAAAAUUGGUCUCAUCAAUGCAUGCAUAGUCAAUUGGAUCAUAGAUUCUUUUCUUGUUAUAGAACCUAAAAAAAAAAGCAUAUAAUUAUUCAUAAUUGUGAAUAGAAGAAUUUAAAUUCAAAACAACUAAGAAAUCAUUUAUACCGAUUUUUUAAGCGCAAAUUAUAAUGAACGUAUACAAGAUCAUUAAGCCUUUGAUGUUCCAAUCUAUUCCUUCUUUUGGUAUGUAUACGUUCAAAGACACUCCAAUUCCUUUCACAUCCAGAAGACGAUGCGGUUUGGCUCAAUAUUAGAAUGGCUAACUUUUGCAAAUGUGGUGCACUGUAUCCAUGUAGCCUCCACCAUUCAUCUAGUUACCAUUUCACAUUAAAAAUAAGAAAAAAAUAAAACACAUUAGCAAGUUUAAAAUAUUAAAUAGUAAGUAGGUAACUAAUAAAAAAGAAUGAACAUACUAAUAAAUGAAAAUAAUAUUUUACCAGGUUGAAGUACUUCACAUGAAGAAUAAGCAAGUUCUCUUCCAAAACUUCCCAAUCGAUCACGAAAUAACUUCAUUUCAUUCAUUGUUUCAAGCUUGCAUUUCAGAACUUUUUGAUCAAUAACAUCCAUGACACCUCCAAUAACAUUUGGCUUAUUACAAAAGUUUUCCUGAUCAUAUUGGAAACAUGGAUUCAACCAUUAAGCUGCUGAAUGAAUGCUUUUCUUUAGUUGUUGAUCCCAACGUUGCUUUAUGAUCUCUGUAUAAGGCUUGUAUAGUCUUUCGUUGUAGUUAAACAAUUUCUUGAUGCCCAAACGAACCCUAUACAUGCCUUCAUAUACAUAUCCGAUGGAAGACCUCUCAUCACAAUCAACAAUAUGCAAUAAGCGUAUUAGUGGAGACAUAAGAUUCACAAUAAUCAAAAGAUCAUUCCAAAAUCUAUUAUCCAAGAUGAUGGAAACUGGAACUUUGCUUUUAUAAUCCUUUGAAUAUCUAGAGUCCACAAAAAACUUACUAGUCACCAAAGCUUGCAAGUCAUGUUUAUGAUCAUGAAGACUCUUGAGUGCAAUGAAUGUAGUAGCAAAGUGAGUUGCACCAGGUCGCAAAAUCUCUGUCCAUCAUUCUCUUUUUCUCAACCAACUUAAUAAAGCAACAUGAUUAUAAACAAAAAUUGUCACCUUUGAUGCACGUCUUACAAGUUCAGCAACAUGGUCCAUCUUACCAAUAUCCUUAAAGAUCAAAUUAAGACAAUGAGCUGCACAAGGUGACCAAUUAAUGUGUUUAUGCUUCUGAGAAAUCAAUCUCCCCGUGGCCACAUAAUUUGCUGCAUUAUCAGUGACUAUAUGAACUACAUUGAGUGGACCAACCCAUUCAAUCACCUCAUCAAAUAACUCAAACAAAUUAGUUGCAUCCUUGACAAUGUCCGAAGCAUCAACGGAUUUCACAAACGAUAUUCCUUCAGGACAAUACACAAGGAAGUUGAUGAGUGUUCUUUGUCUAUUAUCUAUCCAACUAUCACCCAUUAUUGUACACCCAACUUUUGCCCAAAUUGCACGAUAAGAGUCCACAAGUAACUAGACUUCCUUCUUGGCAUCCUUUAAAAGAUUAACCCAUAGUUGAUGGUAAUUUGGACCCUUAUAUCCAGGACCAAUUGCAGAUAUAGCAUCCAACAUUGGCUUGAAGUAGAAGGAAUUCAUUGCAUUAAUAGGAAUGCAUGCAUCAUAAAAGAAUCUCCCAACCGCCAUAUCCGCUCUCCAAAUAGCUUAUUUCCCAGCUAGUACACUCCUCAUGGAAGGUUGAGCUCCUUGAGUAUUUCUUGGUGCAAAAUACUUAUCCAUUGUUGAUUUUUUCCUUUUUCCACUAUUAGCCGCCAUAGGACUUUGCAUUUCUUGAACCUCUUCUUCACAUUCUACCCUAUCCCUUUCAAAUUGUGACACAUUAGGACCAUAAGGAUUUCUAUAUUCAUAUGCUUCUUGGGUUGCUUUCUUAGAAUUCACAAACUCUUGCAAAGAAUUUUCCAUUCGAAAUUUUACAUCAGGAGGAACCGAUUUACAUGGACCAAUAUCUUUUUUCACUCCAACAAGAUGUUGUUUCAUUCUAUGAAUACCCCCACAUUUUGUAAUCUUUUUACAAUACAAACAAAUAAGAGCUUUCCUUCCAUUUGCAUAUCUUUCUUCAGAAACAUGCUCCCAUGCAGGAUCGAUCUUACUUCUAGUUGAUUGAGAAUUGGUAGUUGAAUCUUGACCAGAGGAUGGAGUGAAGUUUGAUUCCAUUUUUUAUUUCUCUAUCAAAUUAGAAACAAAAAUCUCACAUUAACGUAGAGAAUGGAAGUCAUCAACCAUUUAAUGAUUUAUAAUCAAGUCAUCAACAAUUUAUAACAAUCACAUAUCAAUUGGUAAAUUUAUUUAAAGGAACAACCAUCAUUAUAACAAGCAUGUUUUGAUCCAAUUAUAAAUUUAUCUAAAUUUUAAAGUAAUUUGGUAUAGAUAUAUUGAUGGGCAAACUCCACAAAUAUCUAAACAAGCAUGUUUGGAGAAUUUUUCCACAAAUAUCUUGUAAAUUAUGCUUCUUUUUCAAUGCAUGCUUUCACAUUUUCUCUAUGGCAUGCGUUAACAUACAUGUGGUCCAAAAGGGAUCAAUCUUCAUAAUCACUUGUAUAUAAUUAAUAUAUGAUAUCAUUAUAUCAUUAUUUUACCACUUCUUCAUCAAAGGUAAGGUCAUUUUUAAAAUAAGAAUUAUUAAAGCAUCCUAUGCAUUCCAUCAUAUUAUAAACUAAAUCAAUUUGUUUUAAGUUACUUAAGAAUUCCUCAUGAAUAGGCAAUUAAUUAAACCAGAAGGCAUGAAUGCAUGAUGGCUUCCUUCCACAUGUCUAUCUUAGCAUCAUCACCGACAAUUAAUUAAACCAGAAGGCAUGAUGGCUUCCUUCCACAUGUCUAUCUUAGCAUCAUCACCUCAAAUUAUUAUUAUUAAUAAUCCAUUAAUCUUAAUGUAUAGCAUAGCUGCAUAGCAAAGAAAACAGCUACUUACUGGGCAAACUCCAACGCCGGGGCGGGCUACUAGUUGGAAGAGAGGGGGAGCUUUCCAACGUAGGCGAUACCUGUGUGGGUGUCGUGGGCCACCGGCGGGACCGUGUGAGUGUCACAGGUCGCCGACGGGAUCUCUCUUGGUGUCGCGGCAGGGAUGUGUCGACGGCGGGCGGAGGAGAGGGGGGCAACUACCAAUGUGCGUGUCGUGGGCCGCCGGCGGGACCUGUGUGGGUGUCAUAGGCCGUUGGCGGGAUCUCUCUUGGUGUCGCGGUAGGAAUGCGUCGACAGCGGGCGAAGGAAAUGGGGGAAGCUACCCUUGGUGUCGUGGGCCGCCGACGGGACCUGUGUGAGUGUCGCUGUUGUCGCAGGCCGUCGGCAGGAUUUGUCUUGGACCCUUGGUGUCGCGGAUGGGUCGUCGACGACGGGCGGAGGAGGAAGGGCUGCUGGGCUGGAGCUUGGAGGUUGCAGCGGCGCAGCAUGGAGAUCUCGUUUUGUUAAAUAGGACUCUAAAAUGGCGUCAUUUUGAUGCCAGAAGCAUCAAAACAACGUCGUUUUGAUGUUGUUUAAAAAAAAAAAAUUAAAAUCAAUUGAACCGGUCGGUUCACCGGUUGGACCGCCGAUUCUAGCGGUCCGACCCCGGUUCGAUCCCUAUCCGGUCCAAAUGAUCGGACCGGAUCGAAACGGUGAUCGGUCGGACCUGCCGGUCCGGUCAUGUUUUUAAAACAUUGCCUUUUUCAGACACCAUCAAACACCUAUGCAUUCACCAGAUUUUGAGAAAACUGCCUUCAUUACCUCAUAGGUCUUUUAUUGCUACAAUGUAAUGCCAUUCAACUUAAAAAAAUGCAAAGGACAACCUUGCAUGUGGAUAAGCAUUUUUUUACAUGCAGUCCCACUCAACGGUGAGACUCACUUUUUAAGUGAAAAAUUGUAUUUUAUUAAAAAAAAAAACUGGAGUCGCCACUUAUUUUUGUUAUUUUUUAAAAGGGGAAAAUAAAGUAAGAAACUAAAACCUUAAAAAAAAUGAAUCUUUAAACUUUUGGAAAAGUAUCUUUGAAAAACUCGAGUUUAGGUUAGGGGAUUAGGUUACCUAUCGGGAGGGUACUUAAAAAAGGUAACACCCUUUUAAGUCCUAAAAAGGUCUCUACUAGUUCGGCUGAGAGAAGUGUGGUAGUUAAUUGAUUGAUUUAGGGUACUAAAAAAGGUUAAAGUGUUUACCUAAAUUCUAAUAAUAAAUUAAAUAUGAUAAACAAUCAAUUUAAGUCACAAUCAUAAAUGAAGAGUAAGAUGUGUACCUAGACUGCAACUUAAAAUGCUAUUACAAGAUAUAUAACAUGCAUCUUAUUAAAAAAAAUGAAACAAACAUCAAGACAAUCAAGGACAAUAUCAAACAUAAAUAUAGUUCACACAAAACAUUUCUUAUGUAAUUAAAAAAAAUUGAAAGGUGGAGAGUGUACCUGAAUAACAUAUCUUAAAUGCAAUGCACUUCCAAUACAAAUAGAGAAGUUAGGAUAAAAGAUGAUGACAAGUAAUUAGGAGAGCAAAACCUAUCAUGCAUAGUAUUUGCAUGGCAUGAACUUAUAGAGACAUUAGUUAUACAAGGUAUAUAACCAACUAAAUAACUCAACUUUGGGAAAAAGUUUUUUAAUGCAAAUAACAUUCUAGAAUCAAUUUUAAGAAGUGAGUAACAUCAUACAAUUUUGGAAUUUUUUUUUAACACACUAAAAAAAUAAUCAAAACAAAAUUUAAAACUAAAGUGUCAUUAGCUAAGUUGAAAUUGACAACAAAGAUGAGUUUUAAAAAUCUUUCAUGUAGGGGUUCCAUCAAUCCCCAUCGAAUAUUCAUAAGUUCAACCUGUGCAUCCUCAACCUGAAGUGAAAAGAUUCAACAAGGCCAAGAACAUUUCCAUUAGUUUGGGGGCACAAGUUCAAUUUAUGAGAAUAAAAACAAAGUUUUUGGAAAACCAAAAGGAGAAUGCAAUUUGGAUGAAAUGAGUUGCAUGUUUUUAAAAGAAAGUGCGAUUUUUACCCUAAACCUAGAGAAAAUUUUCUUUUAAAGUCUUUAGAUGAUUCAAAUCCUUUACAAAAUAAUUUAAAUUCCUUUUUUUAAAUGAUUUUAGGAGGAGCAAAAAGGAACCAAGUGAAUUAAGAAAUUCCGAACAAAAAAUGCAAAAGUUGGGAUUUUUGAUUCCUAACUUAAAAGAAUUUGAAAACAAGAGAAAAAUCAACUUAGAUAUUCUUUUUGGCUACCUUUUCAUUCAUGAUCCAUGAGCCCUAUUCAUGAUGGAGAAAUUUCAUUUUUGAAAAGAAAUUUUGACUUAACUCCAAAUCAAUUAAGAAAACUUUUUCUUAAAAAAAAAGGUUUGAACUUAAGAAAUCCUCAAGGAGCCUACUAAGUAAGUAUCCAAAUGAGGAAAACUAACAAUUUAACCCAAAUUUAACAUCUAAUGAAUUUUCUUAAAAAAAAUAUACUAAUAGGAAAAUUUAACCGCACAUACAUUCAAUGAAUUUUUAACUAACAUGUAAAUUUAAUCAAACUAACACUUAAUGAAUUUUUUUAAAAGCUCUUAACAAAUGAAUUUUUUUAAAAGCUCUUAACAUAUAAAUUUAGCAAAACAAACACUCAAUAUUUUUUUUUCUUUUUUUAAAACAUCUGACAUAUAAAUUAUCAAAACAAGCAUUUUAUGAAUUCUUUUAAAAGUAUCUAGCAUAUAAAUGGAUCAAAACAAACACUCAAUGAUUUUUUUAAAACCUUCUAACAUAUAAAUGAUCAAAAUGGACAUUCUAUGAAUUUCUUGAAACAAUCUAGCAUAUAAAUUUAACAAAACAAACACUCAAUGAUUUUUUUAAAAGCAUUUAGCAUAUAAAUUAUCAAGAUGAGAACUCAAUGAUUUUUUUUAAAGCAUCUAACAUGUAAAUUUAAUUAAACUAAUGGAAACUAAAACCUAAAUAACUUGAGAAUAUAUAUAUAUAUAUAUAUAUAUAUACUAAUCUCUAAUUUAAAUCAAUAAACCAACAAUAAUAAAUUAUAAACACAUGGAGUAACAUAAUCAAAGGAAUGUAGCCUAAAAACUAAGAACAAAAACAAGAACAUGAAAUUUUUAAAGCAUGAAAUUAACAAAACAAACUAAUGAAAACUAAACCUAAAUAACUUAAGAAUAUAUAUACCAAUCCCUAAAUUAAAUCAAUAAACCAACAAUAAUAAGCUAUAAAACAGAUGGAAUAACAUGAUCAAAGGAAUUUAAACCUAAAAACUAAGAACAAAAACUAGAACAUGGAUUGUUGAAAGCAUGGAAUUAACAAAACAAACUAAUGGAAACUAAACCUAAAUAAUUUGAGAACAUAUAUACCAAUCUCUAAAUUAAAUCAUUAAACCAACAAUAAUAUAAUAUAGAAAUAUGGAAUAUCAAGAUCAAUGAAGUCUAAGCCUAAAGAAAUUUAAGAACAUAUUCUAACAUCAAACUAACAACAAGAAAUUUUAAAGCCAUGCAUAAAUAAGAGAUAAAUGAAAACUAUCUUUAAAAAAUAUUAAAAAUGUACUCCUAGAUGAGAUAUUGACAAUUAAUAACUUCAAAAUAAUUGAAAUCAUGUAUUAAAAGAAAUUGAUGAAACUUAUCAUUAAAGGGCUUAUAGAGAAUAAGAAACCAAAAAAAGAAAAAGAAAAAAAAAUGAAAUGAAAUUAAAAGGAACAUGAGACUCACCUUUGAUAUGUUGAUGCGUGAUGUAUCUUCCAAAAAUUUGUGAUGGAUGCGCCUUCUUUCCAAGGUUUAGCCUGUGUGUGUUUGCUGCCUAAUUAUGUGUCAUCUUUCCUCUCUCCAGCCUGAUUUUUUUUAUACUCUCCAAGUGAACUGCAUCUUGCACUAAAGUGACAGCCUAUACAUUGCCCUUUUCUCUUGUAGCCGUGUGCCUUGCUGUGAUCCAAAAGUAGUGCCACCUAUAUGUCAGACGGGCAGUAUUUGAAGAUGAGGGUGUGGCUCUUUUUCCCCCCUACUGCUGCAUGCUUGGUGUAGAAAAGAUCACAAUGGCAUCUGCUUUCCUUCCAAAAAUACAUUGAAUGUCCUCACACGCUCAAUCUCAUACCUUAGAAUCACACUCAAUCUUCAAACUUUCCCAAAACAUCUUACCUCUUUACCACUAGCCUGAUUACUUCGAAAACUGACCUAAAUCUCACUCCCAAAACCUGGCCCGAAUAUCCCUUUGACUAGCCUUAUUCCCAUAAAAAAAACCUUUGUUUUCCUUCUUAAUCCCAACCAAAAAAAAAAAAAAAAAAAACCAGAACAUUGUUGAUCUUCUCUAAAAAAUAAGUUAUUUUCCAUCCAAGAAUUCCCCCUCCUUGAAUCCCUUCCAGAAUACAACCUGUAUAUCCCAUGUGAUACUUCAAAUCUCCUAUUAGAAGUCCUUUUCUAAUCUCCCUUAAUGCCAUGAAUGAUGAGUCAUUUUUUUUCAAAUCUCUAUGGCAGCCCCUAUCUCUAAGAGUCCACAUUUUAUUUUAUAAAAAUCUCGUCUCAUAUGGCAAGUGGCAGCUGUCAUACCCCUGAAGAUCUCACUAAAUUUUUCACGAGUGGGCGGUGCUAAGGACCCGUCCUUAGCCAACCUUCCUUUCCAGCUUUUAGAAAAAUAGAGUUAAGCAAAGUAAAAGCACAGUAACAGGGACACCAACGAAUUACAGGAAACCUUUCCUAACUUGUAUUAAUUCACUCUACAAGACAAAAUUGUUCCCUUGAGUCAGAGUACAUGCUUCACACCCAAGCAUUACGAGAAGGAACCCUAUCCCAAAACUCUCGCUUUGUUUCAAGGCUGUAGGAGUCCUUUUAAAAGACUUGGCCUGCAGUUACACAUUUGGAUUUCCAAAUUCAAAAGUUGAAGCCAACCUGGUGGUUAUGCAACUGGCCAGAACCGCCCAUAAUUGCCUUGCAUAACCACCCACCACCCAGAUAGUGGCCUGCACACGCCACCCACUUGCACAAACCAUCAUCUCCCUAGCCAAUUGCAAGUCAAUUGGUUGUUUGACUUGAUCACCUAAUGUCCUAACUAGCUGCCACUGACUAGCUACACUGCCACUAGCUAGCUGCACUUCCAUUUCCUCAAGCCUUGCUCACCAAGCUGCUGGAGAGUUCCCCUAACAAGCUGUCUUCUUUCUCGCAAAGUGCCUCUUGUGACCGGGUGCUCACGAGCGUGUCUUUGACCAAGACCUUCUGAUCUAAGCAGCAUGCACCAACCAGCUGACCAAGUGUUUGGUGCAUCAGUGUGCCUUCCCCACACUAAUGUGUGAGCCCAUGCCAUGUCUAGGUGCCCAUGGCUUAGGCGUGUUGCUUACUUCCAUUAUCAGGUCCAGCUUCAUAGCAACGAGCCAUGGUAUUGCGCCCAUGGUUGAUCCCUCUUGGUGCAUAGGGCAUUGCGUCCCUGUGCUGUGCAUAGGCAUCAUGGUGCGAUUCAACUAUUGUUUGGUGUCCCAUCAGACCAUGGCAUUGUGAUCAUGGCUUCAUCAGCUAGCUCACCGCACAAGGCUUAGACGCUCUCGUGCCUGCGCGGGGAGGGGGUAGGCCGCACUAGGCCUCGUGCUGUUGCGGCCACGAGAUGCACACCACACAUGUCGUGGAGCCCAUGUGUGCGUGCUCGAGUUGCGUCCGUGUGUCCUAGGCACGCUCAAGGUCAUGCCAUGGUGCCUUCUUGGUGCAGUCAAGGCUUCCCUUGGUGCUCCCUCAUUUGAGUCACCUACCCCCCCCACCCUUAAAGAGCAACACAAGCCGUUUUCAUUGUUUUUGGAGGAGACAUCAAUAUGUUUGAGAAGACAUAAUGGAAUAAUAAAUAAUUAUAUAUUAAAAUUCCAAAAGUUUCUCAGCCUUCAUCUACACCACCUAAAUCAGGUGCGCGCGCAACGCUUAUCUGGUGCGCAUGCAAUGCAUGUCUGGCUCGCCCACAGUGCGCGCCUGGCCUGCUCGCGGUGUGUGUCUGGCUCGCCCGUGGUGCGCGUACGGUGCGCGUUUGGCUCGCCUGUGGUGCACUCACGAUGUGCGUCUGGCUCGCCCGCGGUGCACGCACUGUGCGUGUCUGGCUCGCCCGCGGCCUCCUCACUUAGCCCCUAGAGUUUGAACCACCAAACCUCCAAGCUUUCCUUGCUUUUAGCCUAGGCUCUCAUGGGUGCAAGGCUUACCCAUGAGGCCUUUUCCUCCAUGGUUAAGUCAAGAGGUUAAGGGGCUGACAAACCCACCCCCGCCUACUGAAGUCAAUGCCCUCAUCGACUUAGUUUGCUAGUAUGCCUGGACCGCCGUCUCAAAUUGCCACAAGGUAACAUCCCUCUCCCAAGUAGCUUCUGCUUCUGAAGUCCCCUUCCAUUGAACCAAGAAAUUAAUUCACUGGUUCUUUCUGCUAUGUCCCAUGGUCCUAUGAUCCUAUGAUCCAAGAUCUUUUCUAUCUCUCGAUCAAACUGCUUCAUGACCAAGAGAGGGACCCGCUUUGUCUGCACCCUUUCUGCAUCCAGAUCCUCAUGGUAAGGCUUCAAAAAGCUAGCAUGGAAAUUUGGGUGAAGCUUGAGCCUCUCAGGUAGUUUCAACAUGUAGGCCACCUGCCCAACUCAUUUAAUCACCUCGAAUGGUCCAUCAUACUUAGGAAUUAGACCCUUCUACCUUGUCUUGUUGCUGAUUUUCUUCCAAAUCUGAGGAGUCAAUUUCAGAAGGACCUUGUCCCCAACCUGAAAUUCCAAGGGUCUGCAAUCACGAUCCGCAUACUUUUUCAUUUGUCUAGCUGCCUUCUCUAGACUGUUCUAGACUUCAUCAAACAUCUCUUACCGGGACUGAGCCAUCUUGUAAGCUGCAAAACUACUUCCUCCUGUUUUUUGCUUAGCCACCUCCAAAGGCAUUCGUGGCUGCACCCCAAUAGCUAGCUCAAAGGGACUCAUCCCUGUUGUCGAGCUUCUCUGUAGAUUAUAACAUAACUAAGCAGUAUCCAACAAAUCCACCUAAUUCUUUUGUGUUGUUGUCACAUAGUGCCUGAGGUAUUCCUCCAGCAAGGCGUUGAUCCUCUCUGUCUGCCCAUCAGUCUGAGGGUGGUUGGCUGUAGAGAACUUCAACUCUGAACCUAAGAGUUUGAACAGCUCAACCCAAAGUCGGCCUAUGAACCAUGCAUCUCGAUCACUGAUUGUCCUUAGGCAACCCAAAAUGUUUGACCACAUUACUGAAAAACAACUUAGCCGCUUCCUCCGUAGGGCAAGCAUCAGGGGCAGGUAUAAACACAGCAUACUUAGAGAAUCUAUCUACAACAACAAAGACAGAUUUAAAAUCAUGAACCUUUGGGAAUCUAGUGAUAAAAUCCAUGAAAAUGUUAUCCCAAGGUCUCUCUGGAAUGGGGAGGGGCUGUAGCAACCUUGCAGCCUUCUUCCUUUCAGUCUUGUCCAUUUGACAAACCAGGUAGCAUUUCACAUAUGCCUAGACAUCCUCACCCAUCUUAGGCCAGUAGUAGGAUCUGGCUAGCGGUGUCAAAGUCCUCUCUUCACUAGGAUGGCCUACCCACUUCACAUCAUGAGUUUCCCGUAGUAAUUCAUUUCUCAGGUCGCCUGUAGGAACAUACCAUCUUCCUCCUUUUGCCACAAGGAGGUCUCCCUCCAGCCAAUACCUUCUUACCACGCUCUCCUUAACUUGGUGCUUCAGCUUGCUAUAUGCAGCAUACUGCUCCGCAACUUGCUUGAUAUUCUUAUUAAAGUUAGAAAUGACUUCUGAGAGGGCCGUGAUGUAGGCAAUCACCUCUUUCGUACUCAAGGCAUCAACCACAGUGUUAUGUCUUCCUGGUCGAUGCAGCCAUUCAAAUUUGAAGUCGGUCAGGAACUCCUGCCAUCGUGCUUGUCUGGGACUCAACUUCUUCUGAGUUUUGAAGAAGGUGCUGGCCACAUUGUCGGUGACCACUAUAAAAAUGCUUCUUAGUAGGUAGUGUCUCCACUGCUGCAGGCAGUGGACCACAAUCGUCAUCUCCUUCUCAUGAGUGGAGUACCUCUACUCAGCAUUGUUCAGCUUCCUACUUUCAAAUGUCACAGGGUGCCAUUCUUGCACCAAGACUCUACCCAAGGCUCUAUCUAAGGCAUCUGUUUGGACUUCAAAGGGUAAGUCCAAGUCUGGAAACCGCAGCACAGGCUUAGUGGAGAUGGAUUAUUUCAAGCCUUCAAAGGCAUCUGACACUGCAUGCUCCAAUCCCACUGGUUGUCCUUCUUCAACAGGUCAGUAAGGGGAGACACCUUAUUUGAAUACCCCUUAAUGAACCUUCUGUAGUAAUUGGCCAAGCCAAGGAAGGACCGCAACUCUGUCACUUUGGUAGGGACUGACCACUCCAUAAUAGCCUGCACUUUGCCUUUGUCCAUCCUGAUCAGGCCUGCACUAAUCUUGUGCCCUAGAAAUGUGAUCUCCUCCUGAGCAAACUCACAUUUCUCUGGCUUUACAUAAAGCCUGUUCUCCUUCAAUCUCUGAAACACCAAUCUCAAGUGUUUCUCAUGUUCUAUUAGGGUCUUGCUAUAAACCACAAUAUCAUCUAGAUACACUACCACAAAUGCAUCUAAAUAGUCAAACAAAACAUCAUUCAUCAAAUUGCAGAAUGUAGCAGGGGCAUUAGUCAGUCCAAAGGGCAUUACCAGAAACUCGUAUGAUUCAUACCGAGUUACACAAGUGGUCUUCCCCUCAUCUCCUGCUGCAAUUCGCACUUGCCAGUAGCCUGAUCUCAGGUCCAACUUGGAGAAGUAAGAGGCUUUUGACAGUCUGUCAAACAGCUCAGCAACCAAGGGGAUCGGGUACUUGUUCUUGAUGGUCACCUUGUUGAGGGCUCUAUAGUCCACACACAUGUAGAGAGAGCAUCAUGCUUCUUUUGGAACAACAUUGGUGCACCAUAUAGGGCCCUUGAGGGCUGGAUCAGGCUUGCAUCCAACAGUUCCUUCAAUUGCUUUCCUAACUCCAGCAACUCCAUAGGAGGCAUCCGGUAAGGGGCUUGAGUCAGGGUCUUUAUUCCAGGUAGUAAUUCGAUCUUGUGGUCAAUAAGUCGCUAGGGUCGCAACUCCUUAGGGAGUUCUGCAGACAUCACGUCUCUGAACUCCUUAAGGAUUUUAAUCAUUGAGUUAGGGACUUUCACAGACUGUCCCUCCUUGAUCUCAAUCAAGGUUGCAACAUAAGUCUCUUGGCCCUUCUUCAAUCCCUUCUUUAACUGAAUAGCGGACAACAUCUCAGGCUGUCCAUUACCACCAUCCUUCGCCUUUAAGGCCUUCACAAAGCAAAGCUGCUUCUCUUUUAACUCUAACAGUCCACCAAGAUGUGGGAUCAAGGCCACCUUGGCCCUCAAGAGGAAAUCUAUCCCAAGGAUCAAGUCAAAGUCAUCCAAGGGUACACAAAGUAGGUUGCACGUGCCUUUCCAGUCACCAAUUUGCAUGGGGACAUUCUUAGCUACACCUUGGAUCUUCUGGGCUUUGCUAUUGACUGCCUUGAUCCAACUGGUAUCCUCCUCCAAUUUCAAUCUCAACCUAGUUGCUUCUCUGGUGGCCACGAAGUUGUGAGUGGCAUCAUUAUCCACCAAGGCCUCCACCUGCACACCAUUUACAAUGGCAUGGACAUGCAUUAGGGAUUUCUGGACUAGGGUCUCACCAUUAAUCACGUUCAGGAGUUGCAGUGGGUUGAAUCUAGAAGGGGUCUCUGAGUCAGAGUCUCUCUUGUCGUCUGUAGUCACAAGGGCUGAGAGUUUCUCUCUUUUGGGGUAGUCUCUGGCUCGAUGAGGACCAUUGCAGAUGAAACAUCCUACCUUCCGGGUGGUCUGCUACACAAUCUUUGUGGUCUUCUCCACUGGUUUUCCCCUUAUAGUAGGCUUCUUGCUCUAUUUCUUCCACCCAUACUUCUUAGAAGUCUUGCCCCCAGUCUUAGCCUUCUUGCCUCCAUCUGACUUGGGUCUCUACAUGGUGGAGAUGGUGCCACCUAUCUUGUAAUCCACCAGGCAGUCUGCUGCAACCAUGACAGUAGGGAGAUCACGAACCUCUUGCCUCCUAAGUUCUGUUUGAGCCCAUCCUUGCAAUCUAGACAUGAAAUUAAAGAGCUUGUCCUCAUCUGACAUGUUCUUUAUGUCUAGCAUCAAGGAAUUGAACUCCUUGACGUAGUCCCUCACAGAUCCGGUGUGUCUAAGCCUUUUUAGCGCUUCUCUGGCCACUCACGCAGUGUUAGUGGGGGGAACUGAUCCUUCAAUUCCUUCUUCAGAGUCUCCCGGUGAUUUGGGGCAUUCCAUACUCUGCAUCAUCUUCCAUCCUAGUUCGCCACCAUAGUUUGGAAUCACCAGUCAGAUACAUGCUGGUGAUAGACACCUUUUUGCCAUCAGGAAUGUGAGCAACCUUGAAGAACUGCUCCAUGUCCCACAAGAAGUUUUCCAACUCCUUCGCGUUCCUGUUAUUGUUGAAGCCUUUAGGCUCUAGGACUCGGACCUUGGAAAGGGCUUCAGGGAUUGACGAGGACCCCUACAACGUCCUCUCCAUAGGACUGCAGGGUGCCUUUGAAGUCAUCCAUCAGGGACUGCAUCUCUGAUUUCAACCUAGCAAGUUUCUCCUCAAAGAAAUUAUCAUGGGUCUCCAACAGACUGCUCUGCACUUGGAUUUCUCCCAUGGUGUUUUCUGUCCACAAAGCCAUAGUGCCUUCCUCACCUGGCCAUUCUACCAAUGCUUCUUUCAUUCGAGUCAUCAUUUCCCGCAAGGCGUCCAUUGCACUACCACCGGCCAUCUCUGGUGCGAGCUCUGAUACCAAUUGUCACACCCCUGAAGAUCUCACUAAUUUUUUCAUGAGUACGUGGUGCUAAGGACCUGUCCUUAACCAACCUUCCUUCUUAGCUUUUAGAAAAACAGAGUAAAGCAAGUAAAAGCACAGUAACAGGGAAACCAACGAAUUACAGGAAACCUUUCCCAACUUGUAUUAAUUCACUCUACAAGACAAAAUUGUUCCCUUGAGUCAGAGUACAUGCUUCACACCUAAGCAUUACGAGAAAGAACCCUAUCCCAAAACUCUCUCUUCCUGUUUCAAGGCUGUAGGAGCCCUUUUAAAAGACUUGGCCUGCAGUUACAUAUUUGAAUUUCCAAAUUCAAAAGUUGGAGCCAAUCUGGUGGUUAUGCAACUGGCCAGAACCGCCCAUAACUGCCUUGCAUAACCACCCGCCACCCAAAUAGUGGCUUGCACAUGCCACUCACUUGCAUAAGCCAUCAUCUUUUUAGCCAACUGCAAGUCAAUUGGCUGCUUGAAUUGAUCACCUGAUGUCCUAGCUAGUUGCCACUGACUAGCUACACUGCCAUCUCCUUAAGCCUUGCUCACCAAGCUGCUGGAGAGUCCCCCUAACAAGCUGUCUCCUUCCCCACAAGGUGUCUCUUGUGACCGGGUGCUCACCAGCGUGUCUUUGAUCAAGACCUUCUGAUCUAGGCAGCAUGCACCGACUAGCUGACUAGAUGUCUAGUGCAUCAGUGUGCCUUCCCCACACUGAUGUGUGAGCUCGUGCCAUGUCUAGGUGCCCAUGGCUUGGGCGUGUUGCUUGCUUUCACUGUCAAGUCCAGCUUCAUAGCAACGAACCAUGGCAUUGCAUCCAUGCCUGAUCCUUCUUAGUGCACAAGGCUUAGGCGCCUUUGUGCCUGUGCGGGGAAGGGGUAGGCCCUGUGCCAUUGCGGCCACGGGGUGCACACCACACAUGUCGUGGAGCCUAUGUGUGCGUGCUCGAGUCACAUCCGUGUGUCCUAGGUACGCCCAAGGUCGUGCCAUGGUGCCCCUUUGGUGCGGUCAAGGCUUCCCUUGGUGCUCCUUCCUUUGAGUCACCUACCUCUCCUUAAAGAGCAAUACAAGCUGUUUUCAUUGUUUCUGGAUGAGACAUCAAUAUGUCUAAGGAGACAUAAUGGAAUAAUAAAUAAUUAUAUAUUAAAAUUCCAAAAGUCCUUCAGCCUUCAUCUGCACCACCUAAGUCAGGUGCGUGCGCCAUGUCUAUUUGGUGCACACGCGGUGCAUGUCUGGCUCGCCCGUAAUGCGCGUGUGGUGCGCAUUUGGCUUGCCCGCUUGCGGUGUGCGUCUGGGCCGCUCGCGAUGUGCGUUUGGCUUGCCCGCGGUGUGCGUGGUGCGUGUCUGGCUCGCCUGCGGUGCAUGUGUGGUGCGUGUCUGGCUCGUUCGUGGCCUCCUCACUUAGCCCCUGGAGUUUGAACCACCAAACCUCUAGGCUUUCCUUGCUUUUAGCCUAGGCUCUCAUGGGUGCAAGGACUACCCAUGAGGCCUUUUCCUCUAUGGUUAAGUCAAGAGGCUAAGGGGCUGACAACAGUCGUGUAUACCAAGUGGCAGCCCACAUAUCUUCAAAAUCUCCUUGUGCAUGAAUUAUACCUCCCAAAUCCCCUUCGUGGCCAUUUAUCCCUUUAGUCCUUUUCCAACUCAACUUCCAAAAAAAUUCCAUUUUCCUUAUGUUUUUUUCCAUUCUUUCAUGCUCUCUUAAUGGUAGUUGUUAAUCUCAAGGAUCCUUUUUCCUUCAAAAUAUCCAUGUGGCGUGAAUCAUAUCUCCAUGGCCUCAAAGAAUCAUUCUUAAUAAAAUCUCCUAAAAAAAGAUUCUUCCAUAUCUAAAGCUCUCUUUGCCGUCCAUCACCAUGAGAGUCUUUUUUUCUUUAAAUUCUUAUCAUGUUGUGAAUCUUCCAAUUUCCAUAUGGUAAUGCUCCAAGUCCACCCAAUCUCCUUCUCUUUUUAGAGUCUUACUCCAUUUAAAAUUCAAAUGGCAGUCAUGUUUCAAUAUAAAGAGGAUCAUUUCCUUCCUAAACUCAAUUCAAAAUAUCAAUGUCUUAAUAAGCCCCCAUGCACAUGCUAUGUAAGAUGAUAUGAAAUGUUGUCCUAAAAUGCACCUAAAGCUUUCUAAAAUGCAUGUAAAUAAACUAUUCUAAAAAUGUACCUAGAUGAACUAACUUAAAGUGUACCUAAAUGUUAUGAACUGAGAAUGUAUCUAGAUGAACUAUCCUAAAGUGCAACUAAACUAAGAUGUAACUAAGAAAAUUCUUAAAAUGCAACUAAGUAAACUAAGUGACCUAAACUAAAGUGCAUCUAAGUGAACUCCACUCAAGUGCAUCUAAGUGGGCUAAGCUAAAGUGCAUUUAAGUGAAGUAAGCUAAAGUGCAUUUAAGUGAAAUAAACUAAAUUGCAUCUGAGUGAACUAACUUAAAGUGCAACUAAGUAAACUAAACUAAAGUGCCACUAAAUGAGCUCAACCAAAGUGCAAUUAAGUGAGCUAAAUCUAAAAUGUGAUUAAAUGAGUUGAGUUGUAGUACAACUAAGUAAGCUAAGUUAAAGUGCAACUAAGUGAGCUGAACCUAUAAUGCAACUAAGUGACCUAAACUUAAAAUGCAGCUAAGUGACCUAAACCUAAAAUGCAACCAAGUGAACUAAAUUAAGGUGAAAUUAUGGAUAUAUUUGGGAUCUAUAAAAAAUCCCUCGACAAUGAAUCUUUAAAGAUGGAUAAAAAAAAAUGCUACAUGAGUGACAAUGGACCAUCAAUGGACGACUAUAGGGCAACGAGGAGUGAAUGAAAACACAUAGAAUCAUAUGUGCUACUAGGACAAAAUGGAAGGUUUAUAAGGACUUUAUUAUUUUUGGGAUUAGAUGGUUCUUUAGGGUCUCCUACCCUAAGAAAAGGAAAACAACACCUAAGGUGGACCUUUAGACUCUCCUACCCUAUGAGAAGGAGGUUGACACCAAGUUCUUCAGAUUCUUCCACAUUGAGAGAAGAAGAACUAUGAUUGGGAAAAGAAAGUUCAAAGAUAAAAAAUAUGAAUGCAAUUCCUACUUAGCAUAAGGGUCCUAAUUCAAGUGAUAAAUAAGAAUAUUGGAAAUCUCAUGAUGGAUAAUUUAUUUUAAUAAGGUUACCAAAAUGAUCUCAAAGUCUCUCAUUGAAAAUAUUAAAUAGGAGUGGGUCAUAAGUAAGCCCACAACCUCUAAGAGUGAGCUUAACUUGAUUUUGGGCCCAUCACCAUCUUGAAGAUGGGGUGACCCAAGGAAUCAAUGGAUAUAGACUAUCAUUAAGGACGAGACUAUAUAUGUUUAUAGUGGGCGUGACCAAUCUUGAAGAUGUAACUCUUUAUUUGGUAACAUUGAUGCUAAGGAUCUUGAUUAGACAGUUAACUCAAAUGUAAAGUAGUAGAAUCACUUGAAGUGGUUUUAUUUGCACAAUCUGAGGGUUAAACAUAAAAGGUAUGUUAAUCAAUGCCUUAGGAUAACAUUUUAAGGUUUAAGGCAAGUUGAUUAAUUAGAGAGGGUUCUACCCUAGUAAUAAAAGUCAUGACUUGCCUGAAGUAAGCCUGAUUCUUAUGAUACUAGGAUACCUUGCAUAGAUAUAUGUAACUUGAGAGCACUAAUUUUUGUAAAAUUAAUUACCUAUUUGCCUUGAAUGCUUAGUUUCUUUAUUAAUGAAUGGAAUAUUUUGUUUAUUACAAGAAUCAUGUCUUAUAACUUUAUCACCCUAGUUCUCAUUGAUACCAAAUUGACUGGACCUAAUUAUGUUGAUUAUAAAAGAAACUUGGGCAUAGUACUCAUAAUAGAACAACUGAAAUGAGUUAAGUUUCCAUCACUUUUGUCUUGCAUCAUCCAGAGAGACAAGAGGACCCUAACCUCCACCUUCCCAAACCUCCUCCUUUGGUUGAAUACUAAGAUCAAGGUAGAGUCAUAGCAGUAGAAAAUCUUGGGGAAUUUGAGAUAUUUGGAAACUUCAAGUUUCAUCUUCUUCGAAUGUAAUAGAUUUUGGAACAUCCAAAUCUAAGGUAAAGUUUUCUAUAACUAUUAAUUUAGAUUUGUUCAUGUUUAAAAAUAUAUGCUUUGUUGGUGCUUAGAAUCUAGAGGUUUAGGAAAGAUUUUCAUGCUCCUAACUUGAUCUUGAGAUAAGGAACAAAGACAUUUAGGGUGUUCCCUACAAAUCAUAGGCCUUAAACUUGAGAUAUUUAAGUAUUUACUAAUAAGUCAAGUAAAUAAGAUAUCUAAAGAUAUCCUAGGAUGAAUAGGGAUAGGCCUAGGAUAAAAAAUGGGCAAUACAAGAAAUGAUCCUCAAGCUUAUACCACUUGACCUUAGUCAAUAAGACAUAUACCCAAAGAUUUCCAAAGAAACUCAAACCUAAUAGAGUCUAAGGAUUUUGUGAAGGUAUCAACCAAUUAAUGUUAAGUGGAGACAAACUCUAGAGAAAUUACCUUGUCAUCUACAAGAUCCCUAACAAAAUAAUGAUGUUUUAAUAUGAAUAGUUCGAGAAUGAAGAAUAGGAUUUUUUUAAAUGUUUAUAGCAUUAGAGUUGUUUGACAAGAUUUUCAUGGUAUCUUGGUCAAUGCCAUAGUCACUAAGCAAUUGUUUUAUUUAAAGGAGUUGAGUACAACAACUCCUUGCAACUAUACACUCUACUUCCAUAGUGGAUAAGGAUAUCGAGUUUUACUUCUUACUUAGGCAAGCAAUUAGACAAUCGUUGACAAAAAAGCAAACUCUUGAAGUGUUUUUCUUAUCCUCUACAUUUCCAACCUAGUCAACAUUGGAAUAGCUGGUAAAUCACUAGUGAAGAAUCAAAGGGAUACCACAAACCAUAGUCUCAUGUCCCAUUCACAUAUCUAAUGAUUCUUUUUAUUGAAGUUAAAUGUGAUUCUUUCAGAUUAGCUUGGUAUGUUGCACAUGCUCUAAGAGAUAUUAGGUCAACUCAUAGUGAGAUAUAAGAGACUCCCUAUCAUACUUCUAUAAAGCUUUUUCUCAACAUGCUUUCUAGAUUUGUCCUUGUAAUGCUUAGCAAUGGUACUCAUAGGUGUUCUAAAGUGCUUAACAAACUCUAGACCAAACUUCUCACUAACUCCCUUGCAUAUUUAGACUGAGAUGAGAAAAUAUCAUUCUUAGAAUUGUCUUAUCCACAAGCCUAGGAAAAAGUUGAGUUUAUCUACCAUUCUUGUAGUGGUACCUAGAGGAGGUGAACAGGUGUAUCACUACAAGAAAAAAGGCUUCUCUUGACAGUGUUUGACUGUCAUGGUAAGUGGUAUAUGUUGUUAUAGUAUUCUAAUUCUAUAUGUCUUCUUUUCCAAUGUCAAGGUAGGGGUAUAAGCAAUCUUGACAUAUAAAUACCAUAGAGUAGGUGUAUUUCACUACUCAUCAUAUGUCAUGGUCUCUCUAACAUUUGUUAAGGUUGAAUGAAACAUAUUUCAAGGUUGCUUUAGCCCAUAUCAAGGUCACAAACCACAUAGUGUGGGCCUUGCAUUUUUCACGAUGCAUUCCCACUUGAUGGCGAAACUCGCUUUUUAUUUAUUUGGUAAAAAAAAUGAUUUUUAGAAAAGAAUUGGAGUCACCACUUAUUUUUGUUUUAUUUUUUUUAAGGGAAAACAAAAUAAGAAAUAAAACUCUAAGUAUGACUCCUUAUUGAGAAAAGACAGUUUAUGGAAAACCAAAGUUGGGUCUGGAGGUCAUGUUACUUAUUGGGAAGGUAUUGUAAAUACCGUAGCACCCCUCGAAGCCCUUAAAAAUGGGUCUCUACUAAAUAAGGUGAAACAAACAUGACAAUUAACUAGGAAAUUAAUUGAUACCAAAAUGAUCAUAGAUAAAAAAUAACUCAUGAUAACGAAUAAAUAAACAAGGUGAGAGUGAGAGCGUACCUUGGUAGCAGGUAAUAAAGUGUUAUCAUGAAAUAGAGUUAGUGCAUAAUCAUGAAUAUAAAGUAUAUCACAUGCAUAUCAAAGAGCAAGACAAAGAUCAGACAAUAUUCAUUAAGUCUAGUAGUUGACAAUUAGAAGAGAAAACUCAUAUGUAGGGUCCUCACCAAAGCCCAAUUGAUUUUGCAUGAAUUAAUCCCACAAAUUCCAUUGGUUUGGAAUUAUGAAAAUCAUAUUCAUGCUUAUUUAAAAUCAAGAGAAACAAAAGAUUAUUUGAAAAUCAAAGAAAAUUUGUGAAAGUGCUUACUUGAAGGGAAAUGUAGCAAGUUUAUUAUAAACAAGAUUUUUUUGACUUAAAACCCUAAUAAAGGAUGAAAAGUUAUAAAAUUAAAAAUAUUUGAAAACUGGAGUGAAAUUAAAAUUAUUUGAAAGAAAACUAGAUUUUUGAAAAUUAUUUGAAAAUUGAAAUCUUAAAAAUUAAAUUUAGAAAAUGGAAUAUUUAAAAAAAAAUUGAAAAUGGGAGUUUUGAAAAUUAAAUUUGAAAAUUGGAAUUUUGAAAUAUUAUUUGAAAAUGAAAAUUUUGAAAAUUGGAAUUUUGGAGAAUUAUUUGAGAAUGAGAUUUCUUAAGAAUUAAAUUUGAAAAGUGGAAUUUUGGAAAAUUAUUUGAAAAUGGAAAUUUUGAAAAUUAGAUUUGAAAAUCAGAAUUUUGGAAAAUUAUUUGAAAAUGGAAGUUUUAAAAAAUUAAAUUUGGAAAUUGGAAAUUUGGAAAAGUAUUUGAAAAUGGAAGUUUUGAUAAUUAAAUUUGAAAAUGGAAAAUUUGAAGAAUUAUUUGAAAAUGGAAGUUUUAAAAAAUUAAAUUUGGAAAUUGGAAUUUUGGAAAAUUAUUUGAAGAUUAAAGUUUUGAAAAUUGGAACUUUGGAAAAUUAUUUGAGGAAGGAAUUUUUUUUAAAAAAAAUUAAAUUUGAAAAUUGAAAUUUUGGAAAAUUAUUUGAAAAUAGAGUUUUGAAAAUUAAAUUUUGGCAUUAAAAUAUGAAGAAACAAGAGGAUGCCACGUAUCCUAUAGGUGGUGCACUGGAGGGUGGCCAUGCAUAGCCAUGUACACGUGGGGCCUAGGGUGCAAUUUUGGGAUUGCAUGCCAAAAGGUGGCCGGGUGCAGAAAUGAGCCAGAAUAAGUGAGACUGUAUUGUGGAUACUGAUGGCUUCAGUCUCUUGCCUGAUGACAACACUUAUCCCAAUGACACUUGCAUUCUAGCCAACUGACCCUCCCGAAUGAGACAAAAGGUUCCCAUUUCUAGUAGCUCCAUUAUAUUGAAUAUCUCUCAAGGAGGGCCCAUGAGACUUUGCACUAUGGUUACACCUGCUAAAGCCAAUAUCACUUUACCAAUAUUCACAGCUUUCAAAAGGUUACAUUCAUCUUCAUCGAAACAGCUCCGCUGAAAAUGAUUAAACCCAGAUACCAUCUUUGGAAGAGAAUCGAGGCUAGCGCAACAUGAAGAAAAGGGACUUUGUUGAGACCUCUCCCACAGUCCAUGACGUAUCUUCUUGAGUGCAAGUCAUGAUCUUCCAAAUGCCAAACGAACCCACCGGACAUAUCUAAAAUGAUAACUGCCACGCGUAGGAGUGAAUCCAUUUUUUUUUUUGUUGCAUUUUCUUUUGCAUGGGUUGGUGCUAGUGACGGUAGAGAAGCAAUCUGGAUUGGAUGGAGCUAAGGGCCGAAGUUAGAUGGUGUUUCGGGGGUGAUUGGUGGGCAUUGUGACAUGGGAUAAGCUGACGGUGGUGGUUCCGGUGUUGUAAAUAAAUUGAAGGAGGUGUGUAUGGUCUUUUCUGGGAGUGGGUGAUGAUUGUGUGGGCUGUGUGAGCUGUGUGGUGGCUGUGUGGGCUAUAACAGGAUGAUGGGGAUUAAUGGUGAUGCAAAUGGGGAGUGGUUGGUGAAAAUUGGUAGCUUUAGAACUGAAGUCGGGUGGUGUUUGAAUGGUGGAUAUAGUAUGAGUAUGAUGGAGAAAGAUUUUAAGAAAGGGUCUCAUGCACCUGGGCAGUGAAGAGGAAAGAAGCUCAUGGGGAAUGAGUGGAGGAAAAGAGAUUGAUUACUACCCAAAAAGUGCUAUUUUGCGCCUUUAAUUCAUUAUGUUUUAAGCACUUUUGUGUAGUAGUUCUCCAUUCUUAUUCCAAUUGGCAUGUUAAGGACCUAGCAAUGACUUCUAAUCAUAUUUGUGGCUAGUUUUAGUGUUUUGACAGCUUUUUGGAUCAUUAAGACAAGCCAAGUAAAGGAGAGAAGCAAAGAGGAAAACAAAGUGAAGAAAACAGAGGACAACAGCUGCAGUCUUCCUUCACACUUUUGGAGAACUUCCCGAAGUCCAUUUUCUACAUGAUAUAUACCAUUUCAAAGCUCAGGAAGUCAAGAAUCCAACGCUUCAAAUCGUGUAUGAUUUGGAGCUGAAAUGAGGAAGAUAUGGCCUUUGGAAGACAACUGCUCCAAGCUUGUGCGAAAUUCGCACAACACCUUCAGCUUGUGCGAAAUUCGCACAACACCUUCUCCUUGUGCGAAAUUCGCACCAGCCCAUGCGUGGUGCGAAAUCUCCUCUGUUCUGCCGACUCCACUUUAGAUAUUUUCUUUUAUAUUUUUUGAUGUAAAUUCCUUUCCUAUCCCUAUAAUUAGCCAAUCACAGGGCUUUGCUUUUGUAAAGACUAUAAGAGGGGUGGAAAUCAUCUCUCGGAACAUAUGAUUGUAUAUUUUUACACUUAGUAAAAUACAAGGCUCUCUUUGCUUCUAUUUUCUCUCUACUAUUUUCUUUUUCUUGGAAGCCAAACAACCUCUGAGGAUGUUUUCCCAGAGGAUGAGAGGCUAAACUUUUGGUUUCUUGAAGUGAAGGAAGCUAGGUGAAAAGUCCAGAUGCUAAAGUGGAAAACUCUCAUGCAUUAAAUACAGGUAGUUGGAGUUCAUAAAUGGCUUUUAAAUCUAAGGUUUUGCUUUAAAUCCCUUAGAAUCACUUUGAAUGACCAAUACAUGGUAAGCUUCAGGUCUCUGUGGAUACUUAUUGCUAGAUCCAUAUCAGACCAUUAGUUAUCAUGUACGAGCCAUUGGAAAGUGGCUCAAGGUGAAGACCCAUAGUGUCUAAAGCCAUUAAUGGAACUUGACUACAAUUUCUAUUGACUUUUUCUGGAUAAAUCUUCAUUGUUAAACCUAUACCGGUUCGGGAAACAACCAUCCUUUAUGUUGUUGUCCCCAAUGUGAGAAGAAAAAUCCGGAACUUCCACUUUGCAUUCUGAACUUGAUCCUAGCAACCUCUAGCUCCGGGAGACUUUCUUUCUUCCAUUUUUACUUAGUUUUAUGUUAGUUUAGUUUCAAACACCACUUUCAAAACAAAUUUUAUUUUCUUUUAAACUUUAAGUUUUUGACAAAGGAAAUCAUCAGACUCAAUUUCUAAUUUUAAGUCUAUCACUGGUAGAAUGAAAACCCAUCCCAGAGUUCGACCCUAGAGCCACUAUGCUAUAGUAGCUUUGCUACGCUAGUAUGAGGUCAUAGGUUUUAUAAAUGUUUUUGAUUAAAAGACCCGACUGGAUUUAACGAAUCAAAAUGGCGCCGUUGCCGGGGAUGGUGCCACUUUACAGUGAUAUGACCUUUUCAGAGUACUUGUGAUUUCCAUCACAAGUUUGGUGAAUUCCUUUUUCACUAACUUCAUUUCCUUUCUUUUAAUUGUAGAAUUCCUUUUGUUAAGUUUAUUUUUGUUUUCUUUCUAACCUUAACUUUUUUCUAGUUUUCUUUUGUUUUUGUUGUCUUUGUUUUGUUUUCAGGUAAGUUGUAACUUGUGCAUGCCCUAUUGGAUUCGGGACCAAGAGGGAAGACUAGUAAGGAUUGAGAAUCCUCAAGACACAGAGUUGGAUAUCUGUGUAAACAUCAUGGACCCUCCACAAGAGGAUCAGAAUUCUCAACACAGUCAAGGGGGUAAUCCAAAUGCAUAUCUAUCCAUGAGGGAUAGAAUGCACCCAUCAAGGAUGAGUGCACCCUCAUGCAUCGUACCUCCUCUUGAGCAGCUGAUUAUAAUGCCCCAUAUUGUGCCCCUCCUACCAAAUUUCCAUGGAAUGGAGAGUGAGAACCCAUAUGCCCACAUCAAGGAGUUUGAGGAGGUGUGCAAUACUUUUAGAGAGGGAGGAGCUUCAAUAGACUUGAUGAGACUCAAGCUAUUCCCUUUUACUUUGAAGGACAAGGCAAAAAUAUGGCUUAAUUCUUUAAAGCCAAGGAGCAUAAGGAAUUGGGUUGAUCUUCAGGCCGCAUUUUUGAAGAAAAUUUUCCCCACCCAUAGGACCAAUGGGUUGAAGAGAUAAAUCUCAAACUUUUCUACAAAAGAAAAUGAGAAGUUUUAUGAAUGUUGGGAAAGGUAUAUGGAGGCCAUCAAUGCUUGUCCUCAUCAUGGCUUUGAUACAUGGCUCUUGGUGAGCUAUUUUUAUGAUGGGAUGUCUUCCUCCAUGAAGCAAAUUCUCGAAACCAUGUGUGGAGGAGAUUUUAUGAGUAAGAAUCCUGAAGAAGCCAUGGACUUUUUAAGUUAUGUGUUUGAGGUUUCAAGAGGAUGGGAUGAGCCCAACUUAAGAGAAAUGGGAAGGAUGAAAGCUCCUGUAAAUCCAAAGGGUGGAAUGUACAUGUUAAGUGAAGACAUGGACAUGAAAGCUAAGGUGGCAACAAUGGCAAGGAGGUUGGAAGAACUCGAGUUGAAAAAGAUGCAUGAAAUCCAAGCCAUUUCCGAGACACAAGCCCAUGUCAUGCCAUGCACCAUUUGCCAAUCAUGUGAUCAUGUGGUAGAUGAGUGCCCAACCAUGCCAGUUGUGAGGGAGAUGUUAGGUGAUCAAGCCAAUGUUGUGGGGCAAUUUAGGCCCAACAACAAUGCACCUUAUGGAAACACCUAUAAUUCAAGCUGGAGAAACCAUCCAAAUUUUUCUUGGAAACCAAGGCCACCUCCAUACCAACCACAAGCCCAAACCCAAGCACCUCAACAAACCUCUUCAGUGGAGCAAGCCAUUGUGAACCUAAGUAAAGUCAUGGGUGACUUUGUGGGUGAACAAAAGGCAAUCAACUCCCAAUUGCACCAAAAGAUUGAAAAUGUUGAGAGUUCUCAAAUUAAGAGAAUGGAUGGGAUGCAAAAUGAUCUAUCUCAGAAGAUAGAUAAUAUUCAAUACUCCAUCUCUAGGCUUACCAACCUCAACACAGUGAAUGAGAAAGGAAAGUUUCCCUCUCAACCAAGCCAAAAUCCCAAGGGUGUUCAUGAAGUUGAAACCCAAGAUGGGGAGUCUUCAAAGUUGAGGGAGGUCAAAGUUGUGAUUACCUUGAGGAGUGGGAAGGAGGUUGAUCAACCCUUGCCUAAGGUGAGGCAAGAUGAAGAACUCAUGUCAAAGAGAACCUUGGUUAAAGAAAGCAAUAACCAAGAAGAGAAGAGUGGGAAGAAAAAUGCAUCCAAAUCAAGCAUUGAAGAAGAGCCAAGGAUAGUGAUUAAAGAGGAUAUGAUGAAGAAACAUAUGCCUCCCCUUUUUCCUCAAGCUUUACAUGGAAAGAAGGAAAUCAAGAAUUCAUCAGAAAUUCUUGAAGUUUUGAGACAAGUGAAGGUGAAUAUACCCUUACUUGAUAUGAUCAAGCAAGUCCCCACAUAUGCAAAAUUUUUAAAGGACUUGUGCAUGGUCAAGAGAGGGUUACAUGUGACCAAGAAGGCAUUCCUCAUUGAGCAAGUAAGUGCCAUCAUUCAGAGUAAGUCUCCAGUUAAGUACAAAGAUCUGGGAUGUCCCACCAUUUCAGUCAACAUUGGAGGGACACAUGUGGAGAAGGCUUUGCUAGACUUGGGGGCAAGUGUGAAUUUGCUCCCAUACUCUGUGUAUAAGCAACUGGGACUUGGAGGAUUGAAGCCCACAACCAUCACUCUCUCCUUAGCUGAUAGGUCGGUCAAAAUCCCGAGGGGGGUGAUAGAGGAUGUUCUAGUUCAAGUGGACAAAUUCUACUAUCCUGUGGAUUUUGUGGUGCUUGAUAUUGAUCCCACUAUUAAGGAAGCAAAUUAUAUGCCAAUCAUCCUUGGGAGACCUUUCCUAGCUACCUCCAAUGCCAUCAUCAAUUGUAGGAAUGGGGUGAUGCAACUCACAUUUGGAAACAUGACCUUGGAGUUAAACAUAUUCCACCUAUGCAAGAGGCAUCUUCACCCAGAAGAGGAGGAAGGAUUGGAGGAGGUGUGCUUGAUCAACACCUUGGUUGAAUCGCAUUGUGACAAGAAUUUAGAAGAGAGCUUGAAUGAAAGCCUUGAAGUGCUUGAAGACAGGUUACCUGAACCCUCUGAUGUGCUAGCCAUCACGUCUCCUUGGAGGAGACGGGAAGAGAUCUUACCACUGUUCAAUAAGGAGGACUCACAAGGAGCACCUAUGGAGGACCCUCCAAAGCUUGUUUUGAAGCCGCUUCCUGUUGAUUUGAAGUAUGCAUAUUUGGAGGAAGAUGAUAAAUGUCCAGUGGUGGUUUCUUCAAAUCUCACAAGUGGUCAAGAGGACAGUCUUUUGGGAGUCCUCAGAAAAUGCAAGAAAGCCAUUGGAUGGCAAAUUUCUGAUCUGAAAGGGAUUAGCCCUUUGGUAUGCACCCACCAUAUCUACAUGGAGGAAGAUGCAAAACCAGUGAGGCAGCCCCAGAGGAGGUUGAAUCCUCACAUGCAAGAGGUGGUAAGGGGUGAAGUUCUGAAGCUACUUCAAGCAGGGAUCAUAUAUCCUAUUUCAGAUAGCUUGUGGGUGAGCCCAACCCAAGUAGUCCCAAAGAAAUCUGGAAUUAUUGUGAUCCAGAAUGAGAAAGGGGAAGAAGUCUCUACACGUCCUACCUCAGGAUGAAGGGUGUGUAUAGACUACAGGAGGUUGAAUUCAGUGACUAGGAAGGACCACUUCCCAUUGCCUUUCAUGGACCAAGUCAUUGAGAGAGUCUCAGGACAUCAUUUCUACUGUUUUUUGGAUGGUUACUCGGGGUACUUCCAAAUAGAGAUUGAUUUGGAAGAUCAAGAAAAGACAACCUUCACUUGCCCCUUUGGUACUUUUGCAUAUAGGAGAAUGCCCUUUGGUCUAUGUAAUGCUCCUACAACUUUCCAAAGAUGUAUGCUAAGCAUCUUCAAUGAUAUGGUGGAGCGCAUCAUGGAAGUCUUCAUGGAUGACAUCACUGUAUAUGGAGGUUCUUAUGAGGAGUGUUGUUGCAUUUAGAAGCUGUUCUCCAAAGAUGUAUUGAGAAAGACCUAGUGCUAAAUUGAGAGAAGUGCCAUUUUAUGGUACAACAAGGAAUUGUCUUAGGACAUAUAAUCUCCAAGAAUGACAUUGAGGUAGAUAAGGCAAAGGUGGAGCUAAUUGUUAAGUUGCCACCUCCCACAAAUGUUAAAGGAAUUAGGCAAUUCCUAGGACAUGCCGGGUUCUAUAGGAGGUUCAUUAAGGAUUUCUCAAAAAUCUCAAAACCUCUUUGUGAACUUUUGGUAAAGGAUGCCAAGUUUGUGUGGGAUGAGAAAUGUCAAAAGAGUUUUGAGGAACUGAAGCAAUUCCUCACAACUGCACCAAUAGUGAGAGCCCCGAAUUGGAAAUUACCUUUUGAGGUAAUGUGUGAUGCAAGUGAUCUUGCUAUGGGGGUUGUUUUGGGGCAAAGAGAAGAUGGAAAGCCCUAUGUGAUUUAUUAUGCGAGCAAAACUUUGAACGAGGCUCAAAGGAACUACACAACUACUGAGAAGGAGUUGUUAGCAGUAGUUUUUGCCUUGGAUAAGUUUCGUACCUAUUUGGAAGGGUCCUCUAUAGUGGUGUUCACUGACCAUUCGGCUUUGAAGUACUUGCUAACCAAGCAAGAUGCCAAGGCAAGAUUGAUAAGAUGGAUCCUUUUGCUUUAAGAAUUUAAUCUCCAAAUCCGGGAUAAAAAGGGAGUAGAAAAUGUGGUGGCUGACCACUUGUCAAGACUUGUGAUAGCACAUGACUCACAUGGUUUACCUAUCAAUGAUGACUUCCCUGAGGAGUCUCUCAUGUCAAUAGAGGUAGCUCCAUGGUAUUCCCACAUUGCAAAUUACUUGGUUACUGGAGAAGUUCCAAGUGAGUGGAGUGCCCAAGACAAGAGGCAUUUCUUUGCUAAGAUCCAUGCCUAUUAUUGGGAGGAGCCUUUUCUCUUCAAAUAUUGUGCGGAUCAAAUCAUAAGGAAAUGUGUUCCUGAACAAGAGCAAUCAGGAAUUCUAUCCAUUGUCAUAAUAGUGCAUGUGGAGGUCAUUUUGCUUCCCAGAAAACAGCUAUGAAAGUGAUCCAAUCAGGUUUUUGGUGGCCCUCUCUUUUCAAGGACGCCCACACUAUGUGCAAGGGAUGUGACCGGUGUCAAAGGCUUGGUAAGCUAACACGCCGAAAUAUGAUGCCCUUGAACCCCAUCUUGAUAGUGGAUGUCUUUGAUGUUUGGGGGAUAGACUUCAUGGGACCAUUUCCAAUGUCAUUUGCACACUCCUACAUUUUGGUGGGAGUGGAUUAUGUCUCUAAGUGGGUAGAAGCAAUCCCAUGUAGGAGCAAUGAUCAUAAGGUGGUUCUUAAAUUCCUCAAGGAGAACAUCUUUGCAAGAUUUGGAGUGCCUAAGGCCAUUAUAAGUGAUGGAGGAACCCACUUUUGCAAUAAGCCUUUUGAGACUCUUCUAGCCAAAUAUGGGGUCAAGCACAAGGUAGCUACACCUUAUCACCCUCAAACAAGUGGCCAAGUUGAGUUAGCCAACCGGGAAAUCAAGAAUAUACUGAUGAAGGUGGUGAAUGUGAAUAGGAAGGAUUGGUCAAUUAAGCUCCUAGAUUCAUUAUGGGCUUAUAGGACCGCUUACAAGACCGUUCUUGGAAUGUCUCCUUAUCGUCUUGUUUAUGGCAAAGCGUGCCAUCUUCCAGUAGAGAUUGAACAUAAAGCAUGGUGGGCAAUCAAGAAGCUCAACAUGGAUUUGACAAGAGCCGGGUUAAAGAGAUGUUUGGAUUUGAAUGAAUUGGAGGAAAUGAGGAAUGAUGCUUACCUCAAUUCAAAAAUUGCAAAGGAGAGGUUGAAGAAAUGGCAUGAUCAAUUGGUAAAUCAAAAGAAUUUUGCCAAGGGACAAAGAGUCUUGCUUUAUGACUCAAAGCUUCAUCUUUUUCUGGGAAAAUUGAAAUCAAGGUGGACGGGUCCUUUCAUAAUUCAUGAUGUGCAAUCAAAUGGAGUAGUGGAACUAUUAAACUUCAAUAGCACUCGAACUUUCAAAGUGAAUGGGCAUCGUCUCAAGCCCUAUAUGGAAUCAUUUUCCCGAGACAAGGAGGAAUUUAUCCUCCUUGAUCCACCUCCAACAUGAAAACACUCAGUUCAUGGUUGAACUUAGUCUCUUCAAAGACUAAAAAGUUCAUGCUCUUUUUGUUCCCUUUUGCAUUAAUUUUAGUUUAAUCUAGUUUUUCUUUUUCUUUUCUUGUGUAUAUGCAUGUUUUGAUUUUUAUUUUUGCCCUUGAGUUCAUUCUAAUGUGGUUUGAAUUGGUUCUUGUGUUAACAUGUAGGUAGGAAAGCUUGAAGAAUGAAAACAAGGGAAAACAGGGGAGAAAAGCCAAGACACAUCAAAAUUCGCACCACCCAUGCCCCUUGUGCGAAAUUUUCACACAACACAUCCCCUUGUGCGAAUUCUCUUUUGUGACAAAUUUUCAAAAAGCAUGCUCUCGGUCCCUACCCAAAAUCUCAGUGCGAAAAUCACAGGAAUGCAAACCUUGUGCGAACCUUGUGUGAAUUCGCUUUUGUGACCAAUUUUCAAAAGCAUGCUCUCUGUCUUGGACCACCACAGGAAUGCGAAAUUUUCGUACUACCCAUCACCUUGUGCGAAAUUCGCACUUUCUCUUUAAAAGCCAUUUUCUCUUCUUCAAUUCUAAGCUUCUUCUUCUUCAAUUCUCUCCACACCUCUCUUUCGAUCACCAUUUUCCAUCCACAAGGUCCUCUCCUUCAUCAUCCCUCAUCAGAGAUUCAAAUCAAAAUGGCUAAAUGGGUUUCCCUUGGGUGAGCUUGAUGGAGAAGAGGGUGGCCAUGCAGGAGUGAGUUGGAAAAGUAAGGCUUUGGGUGUGGGGAGUGCUGGAACAAAAAAAAUGGUAUCUUUGAUCUACAAGCUCUAAGUUUUCUUUUCAUUCAUGUUUGAUCCAAAGACACAUUUCUUUCAACAGGAUGCUUUUCUGAAAGUGUCCAUAUUAAUAUGCAUUUUUUUGAACCAUGUCACUAGGUGCAUGUUCUCCUCGAGCUGGCUCUUGUCUAGUGCUUUUUUCCAAGUGAUGAGCUCUGUCAAAAUCACCUCAAAACUGGUGACGUCCACUUUAGUAGUCACUCAACUAGUCGAUACAUACUCUAGCACCAAAGUACCGACAAUUCUUAUUUUAAUUGAGCUCUUCUCAUCCGGAACAAGUCACGCAAGACCACGAUCAACAACCUUAACUCUCAUAUCGUCCUUAAGAAGAAUGUCUGAAGGCUUUAGGUCCUUGUGUAUAAACUCUGAUGGGCUGAUCCAAGGAGGUAUUCAACACCCCUUGCUACAUCCAAUCCAACAACUAGCUCUCCAAUCCAUUCAAGUCACAUCCUUCUCAUUAUAAUUUAGCAAACACAUUCUAGUUAUCACAACUCUCAGCUUUAUUUUCCCAACCAGAAUAAUCACCAGAGAAGUAAAAGGUACAUGGUAGUGGAUAUAAGACCCAUACACACUGAAAAAUAUGACCAGUAUAGAAUAAACACUCAUCCAAAAUCCGAUUCCAACCACCUGCUCAAAAUCAUUGUCAAAAACUUUGGAAAAGAACUUUGAAAGUUGAAAUUACUUCAUUGGGCUAAAUAGGACAUGAUGAAUCCAUUUCUAAAAGUAGAGUAAUUAGCUUUCAAAACUAAGUCACUGAACUGUCUCAACCCAACAAACUGACUAAGUUAAAAGAGAAUAAUCACUCUAAAAUUUCAAGUGUCAUUGUGAAACUGAACCUCCUUAGAUCAUUGACAAGUUGAUACUCAAGGAUUUGUGUGUCCUUCCCCCCAUAUAUUUCAUCUAUAGCCUCCUCUCCACCUAUCUCCUUUCCCUUAGACCCUCUAAUCAUAUUCAGAUCCACAAGGAUAGAACCAAGACCGAUUUUUUUCCCAUUACUAGCAUCAAUGACGAUCAAAACAAACAAGCAGGCCACCAAAACCACAAAGUAAGCAGCAAACACAAUCAAACACUAUCCCCAAGAAUAAUGAAAGUAAGAAAGGAUUGGAAGACCAGGUACAGAAAGCUAAAGGUUCCAAAAUAGAGCAUCCAUGAUCACGACUUGAUUAACAUUCCUCUUUCAUUCAAACUGAUGGUGGACUUUAGUUGUUUUAUCAAUUACAAAAAAAAAAAAAAAAAAAAAAUCAGUCUACAUUCAUGGGUUUUCACUUAUAGAAGGGAUCUCAAGUGUGGAAUCUAAAACAAAGACCCAGAUUGGAACACCCAUGUGCUGAAUAGGGAGAAACAUAGGAUAUAAUGGAAUGGAGCUUUAAAAGAGAAUGAGUGUAGACCCUUAAUUUUGUCCUCCUAGCACAUGUCUUAUUAGAUACUUAUUCGAUACUUUACAGUAGCUCCUUGGUGGCCCAUAUCUACUCACAUUACUUACCUUUCUUGAACCACCUCGGAGACUCUGAUUGAGGGAUUGCCUAACCCCUUAUUAUGACCUCGGCAGCUCUAAUUUAGACUUAGACACUUUCCUAAACGCCUUAGGCCCACUUAGACACUUCAUUGGGCUUAGUUCACUUAGGUCCACUUUAGCACUUUUUAAACCCACUUUUUAUAUGGCUUGCAUGAUUGCAUGGCCUACCCGGCUUGUGUGGCUUAUAUGGAUUUCUUUAUUUUUUUUUUACUACAAGUUUUCUAAAUCAUAUUUCUUGGCUUGUUGGGCAUGAGGAAACGGGCCGCCACCUAUUUGGAAGGAGAACCGACAAAAUUUUGAAAAAAAGGAGAUUUUGUUUUUUUUUAGAAGGAUAACACAUAUAUUAUUUCCAUAGGGAAUCGAUCAUAAAAGGGAAGAAAAUAAGAAAGAGAGACAAAAAAGGAAGGAAUGAGAGGAUUUUGCUCUAGCGAGAUUUGGGGCGUUCUUUGGGAAGACUGAUAUAUAUACGUGAGAGAGGAAGAAAAAAAAUGGGGAGAGGAUUCUUUGAUUGUUAAGGGCAGAAAAGCGCACGAGGGUGGAAGAGGAGCAAUUGCAGCCGACUUUGUCCAGGUAUGCUUCUGGUUACUCUGGGUGUUCUGACCCAUAUUUGAUUUCUCCAUUUUGGUCAUUUAGAAAUAUUCAAUGUCUUGUUGUUCGGUGUGGACGAAAAGGGCCACAAGUUGUUCUUCUGGGAUUGGUCGUUUACUACUCCACCUUGUUUCGAUUUUGAUUAUUUUAUAUGUCAUUGAUGUCUUUGGAAAUAUAGAACUCCAUGCUUGAAUAUUAUCACGCUCGGUUUUUCGUUUAAAUCCUAUUCUGCAUAGUUCCCUCCGCUCUUAACCCAUGGAUUAAUACUUGAAGUGGGGUUAUUUAUGCUUACUGAUCAACGUCUUCUGUUUUUUCCUUCUCCGGAUAUCUCACAUUCGGAAUUCUGUCCGGCCCAACGUUCCAUCUUCUCCGGAUAUCUCACGUCCGAAAUUCUAUCCGCCGACAUUUCACAUUCUCCGGAUAUCUCACAUCCGGAAUUCUGUCCGGCCCAACGUUCCAUCUUUUCCGGAUAUCUCACAUUCGGAAUUCUGUCCGGCCCAACGUUCCAUCUUCUCCGGAUAUCUCACGUUCGAAAUUCUGUCCGGCCCAACAUUCCAUCUUUCUCCGGAUAUCUCACAUCCGGAAUUCUGUCUGGCCCAACGUUCCACCUUCUCCGGAUAUCCCACAUCUGGAAUUCUGUCCUGCCCAACGUUCCAUCUUCUCCGGAUAUCUCACGUCCGGAAUUCUGUCCGCCGACAUUUCACCUUCUCCAGAUAUCUCACAUCCGGAAUUCUGUCCCCCAACGUUCCAUCUUCUCCGGAUAUCUCACGUCCGGAAUUCUGUCCGCCGACAUUUCACCUUCUCCGGAUAUCUCACAUCUGGAAUUCUGUUCGCCGACAUUCCAUCUUUCUCUGGCCAACAUUCCAUCUUUCUCCGGAUAUCUCACAUCCGGAAUUCUGUCCGUCGACAUUCCAUCUUUCUCCGGAUAUCUCACAUCUGGAAUUCUGUCCGCCGACGUUCCACCUUCUCCGGAUAUCUCACAUCCGAAAUUCUGUCCGACCGACGUUCCACCUUCUCCAGAUAUUUCACAUCCACCGCCUGACGCCGGAUGGGAGAGGAGGGCGAUUCAACUUCCCCGGUCAGACAUGUCCGAAUCCUCCUCUCUUCGCUUCUUUGAUUGGAAAUUUACUAUUUUUAAUUGAAUUUUUGAAUCCUUUUACGACUAAGUGUUUCUGGCUUUGAAAAAUCCAUCCUUAGAACCAUUCUAGUCACUAAAAUUCGGAUUUUAAUAAAUUUGCUGCCACUUUCCUCCAGGCAUGCAUUUUCAUUAUUUUAUUUUAUUUUCAACUACUUUCAUGGUUUUCUUGAUUUCAAUAAGCAUGAACAAAAUUCAUGGUUCCAAAUAAUGGAAUUCACUGAACCAAUUCAUGCAAAAGCAAUUAGGGCUUUGGUGGGGGCCCGACAUUUAUGAUAUUCUCAUCAAUAUUGUUUGCUUGAUAUUUGAUUGAUUGUGAUUCCUCUUUGUGGCAUUGAGAUUAUUUCGCACUUGUUACUAAACAACUUGAUUCCAUAGAGGAGUAUCAGCUUGCUAUCCAGGUACGCUCUUCCUGCCCUCAAAACUCUAAAAUUCUAUGAAUGUGUUUGUCAUUAUGAGCCAUGUCCAUGUUUUGAUGCCAUAAUUGAUUGCCUUGAUGCUUGUUUGAUCAUCUUUGAUAAAAAUGUUUAUCAUGUCUCAUAUUUUCAAACUAAUCUUUGAUGUCUUGUGGAAGCGCUUAAGAAGCUAUCCAGGUACGUACCCUAAAUCUUCUUCAUGAUUGUGAUUGGUUUUCCUAUUAAGCAUGCUAUUUUUUUUUUCGAAAUCACUUAGCCUACUUGGGUAUCCAUGAUUAACCAUUUAAUUGCUAUAUUUCCCUCAACUAGUCAGUAGAGACCUUUGUAGGGCUUAGAAGGGUGCUACCUCCUAGAGGUACCUUCCCAAUAAGUAACCUGAUCCCCGGACCUAGACUCAGGUUUCUCAAAGACAUGUUUUUUCCAAAACUAUGGAGUCACUUUUUAGGGUUUUUCUUUCUUGUUUUAUUUUCCCUUUAAAAUAAAAAUAAAAUAAGUGGCGACUCCAACUUUUCUAAAAUUAAUUUUUUUCACAAAUAAAAAGUGAGUCUCGCCGAUCGAGUGGGGACGCACAUGAAAAAUGCGAGUCCACAAAUUGGCGACUCUGCUGGGGAUUUUGAGGAUCAAGCUUGAACACUAGUUAAGGAAAAUAUGGGGUUUAAUUGAUCGAUUAGAGGGUAACCCCUUUUCCUAGGCAAGGUGAUUCGAUUUGCUUGAUUGGUCUGCUAUCUUGACAUGUUUGAUUGCCUUGGAUGAUCACUUGAUUGCUUGCUCACUUUAGCAUGAUUCACUCUCACAUAUGCUAGAUAGGACUUUGAUUUUAUGAUAUUCAUCUGCUUGGUAUGACUGCUUGUUGCAUGACAACUCUUUCUCUUGCAUGAUCGUAUGAUCGCUUGUCUUUGUUCACUCUCUCACUUUAGAUCUUAGGUUUUUUGGAUGCACCCACAUCCUUCAUUGUGCACUUUAGAUUAUUCCUGAGUGUUGAGAGAUGGGAGAGCCUUCACCCUUAAGAAACCCCCUGGGAAUGCGAGGAAGUGCAUGUGUGGAGGUGAUGACCACCUUGCAUGGAAGCACCCCGUCUCCUUGGAGGCGUGCAGAGGGUUGCGUACCGCCGGAGGGUACUAUCGCUUCUGCUAGGGAUCCUUUGACCCACCCAUUUUACCCUAUAGAGCCACCUCAACCUUGUAGGUUAGCCUAGACCCAAUUAAGAUUUCAUCCUUACACGUGGGUGCAUCUGUGGACCUUUAGAGCUGCCUUGGUCACAAUUGGGUUUAGUUAUCAUCUCCGUAGUCUCAUUUUGGUGUGCUCAGAGAUUGGUACAUAUUUGUUUCAAUUGGACCACAUUUCUGCUUAGUGAUUAGUGUGUCUCCACCUUUUCUGAGUUUCCUUCAUGUCAUUUAUCUUUUCGUGCCUUUGUACCUUAUAGGAGGGUUAUUCGCUUCAGUUUAGAUUCGACUUCUUAGAUCAAAGUUGGAGAUAAAUUGAUCAGGGUUUCAAAGCAGUCAGGUAUGGAUCUUUAGCAUGUUAUAGUUGAUCGAAUUACAGUCACCAUGACUCUAUUCAAUAGACAUUAGCAGGUUUGAGCUAGAGGAUUGAUGGACAGUGAGAUAGAUAGCAUCCAUUUCAGGAUGAGAUGUCGUAUGAUUCAUUACCACCCACCUCCACCACCCAGUUAGCCAGUGACAUUGUUGAGGGUGACUUCGUACAUAUGAUGAGUUUAGUGGAUUAUGAGUCAAAGUUUAUCAUAUGAGAGUUCUUAUAGAGGACGUUAGUUUUUCUCAGAUGGGAGAUUUGAUUGACAUGAUUUUCUUCAUGACGAGCAUGAGAUGGACGUAUUGGAUGAUAGUUGGAUGCUUGGCACAUAUUAGCCAGAGAUAGUUCACUCUCUUGAUAUGCUUGAGAUCUUCAUUGUUGAGAGUUCAAAAGAGAUUCAGUUUAUUUAAGUUGGCGCAUCCCACUUAUGUUGAUGAUAUGUUUGAGGACGAUAUUAGCCCGGUUAUGGUCAUGGAGAUUCAUCUAUUCCAGGAGACCCUAGGGACUUACUUGGAGUACACCACUUGUCAUUAGAGAGUUGACCCCAAAGAGGAAAUAUGAUUGACAUAUCUGGAUAGAGACCAGUUCUCAAACCCCACCAAUGUGGAUUAGUUGAAGAAGUAUUACAUUUGAGACCAUGGUCGCAGGAUGGGUGGCCAUCAUUUUGGUUAGCCUUAUACCUUAUCACCUUUAUUGAUAUAUUAAACCAUUGCUAGCCCAUUGAGCCUCACGUGGUAUGUUAUAGCCUUAUUUCUUUCUUAUAGCCUUGAUUACCAUUUCUACACUCGGGUUGGGACCCUUUGGUGUAUAUGCAUGCUUUGCUAUGAAAGUCUCAUGAGCUUUAGACUUAUAGGCCUAUCUUCUCAUUCUUGUCAUUAUCUCCUUAUCACCCCGUUUGUUCUAUUUUGCUAUCAUCACAUUUCCAUUCUCUUUCUUGCUUUUAUCAUUAUUUGCUUCAUUUUAUCUCUUCUCUUUCUUGGGCUGAUGAUUCUUCACAUCUUAGUGCAAAGAUGGCAGUCAUAUCACUCCAUUCAUCCCAUCAUUUGGCAUUGAUUCGGAGAUUUUAGUUUGAGAGGUUGUCUCAUGGGUAGGGGUUCAUGUAUUCAUCAGUAAUUUGAGAGAGUUUAUUCAUUUCUUGUAUCUUUCCCAUUGGAGUUUGACUUAUUGAUGAUCAGAGCAUGCGCUAAAAAAAAAAAAAAAAAAAAAAAAAAAAAAAAAAAAGAAAGAAAAAGCGCAAUGAUAUGUUUGUGUGUGGAAUCUUGCUCCAUUGGGCACUUAUGUCACCUUUUGAGGUCUGUUUAUUGGGUAUAUUUGUCAUUGUGGGUUCUUGUGAGAUUUUUAUAUGGGUUUUCACUCCUUGAGCCAUUCUUGUCAUGCAUUUGGAGUCUCGAGGGUUCAUGUGAGAGUUCUAUGGUAUCCUAUGCUUCUUGGACCAUGGUUGAUAUGUAUUAGGUAUGAGAGAUGAGUGACCUUUUACUAGGGUCUCCAGAUCAUUGUCUUAUCCACCAUUCCAUCAUUGGUGAUAUGACUUUCCUUUAUUGUACUAAUAUGAGUUGAUCAUCAUUCAUUCCACUUUCUCAGUGCCUUCUUUUGUAUCUUAUCACCUCUUUCCAGAUCAUUGUUCCACAUUUUAUCUAUUUCCUACAUAUUGAUACACAUUUUUGAUUCGAUACCUUCUUCACAUCACUCACAUGUUUCAUUGAUGGUUUGACCACUUAUCCUUUCUCUUGUUUCGCCAUCAACAUUUCCUUUGGUUACCUUUAGGUUCAUGGCUCGUGAGAUUUUUUCUAUGCAUUACAUUUUGUACAUGAGGGUAUGGGUUUGAUCAUUGGGUAUUUGAGCCUAGUUUCCCUUCAUUUCUUUCACCCUAUCACCCUGGCCUACGUUACGUCCCGUGUCUUAAGACCACCCUGAGGGUCAUGAGAUCAAAUAUUAUCUUUGACAGCCUCUACUUAGGUUGGUGUUUGGGAUUUGGUUGAUAUAUAGACGUUGUUCUGUUUCUUCUUCUAGGAGAUGCUUCUUUGAUGCUUGGAGGUGAUCUAGUGUUGGAUGUAGACGAUUACUUCAUUUUUAUGGAUGAUAUUUGAUGUUGUUUGGCUUCCCAUUCUACUGCACAUCAGAUAUCCAUACUAGGGCAUAUUCCCCUUUCAUUUGGUUGAGAUGAGCCCCUAGUGGAGCACUUUCUUUGAGCCUGGGCAUUUUCAUCAAUCAGAGAUCCCUAGUGGAGCAUGUUGAGAUGAUAUCAGUUCUAGUGGAGCAUUGUUGAGCUUAUUGACAGUUUUUAUGAUUCUAGGUUCCAUUUGCGGAGUAUUUUUGAGAUAGACUAGUGGAUCAUUAUUGAGUUGCAGGCAGUUUUCAGUGCAGUGUAUUGAUUACUACCAAAAAGUACUAUUUUGUAGACCUAAUUAUAAUGGUUUUAAGCACCUUUGAGUAGUAAUUAUAUUCAUUUAACCCAAUUAAUUCAUUAAGGUCCUUAGUAAUUGGUUUUAACCAUUUUGUGGCAAGUUUACAUGUUUUUAUCAGCUUAUGAAUCAAUUCAAGCAUGCCAAAUGAUGGAGGAGCUUCUUGGACAAGUUAAAGCAAGCUUUUAGCUACACCAAAGCAAGCCAACAAAAGGAGAGAAGCAAAGAGAAGCAAAGGGAAGCAAAGAGGAAAACAGAGGACAGCAGCUGCAGUCUUCUUUGGCACUUUUGGAGCACUUCCCGAAGUCUAUUUUCUACAUGCUAUAUAUCAUUUCAAAGCUCAGGAAGUCAAGAAUCCAACGCUUCAAACCGUGUACAAUUUGGAGCUGAAAUGAGGAAGAUAUGGCCUUCGGAAGACAACUGCUCCAGGCUUGUGCGAAAAUUUCGCACAACACCUUCCAAAUUCGCAUAGCCCAUGCGUGGUGCGAAUUUUCCUCUGUUUUUGCCGACUCCACACGAGAUCUUUUCUUUUGGAUAUUUUUGUAUAAAUUUCCAUUCUUCUCCUUGUAAUCCACCAAUCAUAAGAUUUCUUAGCUAGGAAGGUUGGAAAAACUUCUCUAUUUAUAUCCCCUUGCAUCCGUUGUAACAAAUAUUGAUAUAUAGAUAUAGAAUACAUAUUACGUUUGACACUUAGAAUAUUUACAGAGCUCUCCCGUUUCUAUUUUCUUAGUAGACAAACAGCCUCUGAGGGCUUUUCCUCAGAGGAUGAUUGGCUAAAACUUUUAGUUUCUCAAAGUAUGGAUGUUAUGUGAUGGCUUGGAUGCACUCCCAUGGAAAUUUCUCGCACCUGGAAGGUAAGGUAGUCGUUUUUCAUUAAAGGUUCAUUAAUGCAAAGUUUGGUUUUUAUUUUCUUUGGACAACUUCCAACGGCCAAUACUUGAUAAGCUUUUGGAUUUCUAUCCAUUAGUUAUCUCCUACGAGCUAUUGGAAGGUGAGGUUUUCAAUUCCAAGUUUUGCAUUAAUCCGUUAGAACCAAUUUCAAUGGCCAUUAAAAGGUGAGUUUAUCACCUGGAAUGACUUUGAGUUGCCAAUAUUUGGUAAGCUUUUGGCUUUAGACCAUUAGUUAUCUCUUACGAGCCAUUCAAAGGAAGUCUAAGGUGAAUAACCAUUGAUGAAAUUCACUACCAUCUAUUUUGCCAUUUUAAAGGAUUAAAACUUGAUUUGCUAAAUCCAUACCGGUUCGGGAAGCAAGCAUCACCAUAGUUGCAACCCCAACGCGAGGAGCCUAUCCUGAGAUUUCCAAUUUGCAUAAGAGCCAGAGCAUAACUAUCCUAUCUUUGAGAAACUUGUUUUUACACCCUUUCAUUUUAGUCUUUAAUGUUAGCUUAGAUUAGUUUAAAUCUUUCUAAAACAUUUACAUCUUCUUUUAAAGCUAACAUCCAUAAGAAAAUCACCUAUUUUCCUAAUUUGAAUAUCACUUGUGUUUGCGAAAACCCUUCCCAGUGAACGAUCCUAGAACCACUAUGCUAUAGUAGCUUGGCUACUUUAGUAAUAGUAUUCAAGGUAUAAAUUUUGUUGAUACGCCUUUAAAGCUAAGCUACCAUGAGUCGAAUCAUGUAUAGAUCUUAUAUAUUGGGGUAUAUUUCCUCAUUUUGAGGUCACCAGAUUCCCAUAAGAUUUAGUUAGAGAUUCAUCAGAGACGUGCUUCUACUCUCGAGAUUAUCAUAUUCCUCAUCAUUUUGGUUAUUCAUUUGAGAUUAGAUUUAGAGUAUCUUCCUUGAGGCAUCGACUGAUACUUCAUUUUGAUUUCUUAGCGGAUUAUUGUUGAGUUGGAGACAGUUGAUUGAUGAUGUUGGAUUCAUCCUUUUGAUUGUGCAUCAGAUAUCCACAUUGGGGCAUAUUCCUCAUUUUCUCCGAGAUUCCUAGUCGUUUUGGAUCAUGUGGCUAUCUUAUUCAUGGUUAUAGAGAUGCUUGACGGAUUCUUUAUUGUACAUCAGAUAUCCAUACUGGGGCAUAUUCCCCUCUCCAUGAUGAGAUUAUGUUCGAGCAGCGGUGUAUAGAUGGAUGAUCACUGUUGGUUGUUUAUCUCAUGACUUCGACAUCAGAUAUCCAUACUGGGGCAUAUUCCCCUCUCCUUUACGAGAUUUGUUUGGGCAGUGGUAUGAGGAUGGAUGAUUAGUGUCAGUUGUUUACCUCAUGAAUUUGAUAUCAAAUCUUAUACUGGGGCAUAUUUCCCCAUUUUCUUUGAGUAUCCUUGAGAUUGAGACAGUGGCCAGCAUGGUUUUAGAUUGAGAUUAGUUUGAAGCUUCUGAUGAUUGACUGUAUCAGGACUUCCCUACAUGGAUUUGUUGAGAUAGAGAUGGAUCACAUCAGGUUUCACCCGAGGAGCAUAGGUGGAUCCUUUAGACAAAUGUUCAUGAGAUAGAUUGCUUUAGUCAUUUUUACCUUGUAGAUUGGGUUAUCCAGACGAGCGGCAUUUUGUGCACUUUGAGAUUUACUUUUAGAUUAGCCAUGAUAUAUGCACUUUGAGAUUUACCUUUUGAGAUUUGUCAAUAGAGCAACUUUUCAGACACAGAGAGUUCUUUCAGUUUUGACUUUUCAGAGGUUUGUCGUGAUGCAUCGAUUUCUGACAUAUUGAUUUCAGCGGAUGAUUGAUUUACUGGUUGUUUUAGCAGUGUGAGCACCCUGGAUACCAAGGCGUAUCUCCCUUCUUGAGUUCAGUAGUCCGACUCUUGUCACUUUGAGUAUACAACUUUGAGCCCAUUUACUUCCUAUCCACUUUCGAGUGGUCUUCCUUAUCUGUUCCUACUAGGCCCUGAGCCUCAUAGCCCUGAGCUGUCCAUUCCUUCUAGACCUUGAGUCAUAUAGCCUUGAUUUAUCCUUUCCUUCUAGACCCUGAGUCUUAUAGUCCUAGGCUUUUCUUUCUUCCCUUAGGUCCUGAGCCUGGUAGCCCUGAGCUAUCGUUUCCUAUAGACCCGGAGUCUUUCCAGCCUUGAGCUGAGCCUUCAUCAUUUGGUCGCCCAUGAGUGGUUUGACCGGGAGUUUGCGUAUUGCAUUCUCCUUCUAGCCGAUCAGUCAUAGAGCCCAGAGCUCAUAGCCCUGAGCUAUUCAUUGUAACCCCGAGUUACUCAUUGCAUCAUGACCUAGAUUCAUUUAUGUCAUCCAUAGCCUUGAGCUAUUCAUUGUAACCCCGAGUUACUCAUUGCAUCAUGACCUAGAGUCAUUUAUGUCAUCCAUAGCCCUGAGCUGUUCAUCAUAACCCUGAGUUACUCAUUGCACCAUGACCCAGAGUCAUUCAUUCCAUCCAUAGCCCGAAGCUAUUCAUCAUAACCCUGAGUUACUCAUUGCACCACGACCCAGAGUUAUUCAUGACAUCUUGAGCCCUGAGCUCAUGACCCAGAGUCGUUUGCAUCCUUCACAUCCCUUAGAUGUUUCGUUUCAUCAUUUUAGCCACUUGUGAAUGACCUCGACCAAACACUCUGAGUCGGAAAGCAUCCUGAUCGGCUAUCCAUUUAGAGCCCUGAGUUCUCGACCAAGAGUCGAUUUUCAUUUAUGACCUAGAGUCAUUUCUUUCCAUUUAGAGCCCGAGCUCAUGACCCGGAGUCAUUCACUCCAUCUUGACCCAGAGUCAUUCUUAGCAUUUAUAGCCUUGAGCUCACGACCCAGAGUGGUUCAUCCUAUUUCUGACCCGGAGUCGUUCAUCCUAUUCCCGACCCAAAGUCGUUUGUCCUAUUUUUGACAAAGAGUCAUUCAUCUUAUCCAUGACCUAGAGUUAUUCAUCUCAUCCAUGACUUUGAGUCAUCAUCUUCAUAUUUUUUCAUCUUUGUGCUACUCAUCACAUACCUUUCUCUCUUUGCUGCCAUUCCCCCACAUAGAGUUGUUCCAUCCUUGUCGUUGCAGCCCCAUGUUCCGACCUUACUCUCACCAAGUGCUAAGACAAAAUCUCUGGUCCUUCUUUAGUUCUUCGGUAUAGUUCACUUCGUUCCACUCAUUAUUCGUUUUUUUUACUCACAUUCCUUACACUCGUGAUCUAUACCGAAGAGGGGCAUAUUUGUAGACCCUCAAUUUUGUCCUCCUAGCACAUGUCUUAUUAGAUACUUAUUCGAUACUUUACAGUAGCUCCUUGGUGGCCCAUAUCUACUCACAUUACUUACCUUUCUUGAACAACCUCGGAGACUUUGAUUGAGGGAUUACCUAACCCCUUAUUAUGACCUCGGCAGCUCUAAUUUAGACUUAGAUACUUUCCUAAACGCCUUAGGCCCACUUAGACACUUCAUUGGGCUUAGUUCACUUAGGUCCACUUUAGCACUUUUUAAACCCACUUUUUAUAUGGCUUGCAUGAUUGCAUGGCCUACACGACUUGUGUGGCUUAUAUGGAUUUCUUUAUUUAUUUUUUUUUACUACAAGUUUUCUAAAUCAUAUUUCUUGACUUGUUGGGCAUGAGGAAACAGGGGAGAACCAACAAAAUUUUGAAAAAAAUGAGAUUUUGUUUUUUAUUUAGAAGGAUAGCACAUAUAUUAUUUCCAUAGGGAAUCGAUCAUAAAAGGGAAGAAAAUAAGAAAGAGAGACAAAAAAGGAAGGAAUGAGAGGAUUUUGCUCCAGCGAGAUUUGGGGGGUUCUUUGGGAAGGCUGAUAUAUAUACGUGAGAGAAGAAGAAAAAAAAAAGGGGAGAUAAUUCUUUGAUUGUUAAGGGCAGAAAAGCGCACGAGGGUGGAAGAGGAGCAAUUGCAGUCGACUUUGUCCAGGUAUGCUUUUGGUUACUCUGGGUGUUCUGACCCAUAUUUGAUUUCUCCAUUUUGGUCAUUUAGAAAUAUUCAAUGUCUUGUUGUUCGGUGUGGACGGAAAGGGCCACAAGUUGUUCUGCUGGGAUUGGUCGUUUACUACUCCACCUUGUUUCGAUUUUGAUUAUUUUAUAUGUCAUUGAUGUCUUUGGAAAUAUAGAACUCCAUGCUUGAAUAUUAUCACGCUCGGUUUUUCGUUUAAAUCCUAUUCUGCAUAGUUCCCUCCGCUCUUAACCCAUGGAUUAAUACUUGAAGUGGGGUUAUUUAUGCUUACUGAUCAACGUCUUCUGCUCUUUCCUUCUCCGAAUAUCUCACAUCCAGAAUUCUGUCCGGUCCAACGUUCCACCUUCUUCGGAUAUCUCACAUCCAGAAUUCUGUCCGGCCCAACGUUCCAUUUUCUCCGGAUAUCUCACAUUCGGAAUUCUGUCCGGCCCAACGUUCCAUCUUCUCCGGAUAUCUCACAUCCGAAAUUCUGUCCGCCGACAUUUCACCUUCUCCGAAUAUCUCACAUCUGGAAUUCUGUCCGACCCAACAUUCCAUCUUUCUUCGGAUAUCUCACAUCCGGAAUUCUGUCCGGCCCAACGUUCCACCUUCUCCGGAUAUCCCACAUCCGGAAUUAUGUCCGGCCCAACGUUCCAUCUUCUCCGGAUAUCUCACGUCCGGAAUUCUGUCCCCCAACGUUCCAUCUUCUCCGGAUAUUUCAUGUCCGGAAUUCUGUCCGCCGACAUUUCACCUUCUCCGGAUAUCUCACAUCUGGAAUUCUGUCCGCCGACAUUCCAUCUUUCUCCGAAUAUCUCACAUCCGGAAUUCUGUCCGUCGACAUUUCAUCUUUCUUCGGAUAUCUCACAUCCGGAAUUCUGUCCGCCGACGUUCCACCUUCUCCGGAUAUCUCACAUCCGGAAUUCUGUCUGACCGACGUUCCACCUUCUCCAGAUAUUUCACAUCCGCCGCCUAACGCCGAAUGGGAGAGGAGGGCGAUUCAACUUCCCCGGUCAGACAUGUCCGGAUCCUCCUCUCUUCGCUUCUUUGAUUGGAAAUUUACUAUUUUUAAUUGAAUUUUUGAAUCCUUUUACGACUAAGUGUUUACGGCUUUGAAAAAUCCAUCCUUAAAACCCUUUUAGUCACUAAAAUCCGGAUUUUAAUAAAUUUGCUGCCACUUUCCUCCAGGCAUGCAUUUUCAUUAUUUUAUUUUAUUUUCAACUAUUUUCAUGGUUUUCUUGAUUUCAAUAAGCAUGAACAAAAUUCAUGGUUCCAAAUAAUGGAAUUCACUGAACCAAUUCAUGCAAAAGCAAUUAGGGCUUUGGUGGGGGCCCGACAUUUAUGAUAUUCUCAUCAAUAUUGUUUGCUUGAUAUUUGAUUGAUUGUGAUUCCUCUUUGUGGCAUUGAGAUUAUUUCGUACUUGUUACUAAACAAACUUGUUUCCAUAGAGGAGUAUCAGCUUGCUAUCCGGGUACGCUCUUCCUGCCCUCAAAACUCUAAAAUUCUAUCAUGCGUCAUAUUUUCAAACUAAUCUUUGAUGUCUUGUGGAAGCGCUUAAGAAGCUAUCCAGGUACGUACCCUAAAUCUUCUUCAUGAUUGUGAUUGGUUUUCCUAUUAAGCAUGCUAUUUUUUUUUUCGAAAUCACUUAGCCUACUUGGGUAUCCAUGAUUAACCAUUUAAUUGCUAUAUUUCCCUCAACUAGUCAGUAGAGACCUUUGUAGGGUUUAGAGGGGUGCUACCUCCUAGAGGUACCUUCCCAAUAAGUAAUCUGAUCCCCGGACCUAGACUCAGGUUUCUCAAAGACAUGCUUUUUCCAAAACUAUGGAGUCACUUUUUAGGGUUUUUAUUUCUUGUUUUAUUUUCCCUUUAAAAUAAAAAUAAAAUAAGUGGCGACUCCAACUUUUCUAAAAUUAAUUUUUUUCACAAAUAAAAAGCGAGUCUGGCCGAUCGAGUGGGGACGCACGUGAAAAAUGCAGGUCCACAAUGAGCAAGGACCAAACACCUAACAAAUAUGAAGAAACCCGAUUCAUUUUUCUUUAUAUUUGGGUUUAAAGGUCGGUGGAUUGAACCAGGAAAAUAUCUUAAGAGAAAAAUUCCAGGAUACAAGAAGGUUUUCAAAUAUGAAAUAACCAAUCAAAGCACGAUUAGAUUAUCCUCGAAUGAAACCAAAGAAAUAUAAGCUAGCCACCAUAACCAAACCAAUGCGACCUAAUAAACAGUGAAAAAUAAUCACAUGAAAAAAAAAAGAGAAGUAUGAUGAUCAAUAAUAAUCCAUGAACCUGAUCAGUCUUACCAGAUAAUGCUCUCCUUCAGUCGGAGUUUGCUUGGCUUCAACCCAACUUCUUAUUCUCUACUCCGCCUCCAUUUGCUCUUGCUUCUCCAAAAAGUCUCAUCCGUCAUUUUUCUCUUGCUUCACCUAAAAACAGAACCUUCAUUUUCAAGUUUCUCAAUGUCUCCUCUUAUAUAUCUCCUUUGCCUGCUCUACUCUCCCAAAAAAACCUUUUGAAUCUCCUCCAUAAUUCACCAGCCUCUCCUUCCCAAUGGUCUUGCUCCACUUCACCACCAAGACUCUUUUAUUUUCCAAAAACAUCCCGCCUCUCUCUCCUUCUCUAUGCCGUUCAAAUCAUUUUUCAUUCCCCAAGUCCCAACAUAUAUCCCUUUUCCAAUUCUCUAUUUCCUUUUUUCUUUCUUCGCAUUUCCAAUUAUGGUGCUCAUGCCAAGUUGAUUGCAUCAUAUGGAGAAGAUGAUCUGCAUCCAAAUGGUCAUGCAUGGCCAUGCAAAUGUGGGACCUCGAAAGAACUUAGGCGAUUGGUGAGGCCUAACUGAGGUGUAGUUCCAAUAGUGAAUCCAUGCUACAUGAAUUUUUUAUUUUUUAAAUUUUUUAAAAUUUUAAAUUUUUAUGUUUUUAUUUUUAUUUUAUUUUAUUGCCUAAGUAAAUAAAAUAAAAUAAGCAUUUUGGAAAAGAAAAGAAAAUAAAAUAAAAUGAAUAAAAUAAUAUAUAUAUAUAUAUAAAAUAAAAUAAAAUAAAAAGAUAAAUAGAUAUAAGUACGUGACGCAUAUUCAUGUAAGCUACAUUAGCCAUGUAAGCCAUGCAAAUGACUUAGGGGUGCUGAAGCAAGCCCUAAACGACUAGGUGUACUUAAAUGGGUCAGAUGUGCCUAAUGGGCCUAAAUAAGUCUAAACAAAUUGUCAUAAAUGUGUAUUUGGUAUCUAGAAAGACUUAAAGAGGUAAGAUAUGUGAGUAACAAGGUAUAAAGUAUUGAAAGAGUACUUAAUCAAGGUAUGCGCCAAUGGGACAAAAUGGAGGGUCUACAUAUGGGUCAUGGUUGUCACCAUAUAUGUUAAGGUUAGGUACCACAUAUGUCAUGGUUACUCCUACAUAUGUCAAAUUUGAGUCUCACGUAUUUAAGAGUGGGGAUAAGCACAAUUAUCAAGGUUUAAUUUUUUUAAAAAAUAUGUUUUAAUAUAACUUUUAAUAUGAAAAACCGAACCUAUGGCAUAAUAACAAUAAGAUUAUCCUUAUUCUAUAUAUAAUCAAUAUAUGUUUAAUAUACAUUUGAUGUCAAUUAAAGCAUAAAUGAAUGAACUUGUUUAAAGUUGUCCCUAGUUUCUAUAUAUAGUAGAACCUAUAUAAUAUAGAAUUAAACUAAAAACACACCAUAAGACUAUACAUAAACUUAAAGUAAAGUUGCUCAUGCAUCUACAAUCAAAUCUCUUGUAUCCAUCUUUAAGCAUUGCUUUAUAGGUAGACCUUAAAUUGCCAACAUCCAAACUUCAAAAAAAUAUAGAGUAUAUUAACAAACAGGAAAAUUGCAUCAUGAGGAGCACUCAAAUAUCCAAAUUUAUGAAGAAUUUCAAUAGCAAGCUAACCAUUACACCUUCUUUAUUUUACAAGAAUAAAUUAUUUCUUAGUAACAUGGGUAAAGAACCCAACUUCAAACAUUAAAAUAUUGAUAUAGCAAAAACGUAUGAAGGUUAAACAAAGGAGCAAAACCUAAAAUGGAAAUCAUUUCAAUUUGACCUAAUGAAGUUAUCAUUUCAAUCCAACCUCAACCAAAAUAUUUAAUUAUUUAAUCAUUAUUAUGAUUUUUUGAAAGCAAAAGCUUAAACCAAUUCAAAAGUACCAACAUCUAAUUCAACAACAUGUGUCUAAUAUUAUGAAUUUUAUACCAUGGAAGUUUGUGAUGUUAGUCAAUUGAGUAUGACAAUAUCAAAACACAUGUAAAGGUGUUAGGUUUGUCAAAACAUAUGUAAACACGUGUUGAAUUAUUACAUGCCACUCCACAUUCAUCAUGAGGAUUCAAUGUAAACGGAAAAAAAAAAAACAUAAUACAAUUUCCUUUUAAAAAACAUUUUCUCGUCUUUCCAUAAGCAAAUUUAACGUGAAUAACUAAUAACUUGUUGGAUACACUUCUCGUUUUAUGUUUAUAAAAAGAAAAAAUGAUAUUAAAUCCUAUAUAAAAUAUAAAUACUUAUUAAAACUUACCUUAAAAAAAUAAUAACUUAGAAAUAAUGUUUUAAAAAAAUUAAAGUAUUAAAAAUUUUUUACUACCUCAAAUUUAAAAAAUUUUAAAAGUAAUUUUCAAGGAAAUAAGAAUAUAAUUAUAUAUAUAUAUAUAUAUAUAUAUAUAUAAUAGUUACUAUGUUUUAUUUAGAAGUUACUGUUAUUUUCUAUUUUUAAGAAGAAAAAAUAGAAAGUAUAUCCAAUUGAACACUAAAUGAAUAAAUAAAAAUUUAAUUAGUCAACCUUUUUUUUAUUGUCAUUAAUUUUAUCACUAUCAUAAUUACCAUUUUCUUAUGCUUCCUUUUCUAUUUUUUUUUAUUUCUUUUUUAGGGAGGUUGUGAUUUUUCAAAAAACGUGGAUUUAUAUUAUUAUUUUUCUUAUUAAAUAUCUAUCGAGGACAUGUCUUUUAACAAUUAUAUAAUACAUUUCCAUCAAAAAUGAGAUUAGCAUAUUAUUUUUGUUUGCUAGGAAGAAUUAACAAUUGUAUUUUGAUUCAUAAUUAUUUUUCUAAAAAUUAUCUCCUAUAUGUAAAAAAUGUUAGAGUUUGAUGACCCGAAAAGAUUGUGGUAUUACAUAUGUGAUGAAGUUAAAAUUAUGAGAUUUUUUUGGGGUAUGUGAUGGCAGCAAAGGAAUGUGUGUGUAUAUGAUGAUAUAUAGUUUUAGGGUUAUGACGAUUAUACUGGUACUAUAGUCGCAGCUGGCAUCUCUCCCCUUUUAUACCAAUUUUUGACAUAGUGGAUUUUCUUCUCCUCUACUAAUGGUUUUUUCCGUCUAUAGUUUUUCACGAAAAUUUAUAUGUUCUUAUUUUGUUUUUCUUAUUACUUAUUCUCAUUACUAUGUUACAAAGAAAAAAUUAUUUAAAAUGUUUUGAUCAAUGAUUUAGUAUUUGAAACAUGAAUAUUUUUCCAUCAAUUUUUUUUUCAAUUAAAAUAUAUUGAUCCCUAAUAAAAAUAAAUACUCAAAUGAUCAAAUCUUUCCAAUAAGGAUAAAUAAGAUAAAUAAAAUGAAUAAAAGUCAAAACCCACAUGACCUUGUAAUGCAUGAUAUUAAAAAGUUAAAAAUCACAUGAAACCAAUGGACUUGUAUUGCAUGAUGUUAUAAAACUAAACCCACAUUAAGCCAUAACAAAAAUCAAACCCAUGAUAACCCAUGAUACAUGGAGAUAAAAGAUCAAAACCCACGUGAAACCAUGAUGCAUAACAUUAUAAAACCAUAAUACAUGACAUUAAAAAAAAAAUCAAAAUUCAUACAUGAAGACAAAUUAAGUGCAUAUUAUUAAAAAGUCAAGCCCCCCGUACGCAAUGAGUUUCAGUAGGUUUCAAAGAGGUUGUUUUCUACCGAUGGGUUGAUGAAGGUCUUAGGAGAGGGAGUUGGGUUUGAGGCAGUCUUUUGCUCAUAUUGGUGAGUUCAUUGUAGGAAAAGGUCUUCGUUAUGGUGCGAUGGAUCCCAUGGAGGCUUCGUAGGAUUGCAAAGAUGUGGAGGCUUUGUAAGAUUGCAAAGACAGUAUCGAGAGGUGAGGUCGUGGGCUGAGGUUGUAAAUGGUAGUGGCGGAGUGAGCUGUUUAGCUAUGUUAGGUUAAGAGAUGGGUGAAUGUAGUGUGAAUUUUCAUGGGUAGAGGUAAAGUGUGAGGGCCGUUGUUGUUUAGUGAGGUUUGAGGUGAAAUGGCGUAUUCUUCCAAAAAGAAAAAAGAAAAAAAUUAAAAUUGAAAUUGAAAUUAAAACAAAAAUUAAAAUCAAAAUUAAGAUUAACUAAAAUUAAAAUUAGAAUUAAAAUUAAAUUUAAAUUGAUAUCAAAAUUAUCAUACAAUAAACAUAUGUGAUUCCGAGGUCCCAAACAUCACUUUUAUUCCAUUAUAACAUAAUGAAAAAAAAUAAAAAUGGAUUAAAAAAAUAUAAAUUAAAUAAAAAUGAAACUAUAGGAAAAGUCAAAAUAUAACAUGAUGCCAAAAUUGGCAUAGCAUGAGGGAGAGUAGACCCACUUCAUAUUAUUUGAAACAAGAUUAGAGUUGUCAAGUAGGGCUACUUUGACAAGUAACCAGUGAAUAUAAGUCAAUUAAACGUAAGAAAAUUAAUAUUCUCUAUUAAUGACAUCUACUAAUGACAUUUGACAUGAUAGAAAAAAUAAAUAAGUGAAAAUUUGAAUGAUAGAAGAAUCUAAUGAAUAAACAAUUGUAUGGAUAGAUGAUUUAGAUUAAAUGGUAAUGGUAAUUUCUAAUAUUUUCAAAAUUGGACUGAUAAUUGAAUUAGAAAAAUUAUCAAGUCGCGAUUUAUUGAUUAAAUCAAUGGUUCAACUAUCAUCAAGUAGGUGGUAAAUAAUGAACAACUUAUUAUGUAUCAAACUAUAGAGUAUUUAUGAAUUCAUAGUUAAUAGUAAUAGUUAAUGAUUCUAUUUUGUCUUGGAAUUUAGCUUUUGUGACUCGUUUGGCCUAUUUCUGGCAUCAUAUCCAUAAUUAGAGCAUGCAUCAUAGUUAGUAAUAGGAAAAAUUAUUCAAAUACAUGUGAGUGAGUGAGGCUUAUUUGGGAUAUUUUAUAAAUGUCAUCGCGUGAUCAAACUGUGAUACCAACAUAACUUAAUAUAUAAUUAUUAGAAACUUAAUAAAUAAUUAUAAAAAAUUAAGAAUAUAUAUAAUUAAAAUAAAAUAUUUAUAAUAUUUAAGUGUGAAAAUAUCUUUGAGAUGAAAGAAAAACUCUAUUAUUGAAUUUUAUCUAUGCUAUAUUUCCCAUUAUUUGAUGAUUAUAAAACUUAUUAAAUUAUUUAAUCUAUAUUAUUUUCAUAUUUAUUAUUAUAAAAAUAAGUGUGGAGAUAAAUAUUUAUAUUUAUAAUUUAAAGGUUUUAAAUAAUGAUUUGUUUUAAAAGGGCCUAUAUUAGUUAAUGUAUUAAUUUGUAACACUAUUUUAUAGAAAAAUUAAUAGUCCAAGGGUCAUGCGUUUCCAUCCACUUGCCCAACACAUCCUCUCCUUUGCAACAUCAUUUUUUUUUUAUCCACGUGUCUCUACACGUUGGUGCUCAUGAAUGAAGAUCAACCUUCACCUUAUUUGUACUUUAUUGAUUUUGUUAAAACUAAUUGUCUCCGAUUCGUAUAUUUAAUCUUAUAAAUUGCUUUUUCUUUUGAGAAAAAUACCCUUUAGGCGGGGGUAAAAAAUGACCCAGAAGGGUGAGUGAAUGUGGUAAUUCUAGGCCUCAUAUUUUUGUCAAAUCAAUUUGCCCUUUAAUUAAAUUCUAAAAUUACAAAUUUUAAAUAAAAUAAUAUUUUUUUUUUUAAAAAAAGAGAAGAAACCUGUUUCAUUACCUGUAUUUUAUAAUAAAAGUAAUAAUAUUGAGGAUUACUUUUUAUACCUCAUUAAUAUUUAACAUAUCAAAUGUAUUAACAUCAUCCACUUAAUGCAUUGAGAAAAAAAAAAUACAUAUGAAAAUUAAGAAAAAAAAUAUUAUGCGAAGGAAAAAAAUAGAAAAAUCAUAUAAAUGUUUUAAAAUUAUUUUAUUAUAAAAAAUAAAAAUGAUUAAACAUUCUCCAUCAUUUUCUUAUUCUUUUUAGAUAAUUUGAAUGAAAAAUUAAACAUUUUAUCUUCCUUGAAUUUAAUACAAAAACAUAAUUUAUCAAUUUAAAAUUAAUAUAUAUAUCCAUGAAAAAAUCAUCAUUUUUAUUAUAUAAUUAUAAAACUUGUUUUUUUUCUUAAUAAAAUUAAAAAUUAGAAUAAAAAUAAAAAAUGUAAAAAAAACACAAUAAAUGAUAUUUUGAAAAUAUUUUUGUUUUAAAUAGUAAAUUUAAAUAACAAAUUAUACUAUCAUUAUAUAUAAUAAUUGUAAGGGUUAAACCCAAAAUUUUGAUUUAAAUUUUGAAUGUCAAUAAUUACAAAAAAUAUGGAACCCAUACAUCAUAAAUGUCUUGACAAAUCAAGUGAAGUGCUUUAAAUGCUUUGAAUUUUAAAAGUUUUAGUUGAAGGAUAGUUUUGGUAUUUAAGCGUAUUAUUAUCCUCCUCAAGAAUUAUCAGAAGAGACGACCCUUUGCAAUAAUUAUCACAUUUAGCCCAACCUAUACCGUAAUUCUCCCAAAUAAUUAUUUAUUCUAUUAUGAUAAUAAAGUUUUUAAUUGUAUGUUCCAUAUAUAAAACAAUAUAAUAACCUUAGAAUAUGAUUUUUAUUUAUGAUAUAUUGAAAAUUACAUAUAUUUUUUUACAAGGUUCUUUAAAAAAUCUCAAUUUUUUUGAAAAAAAUAAGAGAAAAAUAGCAAUUUUUAAACAGUUGCUUGUUCAAAAGUGAACACAAUUUUUUUAGGGCUUAAGAAAUGUGUGAUUGAUUUCUUGUAUUUAUCAUUAUGUAUGGGCCUCACAUCAUUGACAGUCUCAAAUUUGUUUAUAGAUAGUAUAGAAAACAUAUUUAAGUGUAAAAUUAUCCUCUAAAAAUCAUUGAUACAAGUGACCCUUCCCAAUAAUUAUCACAUCCAACCCAUCCUAUUCGAUAAUUCUCCUUAAUUAUUUUUUACAAGCACUCAUCAAUUGAAUAAUAUAUAAAUAUUCAAUUGAAUAAUACACAACUAUUAAAUAAAUGGAAUAAACAACUAUUCAUUGAGUAAUAUAGCACAUGAAAACAUUAAACAAAAAUAAAUUAAAUUAUGUUCUAACAUAUUUUAACGAUAAUGUAUUUGUAUUAUAAGUAUAAUGCAUUUAUGUUGUACCUAUAUUAACAACAUUCAUCUAAUGUAUUGAAAUUAUUUAAUAAUUUUUGUAUAUAUAUAAAAAAACUACGAAUUUCGUGAAUUCAAAUUAGUAUUUCAUUUGGUUUCAUAAAUGAUUUAUAAUAUAAGUAUCUUAUGAAAUAUGGUAUGAUCAUACAAAAUGAUUAUUUUUAUAAAAAAGUUCAAAAUUUUCCCAAUUAGGUUUUAUUAUAACGUAAGUGUAUUUAUAUUCUAAUUAUAAUAUAUUUUUGUUGUACUUGCAUUUUUACAAUAAACGCAAUAAUCUUGAGGAUUACUUUUUAUUCUUUAUUAAUAUUCAACAUAUCAAAUGUAUUAACAACAUUCGCUUGAUGCAUGAGAAAAAAAAAUUACAUAUGAAAAUUAAGAAAAGAAAAACAUUAUGGAAAGGAAAAAAAACUAGAAAAAUCAUAUAAAUGUUUAAAAAUUAUUUUAUUAUAAAAAAUAAAAAAUGAUUAAACAUUCUCCAUCAUUUUCUUAUUCCUUUUAGAUAAUCCCAAUGAAAAAUUAAAUAUUUUAUCUUUCUCAAAUUUAAUACAAAAACAUAAUUUAUCAAUUUAAUAUAUAUAUAUAUAUAUAUAUAUAUAUAUAUAUAUGAAAAAUCAUCACUUUUAUUAUAUAAUUAUAAUUUUUUUCUUAAUAAAAUUAAAAUUUUAAAUAAAAAUAAAAAAUAUAUGAAAAAAACACAAUAAAUGAUAUUUUGAAAAUAACAUUACAAAAAAUGUGGGGCCCAUACACCAUAAAUGACCUCAUCAACAAGUGAAGUGCUUUAAAUGCUCUAAAUGCUUUGAAUUUUUAAAGUUUUAGUUUAACGACAAUUUUGAUAUUUAAGCCUAUUAUUGUCCUUAAAAAAUUAUGAAAAGAGACUAUCCUUCUCAGUAAUUAUUACAUCUAGCCCACCUUAUACGAUAAUUCCUUUUUUUUUUGUGUUUUUUUUUUGUUGCUUUUGGCUUAUUAAUGGUAGUCUUGACAUUUAAAAAGAGGGCCUUUAAGAAAUUAUGGCAUUUUCAACCUACCCUUUACAACACUCACCCAGGUCAAUUUUUUUUACCCCACCCACCCUAAAAGAUAAUUUUCCUUUCUUUUUUUUCUCUUCUAAGAUUAAAGUUUCAAUAGAAAUUAAGAUUAAGAUUAUAAUUGAAAUUGAAGUCAAAACUAGGAUUAAUGUUAAAAUUGAAAAUUAAAGUUAUAAUUAUAAUGAAAAUUAAUUUUAAAAUUAAAAUUAAGACUAAGAUUAGUAAAGUCAAAAUUAAGACUAAAGUUAAACUUAAGAUGAAAACAAGAUUAAAAUUACUAAAAUGAACAUAAAAAUUCAAUCAUACAAAUAAAAUUUUCUUUUCAUUUAUGAGAUUAAAAUAAAAAUCAAGAUCAAAACCAUCACAUAAAAAUUAGAAUUAAGAUUAAAAUUAGAAUUAAAAUUGAAAUUAGAAUCAAAAUUAAAGUCAAAACUAAGAUUAAUGUCAAAAUUGAUAUUAAAAUUAAAAUUAUAAUGGAAAUUAAUAUAAAAAUUAAAAUUAAAAUUAAGAUGAGGAUUGAAAUUCAGGUCAAAACUAAUAUUAAAAUUAAAGUCAAAGUUAAGACUAAAGUUCAAGCUAAAGAUUAAAACUAGAAUUAAAAUUACUACAAUUAACAUUAAAAUUGAAAUUGAAAUUAAGAUUACAAAUUCUAAUUAAACUAAAAUUAGAAUUAAGAUCAAAACUAAGAUUAAAGUUAAAAUUAAAAUUAAAAAUCAAAAUUAAAAUUAUCAAAGAAUAUAUAUAUUCUUUAAUUACCUAAAUAAUACAUAUUUAUUAUAGUUCUUAAUCUUAUUUAAUUUUAAUUAUUAUUUUGUUAUUAUAUAUAUGAAGUAAUAUAAAUAAAAAAUAUACUAAUAUAAAUUCCUCAAAUAAUAUAUAUUAUAUUAUUUCAUAGUAAUUUUACUAUCAUCAAAACAUUAAUAACAUACUAAUUAAUAAUUAAAUAGAUCAUAUAGCUAUUUAUCAUUGUUACUAAUAUUACAACUUAACAACAUUGUUCAACAAUAAAAUCACUCAAUUCAUUAGGAAAUAAUACAAUCAAUGAUGAAGGUUUUUUAAUCAAAGAAUAUGGAUAAAAAAUUAUAUUUUGUGAUGAAAUUUUAAUUUGCCUAUAAAUUUUCAUUGGAAAAAUCAUAUUUUCUUGUAGUGUAGACAGUAGUAGCAAAAAAAAGUCACAUUUGUAACCACACCACUAUAAUUAUUAUUAAUUUUUAUAUUUUUUAUUUAUAAUUUAUUUUACUUAUAUUAUAUUAUUUUAUUUAUAUUUUUUUAUGGCCUAGUUGUUAUUAAAAAAAUUUUAAAAUAAUUAUUUUACCUUACUUUUAAUUUGGAACUUUAAUAUAACAACAAAGUGGUCACUUAUGGUUAAAAUUUUGAAUAAUGAAAUUAUUUUUUCAUCUCUCGACUUUCAAUCAAAUAUUUGUAUUUACAGUGGUCCACUAGCCAACACUUUGUGACUAUAAAUUCCCCAAAUGUGUCAGCACCUUCACUCCGUUGUCUUGUUCGACUCUCUCUCUCUACGCCUCUUCAAGAUGCUCUUCUUCCCUUUCUCAAAAUCUUGCCCAACUGCAAAACCAGUGUUUUCGAAUCUUCACUCAUCUCUCUCAGAUUCCUUUUCUGGAUCCCAAUCUUUCUCUUUCAACCCACAAACUGGAUUCAACCUCUGCCCGAAAUCUCUCCAAAUCAGAGCCAUGGAGGCCUCCCUAGACUACCACUUUGGAACCCAACUGCAAACCCAUAUCAAAACACCAACAAGCCUUAAAAUCGCAAUCAUUGGGUUCGACAACUUCGGCCAGUUUCUAGCAAAAACCUUCGUCAGCCAGGGCCACACCGUCCUCGCCCACUCUCGCUCUAACUACUCUAACACGGCCGCUAAGCUCGGCGUUUCCUUCUUUAGUGACCCGCACAACCUUUGCGAGGAACACCCAAAAGUGGUGAUGCUAUGCACCUUGAUCAUUUUGACAAAAUCCAUGCUCAAAUCGAUCCCAUUUCAUAGACUACUGCGUAGCACGCUGUUUGUGGACGCUUUGUCGGUGAAAGAAUUUCCCAGAAGCCUAUUUCUUGAAAUCUUGCCUGAAGAGUUCGAUAUCCUCUAUACACACCCAAUGUUCGGUCCGGAGAGCGGCAAAAAUGGGUGGGUAGGCCUUACUUUUAUGUGCGAUAAGGUCAGAAUUGGAAACGAUGAUCCUAGAAUCUCAAUGUGUGGGAGAUUCUUGGAUGUUUUUGCAAGAGGAGGGGUGCAAAAUGGUAGAGAUGAGCUGUGUGUUUAAUCAACCAUUAUAAAUCCAAGAACUCUACAUAAGAAUCUCAUGUUAAAUCAUAUAAAGAAAUGUGCCUGAAUGUUUUAUGGAAUGCGAACAUACUGAAUCCAGACUAACCCGAGUCCAUUAUGGGUGUAGAUGAAUAAGGUAUGGAUCUUCUAAGGCUGUAGAGGGCUAUCCACCUUUUAGUAAUCUCUUUAACGAUGCGAGCAAGAGAGAACGGGUUCUGUUCUUUAUUCAAAAGAUGUGAUCAUCUGAAGAACAUACACUUAGCCUUUAUAUACCUUCCUACCUUAGGGACCAUACCCUUUGGGUUAUUGGGCCUCACGAGUCUUAGCCCAUCAUCUAAGGCCUGUGAUGGCAUUGAGCUCUACACAUAAGGUUACCCAUACUCUAGAUUAAUCAACAAUCAUAUAUAUAUAUAUAUGGAUAGCUAAAUCCUGAACAAUGGUUAAUAUGAUGUGAGUCCACAUUUAUUCUAACAAUCUCCCACUUGGACCACAUAUAUUAACCAACAAUGUUCAUGAUAAUACUUCAUUGAGCUCAUCUUUGCUAUCCUAUUCAAAUAUCCUUAAACAAUAUGGUCUACUAAUUAUGCUAACAUAGCAUCAAAGUGGCCUUCGUUAAUCACAAUUAUAACUAGACCCAUCAAUGAUCACAACAUUAACAAAAUUAGCAACAUGGAUCAAGUAUGGAUGUGUAGCAUGGAAAUUACAUAGAAUGUGAUAUUUAUUAUGUCUAUUUCCAAUUGGUCCUACUUUAUGACUAAAAAUAGUCAAAUUCUACUUUCAACACUUGAUGCUAAACUGCUUUUGAAAGUCAUCAUUUCAAUUUAGAGUAUUCAAAGACAAUAGUCUUUAAAAACAAGGUCUGCAUAGAUAACACAAACAUUAUAUCACAUCAAAAAAACAAACACAAAAUCUAAAUACAAACUCCCACUAUACUAGCACAUCAUCAAUGUGUACAACACCCAUAUGUGUGACAUGCUCAUGAUAUACUUUGGGUGGCAAACCCUUAGUGAGUGGAUCCACAAUCAUGGAGUUUGUGCUUAUGUGUUCAAUUGAUACUUGAAGACUUUGAACUCUUUUUUUGACAACCAAGAAUUUGAUGUCAAUGUGUUUGGACUUUGAUGAACUUCAGUUUUUCUUAGAAUAUAAUUUUGUGGCCUUAUUAUCACAGUUCAUUCUCAAUGGUUUCUCAAUCCCAUUAACAAUUCACAAUUGAGUGAUAAAAUUCUGCAGCCAUAUCCCAUGGUUUGAUGCCUCGUAGCAAACUAUGAAUUCUACCUAACAUUCUAACAAUGUACACAAUAUCCGGAUGCAUAUAAACUUGUGCAUACAUGAGACUUCCUACUGCUGAGGCAUAGGGAAACCUCUCCAUAUCCUUUUUCUCAAGUUCAUUUUUUGGACAUUGGUGCAAACUAAAUUUAUCGCCUUAUGCCACAGGUGUGUCUCCUGGUGCACAAUUGCUCAUGCCAAACCUUCUUAACACCUUAUCGAUGAUCGUCUUUCAUUGAUUUCGUCUCAUCCUUCAUGGCUUCUAUCCACUUUUUAGAGUCAGACCUUUGUUUGACUUGACUAACUGAAAUUGGAUCAUCUUCCAGACCCAUGUGAAACCCAUGUUCCUGGAGAUAUACAACAUAAUCAUCUGAAAUUGUACUUCUCCUUUCUCUAGUGGAUCUCCUCCGUGGCACUUGUACUUGAGUUUGUUGAGUUACCUCUUCAUGAACUUGAAUUGGUUCCAUAACUUGAGUAGGAGGAAUCCCAAGCUUGUCUACAAUCUCUGGUUGUACAUUCUGGAUAGUGUCAUCAAUCAUAAUAUGACCAUGUCCAGUUGUAAUAAUAGGAAUACUACUAAAUUCCUCUUCAAAGACCACAUUUCUUAAUGAUUUUCUCCCACUUAACUCAAAGAAGGAUCUAGUUGAGGGGUCAUAAAUAAAUAUCAUGCAUAUAUGAAUAAAUAAAAAUUUAAACACACACACACACACACACACACACAUAUAUAUAUAUAUAUAUAUGCAUGUGAGCCUCUUACAAGAUACCUAGUACAAACAUUAAUAUUCAGUAUUUGGAAAAAAAUAUCAAUUUGUAAUUGGUAUCCUUUUACAACAUUAAUUCAUAAAUAUUGACAAUAAAACCAAAGCAGUAUGCCUAUCUUUGAACUGACAUAUAACAAGUAAGAUAAACUUUAUAUGUCACAUAUUUAUGACUACUUUAUUUAUUAUUAUAUUAAAAUAAUAUUCCUUUGGGCCGAUUAUUUUAAAUAAUAAUAAUAAUAACAUGUUUAGAUAUUAUAAAAUAAAUAAAUUAUGUAAUAUAAGUUACUUUGGCAACUAAUAUACAUAAUUCAUUUAUUUAAAAAAAAUAUUAAACACAAAUAUAACAUAAAAGGAUGGGAAAAUUUUCCAAUCCAUCUUAUAUAAAUUAAAAACUGAGGGUCCAAGGUUGGACUGCAAAAGAAGGUGGUCCACCAUCUCCCUAAAAUUCUUGUGCAUGUAGCACCAGCUUGGUAGCAACAUGACUUCUUUUAAUAGAUUAUCAAAUAGUCAAAAUGUUUACCAAAUAUGCAAUUUAAACAAAAAAUAUACUUUAAUAGGGACUUUCAAGCCUAAAACUUUCGCAUCCCUCAAAAGGGCAAUCCCCAGUCCCUUCUUCUAUGGUGUCCAGAAAUAAUCCAACUAGGACUUAAAAAAAUAAAUAAAUAAACAUUCACCCUCCACCAAGUAGCCUUCACAUAGACUAAGGAUCAACAAAAUUUUAUCAAGGAUUAACAAACCUCUAUUACUGAAAGUUCAUUGGUGGCAGAAUCCAAAUUGUCACCCUGCCUGAGUUCAGAUACCAUAUAAUAAUUUGGUACCCAUGCAUCAUAAACAUGGAUGCACAAUAACCAUUUUUAUAGCUAUCAAGGUAUAUAUGACAAUAAACAUGUGCAUAAAUAGACACAAAUCAAUAUGGGAAAUAUGAAGUGAACCUGGGCAUAUUAAUAAAUAAUUUUUAUUUUUAUGUUUAAUUUUUUAUUUUUUAUUUUUAUUUUUUAUCUUAUCUUAUCUUAUGCAACCCUAAACAACCCAAGGUCGUUUGCAGCCGCGUCACCCUUGGAGCGGCACCAGUAGCGGUGCCGGAGUUGUCCUCAAGCCGCCGAUGGCGAAACUCUAUCUCCAUCACCGGAAUGGUGAUUUCCCAUCUCCAAACGACGGCGCCACCACCGGAAUGACAUUGUAACGGCAUUGCUGGCAAGUGGCCCCACCUGUUGAUUACUACUCAAAAAGUGCUAUUUUGUAGCUUGUAAUUAACUCUUUUAAACACUUUUGAGUAGUAAUUAUUACCUUUUAACUCAAUUGACAUGUUAGGAACCCUUGCAAUCGUUUCUAAUCAAAUUGUGUUAAGUUUUGGUGUUUUUGUUAGCUUUUUGCUCACCAAAGCAAUCCAAGAAUGAGGGAGAGCUGUAUAUAGUUCAUGGCAAAGCUUUUGGAAGCUGAAAUUCAUGAAGAACCAAGCUUUGGAGCUCCAUAGCCUUUUUCCAAAGUCGCUCAAAGUAUGCAAGGAAAGAACAACGGAGAGAGGAAAAACAAAGUGAAGAAAACAGAGGACAGCAGCUACAGUCUUCUUUCACACUUUUGGAGCACUUCCCGAAGUCCAUUGUUUACAUGCUAUAUACCAUUUCAAAGCGCAGGAAGUCAAAAAUCCAAAACUUCAAACCAUGUAUGAUUUGGAGCUGAAAUGAGGAAGAUAUGGCCUUCGCAAGACAACUGUAUCCAACUGAAGGACAAUUUCGCACCUUGCGAAAUUGGAACUCCAACGUGCGAAAUUUAAAGUGGAUGGCAGCUGUGCAUUCGCGGUGAAGUCCAACAUGCGAAAGUGAUUUUGCAACUUGCGAACUUGGAGCUCAACGUGCGAAAAUGGAUUCUAAGUUGCGAAAUCAACUUGCGAAAUUUUCGCAAGUCACCAUGCAACGUGCGAAACUGGGAUAUUUGUGCACCGACUCUUUUAGAUAUUUUCUUUAGAUAUUUUUGUAUAAAUUUCCAUUCUUCUCCUUGUAAUCCACCAACCAUAAGAUUUCUUAGCUAGGAAGGUUGGAAAAACUUCUCUAUAUAUAUUCCCUUGCAUCCAUUGUAAACGACAUCGAUCAAUAUAUAGAUAUUUAAAUAUAUAGACUAUACAGAGCCUUGCUCUGUUUUUCUCUCUUCUCCUAUUCUUCCCCAUUUCUAUUUUCUUAGUAGCCAAACAGCCUCUGAGGGCUUUUCUGUUGGGCUUUGUGGAGCCUAGUUUUGUUUGAUCCGGUUUGACAACCCGACCCGAAUAAUAUUGCAUGGCCUUUUUAAUGGGAGAUUUAUUGAGGUCUGUUGGGCCCGUUUAGCCCAUUGUGGAACCACCUUUUGUAAUUAGGGUUUUUAGUAUGAUAGGGUUGUCAUGCUAUAUAUAUAUAGAGAAUAUUGUAGCCGCCAAGUUGUACUCUGUAUUCUUCCCUGAUAAUAGUGAUAUCCCUACAACUCCGUGGACGUAGGCAAAUUGCCGAACCACGUAAAUACUGUCUUGUGUGUGUGAUUGUUUUUUCUUUGGCGUGUGUUUUCUCUAAUUUUUUGUUUCUCACGGGUUGGGAAUUCGGUUUAAUUCCCUACAACUGGUAUCAGAGCCUAGGAUUAGGUUUGAGUGGGAGCAAUGGCAGAGGAAGCAGGAAAGGCGUCUGGAAUAGAAAAGUUUGAUGGCACAGACUUUGCGUAUUGGAGGAUGCAGAUUGAAGAUUAUCUCUAUGGGAGGAAAUUACAUUUGCCUCUUUUGGGGACAAAACCUGAGAGUAUGAAGGCUGAGGAAUGGGCGCUUCUUGACAGACAGGUUCUAGGAGUUAUUAGGUUAACUCUGUCUAGGUCUGUUGCACACAAUGUUGUAAAGGAGAAGACCACAGCAGAUUUGAUGAAGGCUUUGUCCGGUAUGUAUGAAAAGCCGUCCGCAAACAAUAAGGUGCAUCUGAUGAAGAAAUUGUUCAAUUUGAAGAUGACAGAGAAUGCAUCAGUAGCAUAACAUCUGAAUGAAUUUAAUACAAUCACAAAUCAAUUGUCGUCUAUAGAAAUUGAUUUUGAUGAUGAGAUUCGUGCUCUGAUCGUCUUGGCUUCUUUGCCAAACAGUUGGAAGGCAAUGAGGAUGGCAGUAAGCAAUUCUACAGGAAAAGAAAAGCUCAAGUACAAUGAUAUACAAGAUUUAAUUCUGGCUGAGGAGAUUCGCCGAAGAGAUGCAGGUGAAACCUCAGGAUCUGGUUCUGCCCUAAACCUUGAGACAAGAGGCAGAGGUAAUAACAGAAAUUCAAAUCAGGGUAGAUCAAAUUCCAGAAAUUCUAAUCGGAACAGAAGCAAAUCUAGAUCAGGCCAACAAGUACAAUGCUGGAAUUGUGGGAAAACAGGUUACUUUAAAAGGCAAUGCAAAAGCCCUAAGAAGAAGAAUGAAGAUGAUUCUGCUAAUGCUGUAACAGAAGAGGUACAGGAUGCAUUACUUCUUGCAGUAGACAGUCCACUUGAUGAUUGGGUUUUGGAUUCAGAAGCUUCGUUUCAUACCACUCCACACCGAGAAAUCAUACAGAAUUAUGUUGCAGGUGAUUUUGGUAAGGUGUAUUUGGCUGAUGGUUCAGCCUUGGAUGUUGUGGGUCUGGGAGACAUCCGGAUAUCAUUGCCCAAUGGGUCUGUUUGGUUACUGGAGAAGGUUCGACAUAUUCCUGACCUGAGGAGGAAUCUGAUUUCUGUUGGACAACUUGAUGAUGAAGGACAUGCAAUACUAUUUGUUGGUGGUACUUGGAAGGUUACAAAGGGAGCUAGGGUAUUGGCCCGUGGAAAGAAGACUGGUACUCUGUAUAUGACCUCAUGUCCAAGAGACACAAUUGCAGUUGCUGAUGCAAGUACUGAUACAAGCCUAUGGCACCGCAGACUUGGUCACAUGAGUGAGAAAGGGAUGAAGAUGUUGCUGUCAAAAGGAAAACUACCAGAAUUGAAGUCCAUUGAUUUUGAUAUGUGUGAAAGUUGCAUCUUAGGAAAGCAAAAAAAGGUGAGCUUCUUGAAAACUGGCAGGACACCGAAGGUUGAAAAAUUGGAACUAGUACACACUGAUUUGUGGGGGCCUUCUCCGGUUGCAUCCCUAGGAGGUUCAAGGUACUACAUCACUUUUAUUGAUGACUCAAGUAGAAAGGUAUGGGUUUAUUUUCUGAAAAAUAAAUCUGAUGUAUUUGAAACUUUUAAGAAGUGGAAGGCCAUGGUUGAGACAGAAACAGGUUUGAAAAUAAAAUGUUUGAGGUCAGAUAAUGGAGGAGAGUACAUAGAUGGAGGGUUCAGUGAGUAUUGUGUUGCACAGGGAAUUAGGAUGGAGAAGACCAUUCCUAGGACACCACAACAGAAUGGUGUGGCUGAGCGCAUGAACAGAACUCUCAAUGAGCGUGCUAGAAGUAUGAGGUUGCAUGCUGGACUACCAAAAACUUUUUGGGCUGAUGCUGUUAGCACUGCAGCUUACCUAAUAAACCGAGGACCAUCAGUUCCCAUGGAGUUCAGACUUCCUGAGGAGGUUUGGAGCGGUAAAGAGGUGAAGUUUUCACAUUUAAAAGUUUUUGGUUGUGUUUCUUAUGUUCAUAUUGAUUCUGAUGUUCGUAGUAAACUUGAUGCAAAGUCAAAAAUAUGUUUUUUUCAUUGGCUAUGGUGAUGAGAAAUUUGGCUAUAGGUUUUGGGAUGAACAAAACAGGAAAAUCAUCAGAAGUAGAAAUGUGAUAUUUAAUGAACAGGUUAUGUACAAGGACAGGUCGACUGUAGUGUCAGAUGUUAUAGAGAUAGAUCAAAAGAAAUCUGAGUUUGUCAACUUAGAUGAAUUGACUGAAAGUACUGUCCAAAAGGGGGGUGAAGGAGAUAAGGAGAAUGUAAAUUCACAGGUAGAUUUGAGUACACCUGUAGCUGAAGUUCGCAGAUCUUCCAGGAACAUUAGACCUCCGCAGCGUUAUUCACCUGUUUUAAAUUAUCUCCUGUUGACUGAUGGUGGUGAGCCAGAGUGUUAUGAUGAAGCCUUGCAAGAUGAGAAUUCAAGCAAGUGGGAGUUAGCCAUGAAGGAUGAGAUGGAUUCCCUGUUGGGGAAUCAGACAUGGGAACUGACUGAAUUGCCAGUAGGAAAGAAGGUUUUGCACAACAAGUGGGUAUACAGAAUAAAGAAUGAGCAUGAUGGUAGCAAACGUUACAAGGCCAGAUUAGUUGUUAAAGGGUUCCAGCAGAAGGAGGGCAUUGACUACACAGAGAUAUUUUCUCCAGUUGUGAAGAUGUCAACAAUUAGACUUGUACUUGGAAUGGUGGCUGCAGAAAACUUACAUCUUGAGCAGUUAGAUGUAAAGACAGCAUUCCUUCAUGGUGACUUGGAGGAAGACCUUUACAUGAUUCAGCCAGAAGGGUUCAUUGUUCAGGGACAAGAGAAUCUAGUCUGCAAACUGAGAAAGAACUUGUAUGGCCUUAAACAAGCUCCUAGACAGUGGUACAAGAAGUUUGACAAUUUUAUGCAUAGAAUUGGGUUCAAGAGAUGUGAAGCUGAUCAUUGUUGCUAUGUUAAGUCAUUUGACAACUCUUACAUCAUAUUACUGUUGUAUGUGGAUGAUAUGCUUAUUGUAGGGUCUGACAUUGAGAAGAUUAAUAAUCUGAAGAAGCAAUUAUCCAAACAGUUUGCAAUGAAGGAUUUGGGAGCUACAAAGCAAAUCCUUGGUAUGAGAAUCAUCAGAGACAAGACUAAUGGUACAUUGAAGCUUUCACAGUUAGAGUAUGUGAAGAAAGUUCUCAGCAGGUUCAACAUGAAUGAAGCUAAACCAGUAAGCACACCCUUGGGUAGUCAUUUCAAACUAAGCAAAGAACAGUCACCAAAGACAGAAGAAGAAAGGGACCAUAUGAGCAAGGUGCCCUAUGCCUAAGCUAUUGGCAGCUUGAUGUAUGCUAUGGUGUGUACAAGGCCAGACAUUGCACAUGCAGUGGGAGUUGUGAGCAGAUUCAUGAGUAGGCCUGGAAAGCAGCAUUGGGAGGCAGUCAAGUGGAUUUUAAGAUAUCUGAAGGGUUCAUUAGAUACAUGUCUUUGCUUCACAGGUGCAAGUUUAAAAUUGCAGGGUUAUGUAGAUGCUGAUUUUGUUGGUGAUAUUGAUAGUAGAAAGAGUACUACUGGGUUUGUUUUUACUCUAGGUGGUACAGCUUUAUCAUGGGCUUCAAAUCUACAGAAGAUUGUUACUUUGUCUACCACAGAAGCUGAGUAUGUUGCAGCAACUGAAGCUGGAAAGGAGAUGAUUUGGCUACAUGGUUUCUUAGAUGAAUUGGGUAAGAAGCAGGAGAUGGGCAUUCUACACAGUGACAGUCAGAGUGCAAUUUUUCUUGCCAAAAAUUCGGCUUUUCAUUCAAAGUCGAAGCAUAUACAAACAAAAUAUCACUUUAUCCGUUAUCUUGUUGAAGAUAAACUGGUAAUACUUGAGAAGAUUUGUGGAUCUAAGAACCCUGCAGACAUGUUGACUAAGGGUGUCACUAUUGAGAAGUUGAAGCUGUGCGCAGCUUCAAUUGGUCUUCUAGCUUGAGGACAGGAGGAUGAGUUGUAGGGAUGAGAGAUCGUUUCUUGGAGGAUAGCGGUUUGAUGUUGGUGAUUGGACUAGUCUCCAAGUGGGAGAUUUGUUGGGCUUUGUGGAGCCUAGUUUUGUUUGAUCCGGUUUGACAACCCGACCCGAAUAAUAUUGCAUGGCCUUUUUAAUGGGAGAUUUAUUGAGGUCUGUUGGGCCCGUUUAGCCCAUUGUGGAACCACCUUUUGUAAUUAGGGUUUUUAGUAUGAUAGGGUUGUCAUGCUAUAUAUAUAUAGAGAAUAUUGUAGCCGCCAAGUUGUACUCUGUAUUCUUCCCUGAUAAUAGUGAUAUCCCUACAACUCCGUGGACGUAGGCAAAUUGCCGAACCACGUAAAUACUGUCUUGUGUGUGUGAUUGUUUUUUCUUUGGCGUGUGUUUUCUCUAAUUUUUGUUUCUCACGGGUUGGGAAUUCGGUUUAAUUCCCUACAUUUUCCUCAGAGGACGAUUGGCUAAAACUUUUAGUUUCUCAAAGUAUGGAUGUUAUGUGAUGACUUGGAUGCAAUCCCAUGGAAAUUUCUCGCACUUGGAAGGUAAGGUAGUCGUUUUUCAUUAAAGGUUCAUUAAUGCAAAGUUUGGUUUUUAUUUCCUUUGGACAAUUUCCAACGGCCAAUACUUGAUAAGCUUUUGGAUUUCUAUUCAUUAGUUAUCUCCUACGAGCUAUCAGAAGGUGAGGUUUUCAAUUCCAAGUUUUGCAUUAAUCCGUUAGAACCAAUUUCAAUGGCCAUUGAAAGGUGAGUUUAUCACCUGGAAUGACUUUGAGUUGCCAAUAUUUGGUAAGCUUUUGGCUUUAGACCAUUAGUUAUCUCUUACGAGCCAUUCAAAGGAAGUCUAAGGUGAAUAACCAUUGAUGAAAUUCACUACCAUCUGUUUUGCCAUUUUAAAGGAUUAAAACUUGAUUUGCUAAAUCCAUACCGGUUCGGGAAGCAAGCAUCACCAUAGUUGCAACCCCAACGCGAGGAGCCUAUCCUGAGAUUUCCAAUUUGCAUAAGAGCCAGAGCAUAGCUAUCCUAUCUUUGAGAAACUUGUUUUUACACCAUUUCAUUUUAGUCUUUAAUGUUAGCUUAGAUUAGUUUAAAUCUUUCUAAAACAUUUACAUCUUCUUUUAAAGCUAACAUCCAUAAGAAAAUCACCUAUUUUCCUAAUUUGAAUAUUAUUUGUGAAGUGAAAACCCAUCCCAGUGAACGAUCCUAGAGCCACUAUGCUAUAGUAGCUUUGUCUCUGCUACCCUAGUACAUGGUGUAAUAGGUUAUAAAUUUUGUUGAUUACUCCCUCAUUCAAGGAGCACCAGCUAGACAUGAAUCAACUGAGACACCAAUUAGGCAUGAAUCACCUGUGGCGUGACGCCGUGACGAGUAGAUGGCAUUUGGAGAGCCUGAAAGACGCCUUAAUGGUGUCUUAACAGGGUCUGGAAACGACGUUGCAAAUGACGCCUGAAACGUGCUUUGAAUGGUGCCUGAAGUGGCCUUGAAUGCGCAACCAACUGGUGCAGUGAAGCGCGCCUUGAACAACGCCUGGUAUGGUGCCUGAAGUGCAUCUGAAACGACGCUCUUCACUGGCAUUGGAUGACCCUUGAACGACGUCUUAAACGCUUGUAAGGAGGCCUGCAACAACGCCUUCAAUACAUUAUAUAUAUAUGUAUACUACAGCCCAAAAGACCCAAGGUCCCCUGUAACCAAAUCAUGCGCUCAGCGCCAAACGAUGCCGUCGAUAGGGGACGAUGCCAAAAUGGCGUCUUUGACUGCGUUUUGACUGGAAGUGACGCCAAACGACAUCUUCGACUGAAGUGACGCCAAAUGGCAUCUGGAAACGACGCCUGUAAUGACGUCUAGAAUGACGCCUGAACGGCGUCGUUGGAAUGCCUAAAAAUGACGUCUCUUGAAUGCCUGAAUCAGCACCAAACGAUGCCCUUUUUGAGCACCAGACAGGCGAAAAAAUGGCACCCCUCAUCAGUGUUGCAAGCGUCACCCCCAUCACUGGUAGCGGUGCCCAAAUGAUGCCAUUUCCGCGCUGAGGUUCAUCUUUAUCCUUGCUGACCACAGCGCCAUUCCCUGAUCUCCCGAGACCCGAAUCUCACCCUCCCUAAUGGCCUCCGAAUCGCCACAGAAUUUCACCUCCUAGGUUGUGCCGCGGUUGUUAGUGUCUGGAUCUACUCUAGAAGCCACUUCGAGAGCAACGCCACCAAUGACAUGGCUCAUUUUCUGGAACGUAUGGUGUUCAAGGGCAUAGAAAAGAGGCCGACUAAGGGUUUUAGUGAAGGAAAUUGAGAGCAUGGCGAUCCCUUGAUGAUUUAAAAAAUCACAAUUUCUUAAUGAUUUUAACAUGCUGCUCUGAUACCAAUUGUUUAAUCAACCAUUAUAAAUCCAAGAACUUUACAUAGGAAUUAGGAAUCUCAUGUUAAAUCAUAUAAAGAAAUGUGCCUGAACAUUUUAUGGAAUGCGAACAUACUGAAUCCAGACUAACCUGAGUCCAUUGUGGGUGUAGAUGAAUAAGGUAUGGAUCUUCUAAGGCUAUAGAGGGUUAUCCACCUUCCAGUAAUCUCUCUGACGAUAGGAGCGAGAGAGAACGAGUUUUGUUCUUUAUUCAAAAGAUGUGAUCAUCUGAAGAAUAAACACUUAACCUUUAUGUACCCUCCCGCCUUAGGGACCAUACCUUUUGGGUUAUUGGGCCUCACGAGUCUUAAGCCCAUCAUCUAAGGACCGUGAUGGCAUUAGACUCUACACAUAAGGUGGCCUAUACUCUAGAUCAAUCAGCAAUCAUAUAUAUAUAUAUAUAUAUAUGGAUAGCUAAAUCCUGAAUAAUGGUUAAUAUGAUGUGGGUCCACAUUUAUUUUAACACUGUACAGAUCACGACAAGUACUCAGUGGAGUCUCAGUUCAUAACCCACAUAAUGGGGAGGGUUUUAGAGAGGUUCGGGUUAUAAUCAAGCUCCAUUAACACCAAAGGGUAUGAAACAUUGCUAAAAUUGGUGGAGAACACAGCCAAGGACAACUUUGAUUUGUACUAUGGGUUGUCCAUGUACAAUAAUAAUGCUAUGGAGUAGCUGGAGAAGUUGGAGUUGGCCUUUCAGUCUCUUAAGAGGGAACUUUUUGGGAAUUCGCAGUCUCUUUAUGGACGGAAGUUGUUUGAAGGAGAGUGAGAGGAGAGAGACCUAGCGCAAAAGCUGCUCCCUAAUAGUGUUUUGGAUUCUUGGAAACUUACAACUCUUUAGUUGGUUUGUUUAUCAUCUGGAGGAGUGCAAAUGCAAUAGAAUUAUUGAAAAUCAAAUUUCAUUCUUAUGAUUUAUCAUUUGUUUUUACUCUAAUGGCUUGGCAUGAGAGAAUUAGUAAUUUUUAAUUAACAAUGAAUUGGUAAUUGGUUUGAGAGAUUUUAAGAAGAAAAUUGGUAAAUAUAUUUUUUUUUGUUUAAAUAAUAUAAAAAAUAUAAGGAAAGAAAAUAUUUAGGUUAUAUUUAAGAAAUAAUCGAUAAAAAAAAAAUGAAAUAGUCCUCAUAUUUAUGAAUUUAUCCCUUAUGUUUUUGUUCGGAGAGUAACCGAUUUUUGAUAGAAGUGUUCUUAACUAUUUCAAGUUUUAAUAAUAUAUUAUAAAAUAUUAUUUUUACAAAAAAAAUAAAAUAAUAAUAAGGACAUUUUUAUCAAUAGGAGGGCAAAAAAAGGAUGAAGUGUUAGAUUUUUAAAAUUGAGUUUCCAAUGACCAUUUUAAUAAAAUAAUCUUAUAUUUAAAUUGAGUUUCUAGGAACUUUUUAUUUUUUAAAUAUUAAAAAUAUGAGGAACACUUUUUAUGAUAAUUGCUAAAAUAAAUUUUAAUUUAAAAAAAUUAGAGGAAAGAAAAUAAAAAGGAAAAAUAUAAAGAAAAGAAAAGAUUUCAAGCCAAUAAUUUUUUUUUUUUUAGACUAAGACUUUUUUUAGAAAGAUAUCAAAAUAUAAAAUUCACCUUCUUCAUUUGUUAAUGUUGUAAAAGGCAAAGUUAUUAUUAAAAUAACUUAAGAAAAAAAAAAAAAAACCCCUACCUUUCUCCUCCAUUAAUUUAUUCAUUCGAUGUGGGUACAAAUCCUCCACUCACAUGCCCCUCUUGUAAGACCUUAGAAAGCUAAGAUUAGUGGCUUAGUCAUUGUUCUCCCUUUCCUCUUCUAAAGAGACAGUAAAACAUUAAUCUAAUUAAUAAUAUAUAUAUAUAUAUAUAUAAUAUGGUAUAUUGUACAACUUUUAAAAUUAAUUAUAAUAAAGACAUUAAAAAUAACAUUUGAGAUGAGGAUAAUUCAAUAUGAUAAUAUUUUUUUUGAGCUAAUAAGAGAAAUAUGUAUAACCCUAUGGGAUACAAUUAUAUAUUAAUAUGGUAAAAUCGUUCAAAAAUUAAUUUUUAAAUUGAAUUAAAUAUAUAACCUCCUUAAUAUGGCAAUUUCUUUUUUACUUUUAUAACGAACUUUUCUAUAUAUUCAAACCUAUUUUGCAUAUAACAGUUAAAUUACUUCACUUCUAAACAAUUAGGAUAUUCGAUUUUAUUAGAUGAGAAAUAGGUAUCUUAGGAUAUAAUUUUAAAUAAGAUAUAAUAUCCUUAUAUAUUAAAUUUAAUGAAUGUUAUAUCUAAGAUAACAUAUUUAAUAAAAUACGUUAUAUUAUGCUUAUAUUUAGUUUAUAAAAUAAAAAAAUAAAAAAAGUAAAGCAUAUAUUAUUUUAAAUACUUAAAAUGAAAAUUAUAUUGCAUUUCAAUAUUUUCUAUUUUAGAAAACAUGAAAAUUUGUUUCAAUAUUUAUGAUUAAAACAUUUAAACUUUGUAAAUAAAAGUUUUUUUAUUAUGUUAUUCAAUAUAUAUAUAUAUAUAUAUAAUAUUAAAAUUAUUUUAUAAAUAUUUUUCAGUUCUUAUUUUUUAAUCAUAAAUUUAAUUUUAUACUAAUUUUUAUUUUAUUUUAUUUUGUAAGAUCAUUAAUAUAAAAAAAUAAAAAUUAAUAAAUAAAUUUAUGAUAUAAGAGAUAUGUAUAUUCUACAUUUUAAGUUUGGAUUAAAAUAUCAUAUGUAGUUUGGCACAUGGGCACAAAAGGCGACUUGUAGUUGAUUGCUUCCCUUCGUAUGAUCAAAAUCUCUAAAAAUCCUAUUGUUCCACCAAAUAGAUGUAUGCUCGUUUGCUAUCAAAUGGAAAAGGAAAACCUAUGGUAUAUGAAUCUGGAUAUUGUCCACAAAGGAAAACCUUAGGUUGUUCAAGUUUCUCAGGUCUCCUAUUUGGCAUUCAUCAUUAUGAUCAAAAUCUAGAUAUUGCUAUCGAAUAAGAGAAACAGCUUAUCAUCUCCACUGUUCUUAUGACUGUGGGAGUUGCAAUUGUUAGUUGGAUUGCCCUUCCAUCAUCCUUCACAAUCUUCAAUUUUGGCUCUCAGAAAGUUGUGAAGAAUUGGUAAGGUUUACAUUGUUAAUUCCUUGGAAAAAAUGGAUAUACAUCUACUAACUCAAUUUGGGUUUGCAGGCAGCUGUUCUUGUGUGUGGGUGUUGGUCUUUGGGCUGGACUUAUUAUUGGGUUUGUAACUGAGUAUUACACUAGCAAUGCAUACAGGUAUCUAUAAUCUCACUGAAUUCCUGCCUUGUUAUAGUCUUCAGCUUUCCUACUCUGAUUCUUGUGUUUCUUUUAUUUGCAGCCCUGUGCAAGAUGUGGCUGAUUCCUACAGGACUGGAACUGCCACUAAUGUCAUCUUUGGCCUUGCUUUGGGAUACAAAUCUGUCAUCAUUCCUAUUUUUGCUAUUGCAGUUAGUAUUUUUGUUAGUUUCAGUUUUGCUGCCAUGUAUGGCAUUGCAGUGGCAGCCCUAGGAAUGCUGAGUACCAUUGCUACUGGGCUUGCUAUUGAUGCUUAUGGUCCCAUCAGUGACAAUGCGGGAGGAAUUGCCGAGAUGGCUGGCAUGAGCCACAGAAUCCGAGAGAGAACUGAUGCACUUGAUGCCGCAGGCAACACCACUGCUGCCAUUGGGAAGGUAAAUCACAUCUGUAGGUUGGUUCUAAUGUUGUCAUUGAAAAGUGUCUUAUCAUCACAUGCAUUAUGCAAGGUACAAAUCCAUGAAGGGUAAGUAUCCUUAGCCGAAAGGCUCAUCCUAUCAUGCAUAUGGCUUUUGACUAGGCCUAUAAAUUGAUGAAACUCAAUUUUUGAAUUUGGAAUAAAAUAUCUCAGUAUAAAUUUUCAGAGUGUGUAGAGGCGUUGUAGUUCAUUUUUGUGUUAAACUAAUGCCAUUCCUACGAGCAGUAAGCCAGAAGGUUCUAUUCACAACUUGUAAGUGGUGAGCUGCCUGUUGGUUAUCUUAACUAAUGUGAAGCAAACUCAGUCCGUACAAUGCAGCUUUGCUGUGUAAUUUGUUAUUGAAAUCUAAUUGUGUACAUUUCUUUUAGCUUCACUUAGCUGUUUGUAACUUCAUUUUUUAUGUUUGAUUUACAUUUGUUCUCAGGGAUUUGCAAUUGGAUCUGCGGCACUCGUGUCUUUGGCACUGUUUGGUGCCUUUGUAAGUCGUGCAUCGAUCUCAACUGUUGAUGUCUUGACUCCAAAGGUCUUCAUUGGUUUGCUUGUUGGUGCAAUGCUUCCUUACUGGUUCUCAGCCAUGACCAUGAAGAGUGUGGGAAGUGCAGCUCUUAAGAUGGUUGAGGAGGUUCGCAGACAGUUCAACACCAUUCCAGGUCUGAUGGAGGGCCUCGCCAAGCCUGAUUAUGCCACUUGUGUCAAGAUCUCUACUGAUGCAUCCAUUAAGGAGAUGAUUCCACCUGGUGCCCUUGUCAUGCUCACACCCCUUAUCGUUGGGACCUUCUUUGGCGUGGAGACUCUAUCUGGAGUACUAGCUGGCUCCCUUGUUUCUGGUGUCCAGGUAAUAUCAUGAUCAUUAAAUGUAUAAUUGGAAUUUCAUGGUUUCUGAUCUAUUAAAAAAAAAAAAGUAGUUUAUCUUAAAAAUAUCAUGAAUUAUGCGAAGAAAAGUCAGGGUUGAAUUUAAGUUAGUGAAAUUUGGGAACAAAAUCUUGUUAGGUGUGUUUAGCAAUAUAGACAUGCAUGAGUAGUCAGAGACUUCGCAAAUUAACAAAAUGCUUAUCUGAAGCACUUUCUAGGAGCUUUGUUUUUGGCUGUUAAUUGAAAUUUUAUUUUCUGAUUUGCUCUUUUGGAUGUGUGCUUUUAACCGAUAGCAAUCUCUGCUUCUAACACUGGCGGUGCAUGGGAUAAUGCCAAGAAGUACAUUGAGGUAAGCAUACGCUGAAGUGAGGCUAUAGGUGGUUUCCUCUCUUGGCCCGUGUUUACUGUUAUUAUUGCUUUGACGAUAUUAUUCAAUUGAGUGGUAAUUUUUGGAAUUUUGUUGUUAGGCUGGUGCUUCCGAGCAUGCAAGGACGCUUGGCCCAAAGGGGUCUGAUCCACACAAGGCAGCUGUGAUUGGUGACACCAUUGGAGACCCACUGAAGGACACCUCAGGCCCAUCGCUCAACAUCCUUAUCAAGCUCAUGGCAGUGGAGUCUCUCGUCUUUGCUCCCUUUUUUGCCACUCAUGGUGGGUUGCUUUUCAAGAUCUUCUGAGGAAUGGGAUGAUGAAAAAUACAUGGGCAAAGGGGUGAUUAGCCCUUUUUUCCCCAGUAUUUAUUGGGCACCUCUUACCAAUUCAUCUAAUCUCCAUAUCCAUCCAUCCCCACAUUGUGGGUUUUUCAAGUUGGUUUCUAUGUUUAGGGAAAUAUUAUUUUUGAAGGGCUGAUGAUGAUGAUGAUGAUAAUCAUGAUUGGUAAGGGAGGACAGGCAAAAUGGUUUUAACUGUCACAGAAGAGUCAGGAUGGUAGCGUGUUACUUUUCUUUAUACCUCUUUUUAGAACAGCUCUGUUCCUAAUUUCCUUGUAACCUUAUCCUUUUUUCCAUUAAAAGCAAGGAGAACAUGUUCAUCAAUUUUGGGUAUUUUGGCUGUCCAUUAGUGUGGAGCUUUGUAGUUUUUGUUUGGGUUAAAUGCGUGCAGGGCCUAGGUAGAUGGAAAAUGAUGCCGGUCUUUUUAACUCUUGGAUUUUAGCUUUAUCAUCUCCAAAUUUUAAAAAAAUAGAUAUAUAAGGUAUGUUUGUUAAAUGAUGUCUAACUGUUUUAUUAGUAGUUGAUUUUAGUGAAUUAUAACUUUUAUUAAUAGUUUAUUAAUAGUGAUUGAGACAGGCAUUGUUGAC